UUUGCAUCAUUGGGAAUGCGGUUCAACAAGGCAAACAACUUUGUAUGGAAAUUACUUUUAGGAUGUCAAGUUUUGGGGAUAGUUUAUAAUUUUACUCGGAGUAAACCAGACUAUUCUGAUGUAAAUACUACACAAGAGUCUUACUCCAGCCUUAAGAGUCAGAAUAGAUACAAUACACGCUGGAACACAUAUAUUGUUUUAGCAUCUAGCAUAACUGGUUCCCAUAAUGAAACUUCAUUGCAUCCAAAGUAUCUAGAGAAUCUGGCAGACUGCCACCACCGAAUAACUAAGAGUUACAUCAGAAAUACAUAAUCGACCAAGUGACCUUCAGAAGCAUCUUGUAGUCCCCGCAGGUGAUAUUCUCAUCAUCGUAACCAUUGCGCCUUGGAGUAAACUGAACAGUGCAGGCAGAUAAAGCAUCAUCACCGACAGCAGCCGCANNNNNNNNNNNNNNNNNNNNNNNNNNNNNNNNNNNNNNNNNNNNNNNNNNNNNNNNNNNNNNNNNNNNNNNNNNNNNNNNNNNNNNNNNNNNNNNNNNNNAUAGGGGAUCUAUUGUAGUCCUUUCGAUAAGUAAGAGUGUCGAACCCAACGAGGAGCAGAAGGAUCUGACAAGUGGUUUUCAGCAAGGUAAUAUCUGCAAGCACUGAAAUUAUCGGUAACAAGUAGUUGUGUGGUGAGAUGAUUCAUAGCAAGUAGCAAGCAACAAAAGUAACAACGGUGUAGCAAAGUGGCCCAAUCCCUUUUGUAGCAAGGGACAAGCCUGGACAAAGUCUUAUAGGAGGUAAAACGCUCCCGANNNNNNNNNNNNNNNNNNNNNNNNNNNNNNNNNNNNNNNNNNNNNNNNNNNNNNNNNNNNNNNNNNNNNNNNNNNNNNNNNNNNNNNNNNNNNNNNNNNNNNNNNNNNNNNNNNNNNNNNNNNNNNNNNNNNNNNNNNNNNNNNNNNNNNNNNNNNNNNNNNNNNNNNNNNNNNNNNNNNNNNNNNNNNNNNNNNNNNNNNNNNNNNNNNNNNNNNNNNNNNNNNNNNNNNNNNNNNNNNNNNNNNNNNNNNNNNNNNNNNNNNNNNNNNNNNNNNNNNNNNNNNNNNNNNNNNNNNNNNNNNNNNNNNNNNNNNNNNNNNNNNNNNNNNNNNNNNNNNNNNNNNNNNNNNNNNNNNNNNNNNNNNNNNNNNNNNNNNNNNNNNNNNNNNNNNNNNNNNNNNNNNNNNNNNNNNNNNNNNNNNCAUUAAACUAGUGGAUCCAAAUCAGCCCCUUACGAAGCAACGCAUAAACUAGGGUUUAAGCUUGUGUCACUCUAGCAACCCAUCAUCUACUUACUACUUCCCAAUGCCUUCCUCUAGGCCCAAAUAAUGGUGAAGUGUUAUGUAGUUGACGUUCACAUAACACCACUAGAGGAAAAACAACAUACAACACAUCAAAUUAUCGAACAAAUACCAAAUUCAAAUGACUACUUAUAGCAUGACUUAUCCCAUGUCGUCAGGAACAAAAGUAACUACUCACAAAGCAUAAUUAUAAUCAUGACCAGAGAGGUAAUGACUAGCAUCAAAGAUAUGAACAUAUAAUUUUCUACCAAGUAAUUCAACUAGCAUCAACUACAAAGAGUAAUUAACUCUACUAGCAACCUUACAAGUACCAAUCGGAGUUGCGAGACGGAGAUUGGUUACAAGAGAUGAACUAGGGAUUGGACAUGAGAUGGUGCUGAUGAAGAUGUUGAUGGUGAUGAGUAAUCUCCNNNNNNNNNNNNNNNNNNNNNNNNNNNNNNNNNNNNNNNNNNNNNNNNNNNNNNNNNNNNNNNNNNNNNNNNNNNNNNNNNNNNNNNNNNNNNNNNNNNNAUCGAGGGACGUGAGGACAUUCCACUACAUCAACCGCGUUCACUAACGCUUCUGCUGUGCGAUCUACAAGGGUACGUAGAUCGAAUAUCCCCUCUCGUAGAUGGACAUCACCAUGAUAGGUCUUCGUGCGCGUAGGAAAUUUUUUGUUUCCCAUGCGACGUUCCCCAACACUCAGGACCAGAUGGGAAGCCAAAGUCAGAAGGAGGAGCAUCAAGAAGGGCCUCAUCGUCACUCACAUCAAGAGCGCCCGAGUCUCUCAGACGAGCCUUGAGGGCAUUCUUGGAGGAGAUGAGACGAGAAACCACAUCAUGGGUUUGACCGCACUGGAAAGAGAAGGCCUUCAUCAUAGCAGAAUGUGCCUUGCCAAUGAAUUUGGCAAAGCGACCGAGAGGAGCUGAGCUGGAUGAAGGGGUUGCUGUCCGGGCAGCAGUGCGACGAGUGGAGGUGGAUGGUGGGGUUUUCUUGGGAGCAUAGUUAUCCGCCAUGUGAGCGGGAACGACCCACUUGUGAUGCAUGUGAGUGACAUCAACAGUGAAUUCAGCCACAUGGUUAAUAAAAGCCUGGAUGAAGGGGGCAUGAGGGAAGGCUUGCUUGUAUUGAAAACUAGCGAGCCGAAUCUCAUGCCAUAGAAAGUGAGGCACAUUAAUUUUUCCCUUGGGGUUCUCGUGCAAACGUGACAUGAUGUCAAUACAGUAGCCACUGCAGGAUCCCUUAUCACCCAUCUUUGGAUAGAUGGUGCGGAUAAGACACUGAAAAAUGAUAAAGUAGGGAGAGCGACAGAUGGAUACUUGGUUAAGAUCCUUCGUCCGUUCGUCUGCAUCAAGUUCACGGAGUGGUUUGAGGAGAUACCCACACGCCUCAAUUGGCUUAUGUGCAUGGUUAGGAUCAUUCUUAUGGAUUUUGAAGCCGGAGUCGGGGAAACCGAGUGCGGCAACAAACUCAUCAUAAGAGGCUGUGAACUAAACGUCAGAGGUUAUCCAGCUAACAGUGUUGUUUGGGCCAAAGAAACAUGUGUCAUAAAAUUGGUGAAUAGCAGCAGCGUUAAAAUCGCACCAAAAAGCAAAGGGGGCGGCAAGCCCCAAUGACUCAAUGAGCUCAACGGCACCCGUGUAUUUCGCUGGGUGCAUGCGAAUAUGCUCAAGAUCAAUAAAGUGAUGGACAGAGAGACCCUUAGGAACAAUGACCGUAGUAAAGAUGUCCGCCUGGACGUUUGUGCGGAAACGUGAGUCCAUAGAGUCACGUACAACAGAGAAUUGGUCAACGUCACAGCGGAAGGUGAGGUAGGAAGACUUAGCAACCGUGGUGAAGUUCUUGACUUCACGACCUAAAGUAGCAGGAGGUUCAAGAGAGAUGAGACGAGCUUCACCUUCGGGCUGUUCAGGAGGAUGUGGUGGCAUAUAGGAGGGCCUGCGAGUCCCAGGCUUCGGCAUAGACUUCCGAACGGCGGGCUGUUCAGCACGGUCCUCAGCUGCAAGCUCAUCCUCGAAGUCAGAGCCAUCAGACGACGAGGGCAGCUGUUGAGGAGGAGGACACCGGGUGAGCCGUUUGAAGGGACGGCGUUGCCCAUCGGAGUCAUCCGACCCCGUGCCAGUAGGGGCACGAGCGGAUGAACCAACAGUGUUCUUCCGGGCGGUGUGCUUAGUCUUGGGCAUGAUGAACAAGGCCUACACGGUUGGAAACCCAAUGGGGAACGGUCACGGUCAGACCACAUGAACGAACACAUGAAUCUUGGGAGAAAAGGGGAACCAAACGUGAGUGAGAUCGAGGGGAUACCUGCAGAUCGAGAGAGGAGAGGAAGGGAAGACGGAUCCCGUAGAGGAGAUUGGAUCCCGUGGAGGAGAUCAGUCAGAUCCCGGAGCAGGGCCCCUGGUGGCGGCGCCGGCGAGCACCUCUGGCGUUGGCGGUGGCGGCUGGGAGAAACGGAGGUGGGUGGGGGCUAGGGCAAGGCCCAGCCCGCACCCUUCUAUUUAUAGAGCUCCCGAAAUGUAGGACGUCCGAGGGGCGUCGGACGUCCGAAGAAUGUUUAGCCGUUGGACGACCGACAUGUGCCGGACGUCCGGAGUGCAUUUAGCCGUCGGACGUCCGAGAUCUGUCGGACGACCGAGAGAGAAGGGAGAGGCAAUUUCUGGGGUUUGGAUGAUGAGGUGAUAAGGAGUAUUCUCGCAUGUGUAGCAACCAAAGGGACCUCUCAACUAACAUAUUUUGGACAUGGUAUGAUGUAAGUCUUUUAAUACGAUUACUAUGAUAAGUGUGGGUCCAAAAUACUAUCAAACGCCUGAGUGCAUAGAAUCAUGCAUAAGUUAUCCUCUUAUAAGAGCAAGGCACAUGACACAAGGGUCAUGGCACAAAUUUGUCUCAUUCAUAUGACCAUGAAGAGCUAAGAGAACACCAACACUAAGCAUUUCAUCAAUGUGAUUGACAAGAACAUGCAGGAAAUUACAAAGUGGAAAAAGUAUUAUGUUCAUGCCAUGAUGCAACCUACACAGUGUUGACUCUAAUGUUGUACAUGCAUGAAGUAAAUACUUGUUACCAGAAAAGCAUUGGUAUGGCGUAGAAGUAGCCGAGUCCUGUCUUGACUCUAAUUUCUUCGUGACCAGCACCAUCUUCUUCUGAGAAUAAGUCAAGAUAGCAAUGCUUCUCCAAAGUACCUAAACCACCAAUUAAGCACAAUAUGGUCCCCAAACUUAUUGGGUCCGAAGUAGUUAGUCCAACUACAAUAUAUAUAGGGUAAGAUCACUCAAUUAUGUGCAUAUACAUAUAAGUUUUACUUUCAAGCACACCCUAACCUUUUAAUGGAUACAUAUGAUUUACCAUAUACAUAUAUUGGAUCAAAGAUACGAUAGACACGGCAUGUGCAUCUACACAUAGUAGAUAUGCCUACACAAUCCUAUCAAAAUCCAAGGAUAUAAAAUUUGGACAAAUGAACACAUAAUUUUCUAUUACAGAACAUUCAUGUUGACCAAAAUGGCUCAGGGUGACAAAUAAACAUAUGGUAGCACCCCAAGUUCAACACAUGAACCGGUCAAGGUAUCAAACCAUGUAAGGCAUGCAUUUUGCACAACCUUACAUGCAUGUCUCUCCCUAGUAGAUGGAUAAGUGUAGGUAAUAUGAUUAUAACUCCCAUAACAUUAUGAAAUAAAUAGUGCAAGCUCAAAGACAUGCAUGGGAGAUUACCGGGAUACACAUGAAUUUCUCGGCACGUUAUGAAGGUCAACUGAAGAUAACGCCGAAAUAAAAUGACCAUGAAAAACACUACCAAGCCAGAGAUACCAUGUGUGAGAGAACACAAUGGCAUUUAGAGUUAUCAGUGGUGGUAGGUGCCAAACAAGCACAGAGAUCGUUCUAUACUCACAUAAGUGUGAUAUGGGAGUUCAACCAUAAGCAUAAUGUUUAGAUGUCAUACGUUAACAUCCCAAGUAGUUAGAUCAUAGUGUGGAGAAAUAAUUCAAAAGGCAUGCAUCAACUAUGCCCUUCUUUUAGAUACGAUCUAGCAGCUAAGCCAUGAGUAUUGGUGUAGUAGGACGUUAUACUCACGCACAUCUAAGGGAUUUAGAUACCAACAGGGCUUAUUAUGCGAAUUAAGAUAUGUGGAGCAUGACACGCCACACAGCUAUAGGAUAACCCCAUGUGGUAGAUUCUGAGUGGCAUACAUCGGAUGUUUUAUCUUACCAGGGGAUGUGACAUGCACAAAGCAUAUCAUACUCCCAUAAUGUGAUAAUCCAUGUAUUUAUCAUACAAGGCAAUCAAUCAUCCAACUAAGGUGAUAAGUGGAUGCCAAUUUAAACUUCGGAUGGCUUUGACAUCAAACUAAUUGAUUGGAUAAUCUUGCACCGAAUACUACAUGGAGUCCAAUACAUAUAUACACAUUUUGGGUUAGUGGUGUGCGUAGAGCAGAACACUACCCCUUAAUGUGAUGAGCUAUUAAUGUCUCAAAAUACCCACACAACGGUGCAACUAGGAUGCAAGUAAUGAUCAGGACUACACACAACUAUAUGACAUACAUAACGACCUACACAUGAUAGAUAACAUAUAACAAUCAUACUAGUGGGCGCAACAUGUCAAAGUACAUGCUAGGUACCAAACCUAGACAUGAGAAGGAGUGGGGCAGGCAACUUUCAAUGUAAAAAAUUUAAGUACAAGUCACCGCAAAGAGGCACAUUGGAUAUGGGAUAUGGGCUCGAUAAUCCAAGUGACUUGUAUUGAGAUGAUACGAAUGAUGAAGAGUCCUCAAAUCUUCAUUGUGUAUCCAAGUCUCCAAUGUCCUCCAAAGUCACCCAUUGAUCAAGUUUGAGCUUGUUGGUCCCCAACUACGUUGGGUCCUAAGAGGUUAGUCACAAUAGGCUUGGCAACCCAAAUGGUUCUUUUCUUGACACCAUUUUGAGUUCCAACAAACUUGGCAAACACAUUGCCAACCUUAUCCUUCCCAAGGGAAUAGCUAUCAUCAAUAGUGAUUGGGUUGGAUAAGUUACCUCUCGUGCAAGAUGAAGCGAGGUGACCCUUCUCACGACAUAAGUAGCAACAUCUACCCUUUGUUUUCUUCCCAGUUGAUUUCUCACCUCGGGGAGUGUUGGCUUGGGUCUUAUUGGGAAGAGGCCUUCCUUCAACUUGUAGCUGAGUGUGUGAUUGAGUUUGCGGUCGCUUCCCUUGUUGCUUGUGACUUUGAGACUUCGUCUUCAGAGGGCAAGAUCUAACAUCGUGCCCUUUAAGUUCGCACUUGAAGCAAAUGAUUUUGGCCGAAUUCUUCACUCGUUCUAGGCCACUCUUGUUCUUGUUUGAGUUUACUCCAACAUCAUUUUUGUCAUUCGGAGAUGUUUGCUCACACAGGACGUUGUUGAGUGUGGACAUCCCUUCAUGACACUGUUCUAAGUCUUUCUUCAAAGAAGUGACUUGGGCCUUGAGCUCUUCGAUUUCCUCUGCACGGUUAGUGUCAAUGCAAGUACUAGAGGAAGUAUAAGUUUCAUUGUUAGAGCAACAAGGCAAGAAAAGUAAUUCACCACACGAGGUAGCAACAUUAUGAGUAGACGAACUACGAGGACUAGCACAUGGAAAUAUAGUAGUUUGAUUAGAAGUGGUGCCAUUGUCCACAUGAGGCUCACUUGAUGUUACCUUGGUGAUGAUAGCCUCAUGAGCUAACUUUUGCACAUUAUGGGAUGUUAGAAGAUCGGUAUGAGAGCUUGUGAGCAUUACAUGGUUUUCUUCCAACUUCCCAUAAUUGCUAGUUAGUAAAUCAAAUCGAGCACGUAGCUCAACAUUCUCCUUCAAUGUUGAUACUUUGGACGCCCGGACAUCCGUGAACUGCCGGAUGUCCGACCCCUGUGUGACUUAAAGUGUCCCCAACGGCUGUUUUACUCUCCCUACUAUAUAUACCCCCCUCCCACUUCGUGAGAGGGGGUCCAACACAGCCAUAUCCUCAUAAGAACACAUUUCUACCUCACACACAUUUGCUCACACCAAAUCUUAGAUCCCAAGAGCAUUUGUGAGCCCCUUUGAGAGUUGUUCCAAUCAAAAGAUAGAUCGUCUCCCUUUCCUUCUCUCAACCCAAGCUAUUUGAGAUUUGAGAAAGUUUUGAGCAUUCCCCGUGAUCUUGUUACUCUUGGAGGUUGGAGACUCCUAGGCGGUAGGAGUUCUUCGGAGAGGAAUCAAUUCGUGUGAUUACCCCCCGGAAAAGUUUGUGAGGGUUUGGAAGCCACCUCAAAGGCUUACCACUAGUGGUUGAGAAAUGCCUUCGUGGUGUUAUCUCAAAGGGAGAAUAGGGUGAGCCUUCGUGGCGUUGGUGUGCCUUCGUGGUAACAUCCACCUCUCUAACGGUGACUAGCUUCCCUCCAAGGAAGUGAACAUCGGGAUACAUCUUCAUCUCAGUGACCUUGGUUAUCCUUAACCCUAACUCCUUACUUGUGGUUUACUUGAGUUACUUGAGCAUACAUACAUUGCAUAUUGUUUUUGAUCAUUAUAUUGUGUUGUCUAUUUCUUGUACAUGAUUAAUCAUUCAAGCAUACUGUCAUGGUUUUGUCACGGCAGAUGUCCUCGUGAAAGGACUUAGUACUGGAGCCAUCGCACCUUGGUGGCGACUCAAAGGGGUUAAGCGGGAGAGACACGGCGAUUUACCCAGGUUCGGCCCCUCGAGAAGAGGUAAUAGCCUACGUCCUGCUUUGUGUGUAUUGAUGUGGAUUCGAUUACAAGGAAGGCGUAACUCGCCCUAACCUAGCACUCGAUGAUUUCUAACCUGUCUCUCCCCCUCCAGACUCGCCUUUAUAUAUAGGUCGAAGCCUUAGGGUUUACAAGAGUCCCCUCCUUUUUACAAAUCAUGACCACCGCGGUCCCUAAGUCGCCGUCUUGUCGAACUCAGAGUCCUUCCAUAAAUCAUAACCAUCCUGCGACUUCGAAACGCCCGGACAGAGGCCCAACUAGCCUUAAAGGAUGAAUCGCCUUAACAGUAACCCGGCCCAUAUUUGGCGGGUCAUAACUGCAGGCAAUAUCCCCAACAUUAGGCCCCAAAUUGACUUGAAUCUUCAUGCCAAUGCCUCCAUUUUAGUCGAAGGCGAUUCACUCUUCUAUGUUCCUCCUUGCACCAGAAAUCUUAACUCGCCAAUUGGUGCCGGAAAAAGUUUCUGAGCCGCCAACGCACUUCCCAUCAGUAUUCUCCUUAGCCCUCGAUUUUCGGGAACUCCAACACAAUCUCAACGGAUCUUUUGGGCGCAUCAUUAUCCCAAACAUUUCGGAUGUCAUCAUGGCCAAUCUUUUCUUUCUCAACGGUUCCCGCUCACGGCGCCCCGAUCCCCGCGCCCAUCCUUAUAAAUAGGCGGAAGGGACAGGGCUGACACCGUCCACCUACCAGUCCCGUCGAUUUCUCCACCAUCAUCACAGCGAGGAAAAGAUGUUACGCAUCCCGAAAGCUCCGCCGCCGGCCGCAAUCUCUGCCUCCGUCCGAAGAACUCCGGUGCUGCCCGCAGGCCGUCGCCGUCCGAGAAGCUCCGGCGCCGCCCGCAAACCGUCGCCGUUCGAGGAGCUCCGGCGCCACCCGCAAUCCGCUGCCGUUCGAAGAGCUCCGGCGCCGCCUGCAAGUCGCUGCCGUUCGAAGAGCUCCGGCGCCGUUCGAGGGACUCCAGCGCCGCCUGCACGUCGUCACCGUCGCCAGGCUCCAUCGUCACCAACCUUCUUCGACCAAGAUCUUCAGGUUAGGCCACUGCUUCCUUCUCUAAGGGUAGAUUUAGUUCUUGUUCUUGCCGCCGCCAUUGCCAUAGCUUCGAAGUUCUAUGUUCGCCACCAUUUUAACUGUUGAACUGAUUAGUUCGAGCGCCAUUAGGGCACCUAGUGUUUCGGACAAUGCUAUCCAUCUGUGCCCUUGCGGAUUUUCGCAACAGACUAGUCUUUUUGAACAUGAGGUACCAUCCUGAUCACACACCGCUCAUGUUUUAGCCACGUCCGUAAGCUGUUAUAUCUGUUGGAUAGAUCCAUUCCUCUUUCACUGUUUGCAAAAAACUGUUUGGAAACCUCGUUCUUCCCUUAGUGUUUCGGAAAGAAUAAAUGUUACCACCCAUAGUAGCAUCGCUUCUGAAAAUAGCCCUGCUCCGAUAGGUCGCCACAUCAAUCCAACCCGGCCUCCCAAUUCGGCGGGUUAAACAGACGCUAGUUCCGACUUACAUAAUAAAUGCUCGAGACACGUAAUACCAUUUUCUUGCCUAUUUGUAGCAUGGGUGCCGUUUUCAAGAGCGAUUGGCUCCCCACCAAAGUUGACGAUGCUGUUUUGGCGAAUUACGUGAAAGCGGGCUGCUUGGAUCCUCAAGACGUCAUUGGAUGGCGCACCGGGUUAGGAGAAGACCUACCCAACCCUAAGGAAGGAGAGAUAGUAGUUUUUGUGGAACACUUAGAACGGGGUUUUAAACCGCCCGGAUCUAAAUUCCUUAGAGACGCCCUGAAUUUUAUGAACGUCCGACUCCAGGAUUUGGGACCCAAUUCCAUAAGCAACCUGAGUCAAUUCCAAGUCCUUUGCGAAGCUUAUUUGCGGAUCGAGCCUUUCGUCCCUCUGUUUUGGUACUUCUUCCACUUGAAUCGCCAGACGGAAUUCCACAACGGCCCCAGUUUGGAACUCGGCGGGGUCAAUGUCCAGCGUCGCCGGGACAGUCCGUUUCCUGCGCUCACUAUGCCUAGCCAUCCCAAGGGCUGGGGUGAAUCUUGGUUCUACUGCAAGGAAACAUCCCCCGCCGGCGAAAACAAACUUCAGGGUUACAGGCCAAGCCGCCUCCCAGUCAACUUCAAGCUCCCUGACAAGCUCACCGAGGAAGAAGAGUCGGAAUUCGUCCCAAUUCUGUCUGAACUGAGAUCUUUGACGAAUAACGGUCUCACCGGGGUUGACUUGAUUCGCUGCUGGGUCGAAUGGCGGAUCCUUCCUCUGAGCCGCCGAGACGGCCUGAUGUGCGAUUUUGACGGUACUCUGGAUCAUCCCCAAUGCUACUUCCACACAGCGUUGACGAAAAAAGACAUAGUCACCAUCAUCAGGAAGCUGACCGGCGAACCUGCAGCGAAAUGCGGCCAAAUCGGCCUUAAGCCCUUCUGCAAGAUCAACCCGGCACCCAAGGUAACCAAAGCUAACUCGCCCUCAAUUUUUACUUCAUCUGGUUUACGGUCAUCAUGACUUCAUGCCAUAUCCCCUUCCAGAAAGGCGACAAGUUCUGGUCUAGAAGACCUAAGAAACAAGCCAUGAAGAGUGCUAAGCCGCCUUCCAAGAAAAACAAAGGCAAAGGCAAAUCGGCCGCGACCGAGCCAUCUGAAGUCGACGAAUCUCAAGCCGGCGACGCACUCUCAGAGGUACCAAUCCGUCCUCAUCUUCACUCGCCAUUCAUCACCUUUUUAUCUUUUACUUAUCUCUCGCUCCUUUUAUAACAGAAUGAAGAUAACGAGAGCCAGGAAGACUCUGUCGAGGUAAUUUCCGUCUCUUCUGAUUCAUCUCCUUCUCCACCUAAGCCGGCCCGGCGAAUAUGUGGGAAAGUACCUCUCUCACAUCCAAAUGCCCAUUUGGACCCAAAUUUCUUACUGAAGAAAACGCAGCACGCCUCAAAACGGAAAACGCGAAGUCAUUCUGGCGACCUGACACCUGGCUUACCAACAAGGAACAAAAGAAAACCAAGCGAGGUACCUCCUUUUCUUAUGUGAGCAACCAUUGUUCGUGCUGCUUUGGAUCACAGUCCUAACCCGCCAGUAUUAUCGAUGUACCAAUUCUGCAGGAUUCUCCCCCCACUUCUGGCGACUCAGUGAUGUCGACCCUUCCACCAAUGAUCCGAGUCCCGGGGUAAGUUCCUUGUCCUGAUCCUUGAGAAUGAUACUCUUUUAUGUAUAUAUAUAUUUUUUAACACGCCUAUUUCUUUCAUUAGGGCGCAAGCCAAAAAGAGGAAGACCAGUGGAUCAAACCCUGACGCCACUCCUGAACCUCCAAAGAAAGCUACUCCGACUCAAGAGGAUCCGGGUCAAAUCGAGCCGACAAUUCAAGCAAACCCUCCUGAGUCGCCCAAAGGAUCAACGGAUGUCCCUAGAUCACCGGUCGUAAUGGCGACAGCUGAUGACCCAGAUGUUGUGGUCAUUACAGGUUUUGGUUUCUCCAAGCCGGCAGAGACAAUCCUCUCCAAACAUACAGCAUCCCCUUCUCCAUCAAUUCUCGAGUCUGGGCCUUCCAAGGCGAAACUUUCUGACUAUGCAGGUCUGGAGUUUAAAGAACUCUGUUCUGGCUUCGCAAGUCGCCUGGAAGCGAGUUACGAGAUGGAAAAGAAUCUGCUGAAGAUGUUAAAUAACAAGCAUGAGGUAAAAAAUUUAUAUUCUAUAUUAUCCUCAGUAACCCCCAAGGGUCGGGUCAUCAGUAAAAUGAUGAGCCAGGUCUUUUAAAAGCUUCGCAACCAAUAACCCCCAAGGGCCGGGUCAUCAGUAAAAUGAUGAGCCGGGUCUUUUAAAAGCUUCGCGACCAGUAACCCCCAAGGGCCGGGUCAUCAGUAAAAUGAUGAGCCGGGUCUUGAUUUCUGUAUAAUUUCCCCUGAAAAAUUAUACAUUAGCCCCCAAGUGUCAGGGGUAUUGCCUUGCAAUAAUUCUGGGACUUGUCUCUGUUUUUAAAUUUUGAACAGGAAAGCCUUGCCCAGACCGAACUGGCCCUGGGCGACUUAAGGAGAAACUUGGCUGACCAACAAGAUGCCCGAGCUCAGUCGGAAAACAAAUAUAAGCUGGCUCUGGUUGAACUGGAAAAACUCAAAGCCGAGUUAGAAAGAACUCAGGCUCACCACAGUGCGGUUUUGACGAGAGCCGAAAAAGCAGAAGCAAAGCUGGCAACUGUGCAGUAGGAGCUAUCCGGCUUAAAGCGCCAUAUUUCCAACAUGACUCAAGCCAUCUUUGGUAAGCUUUACCUAACUCGCCAAUCUUAUCCUCUUCCUUGGGCAAAAUUCCUCAAUGUUUAACUUACCGUUUAUUUAACCACAGGCUCGAGAGUCGCCAAUCUGCAAGAUGACAGCGUGUUGAUGCUGAAGGCGAUCUAUACGCUGACGGAACAGCUGUACACAGGCAGUGUGCUGACCGUCAAAGCUGUGAUUGGUGCAAAGGAGCCCAUAACUUCUAUCAAGAAGGUGCUUGGAUAUCUAUCCACGCUGCCUCCCCAGAUCGGCGAGUUAACCCGAUCAGCCGCCCGGAAGGGUGUCCUGACGGCUCUGAGUCGCUGCCUGGCGUAUGCUCCAGAAAUCAAUUUGGAAGAAGUAGCUGCCGGCUUCCCUCAGCUUAAAGAUGACGGCUCAGAGUUCGUGGAGGAAGACUACCAGAAGGUUGUCAAGGACUCUCGACUGGCCGCGACUCAACUCGCCGCCAGCCUUGACUUGACAAAAUAUCAGGCGGCUUAUGAUGACAAGAAUAAGAAAAUCAGCCCGCCAACCUUCGUGGUGACCAACCUUAUUCCUCGGCGACCCAAGAAUCCCUUUGACUGGGAGACAGACCUAGCAUCAAUCUUGACCGAUGAAGACGAUUUCGCCUCUUUGUCCAGAUGCAAUUGGGUUUUGGGCGAUUUACAAAUCGAAGCUGGUCAAAGCUGACGUCAGGACUUAGCGGGAUAGAUUUUCCUUGAAUCGGCCCAAGAGCCAUGUAAUAGUCAGUACUAUCCUUGGAUGACAUCUUCUGCAAGAAACCCUUAUACCGCCUUUGAGGCGGUUUAAAAUAUUUUGUUAGUCCUUAUCAGAGUCGCCUGAAAUGCUCAAUGCACUCAGGAUGAAAACUUUGAGCAUAUUAUCUGCGAAAAUAAAAUUCCCAAGGUUAAAUCAUAACAAGAGUAAUUUUGUCGGCUCAUAUGGUCGCGACAGGAGGGGGCGAGUCAGGAAACUCGUGCACCCACCCUUAAUGCAGGUUUCGUCGGCUCAUACGGUCGCGACAGGGGGAGGUGAGUCAGGAAACUCGUGCACCCACCCUUAAUGCAGGUUUCGCCGGCUCAUACGGUCGCGACAGGGGGAGGCGAGUCAGAAAACUCGUGCACCCACCCUUANNNNNNNNNNNNNNNNNNNNNNNNNNNNNNNNNNNNNNNNNNNNNNNNNNNNNNNNNNNNNNNNNNNNNNNNNNNNNNNNNNNNNNNNNNNNNNNNNNNNNNNNNNNNNNNNNNNNNNNNNNNNNNNNNNNNNNNNNNNNNNNNNNNNNNNNNNNNNNNNNNNNNNNNNNNNNNNNNNNNNNNNNNNNNNNNNNNNNNNNNNNNNNNNNNNNNNNNNNNNNNNNNNNNNNNNNNNNNNNNNNNNNNNNNNNNNNNNNNNNNNNNNNNNNNNNNNNNNNNNNNNNNNNNNNNNNNNNNNNNNCGCGACAGGGGGAGGCGAAUCAGAAAGCUCGUGCACCCACCCUUAAUGCAGGUUUCGUUGGCUCAUACGGUCGCGACAGGGGGAGGCGAGUCAGAAAGCUCGUGCACCCACCCUUAAUGCAUGUUCUGUCGGCUCAUAAGGUCGCAACAGGAUGUCAUGAUAUUGCUUGUUCUUAAAGAAGAAGCCCUCGAGUCAGGGAAACAUUAUAUUAUUCCAUAAUGAAAACUGAAAAACUUACAAAGCAAGGAGUUUUAAGAACUCAAGUGUAAUAAGGCCGCAAAUGGGCAAUAUUCCAAGGGCGAGUUGACUCAGCCCCCGUAGUCGGUCGAUCAGACCGAAGGUCCAUCAAGUAGUAAGAACCAUUGCGGAGGUUCUUGCUGACAACGAAAGGUCCCUCCCAAGGGGGCGAAAGCUUGUGCAUGCCUGCCCGAUCUUGUAUCAGUCGAAGCACCAAGUCGCCUUCCUGGAAGGUCCGACUCUUCACCCGGCGACUAUGAUAAUGCCGCAGAUCUUGCUGAUAGAUCGCCGAACGAGCCGCUGCUAAGUCCCGUGCCUCUUCCAAGGCGUCCAAAGAGUCCUGACGCGCCAGCUCGUUGUCCUGCUCUACAUAUGCGGUGACUCUAAGAGAGUCAUGCCUUAUGUCAGUAGGGAGGACGGCCUCUGCACCAUAGACCAAGAAGAAAGGGGUGAACCCCGUGGAUCGAUUCGGAGUGGUUCGGAUGCUCCAUAAUACCGAAGGUAACUCCUCCACCCAACAUCCUGGAGUUCUUUCCAAGGGAAUUAUGAGCCGAGGCUUGAUCCCUCGCAAAAAUUCCUGAUUCGCCCGCUCGGCCUGUCCGUUUGACUCCGGGUGAGCUACCGCAGACAUAUCAAGCCGGAUAUGUUCACGGCGACAGAAAUCCAGCAUCGCUCCUUGGGACAAGUUAGUACCAUUGUCUGUGAUGAUACUGUGCGGAUAACCAAAACGGAAAAUCAGCUUCUUCAGAAAUUUUACCGCAGUUUCCGCGUCGCAAGCCCCAACCGGCUCCGCCUCAAUCCACUUGGUGAAUUUAUCAACCGCCACCAAUAAGUGAGUUUUCUUGUUGGAGGACAUCUUAAAGGGGCCGACCAUGUCCAGCCCCCAGACCACGAAAGGCCAAGUAAUGGGGAUCAUCCUCAAUUCUUGAGCCGGCACAUGAGCCUGUCUCCCGUAUCGUUGGCACCCCUCGCAUCGCCGUACUAUAUCUUCUGCAUCUGCGUGAGCCGUCAACCAGAAGAAACCGUGUCGAAAAGCUUUUGAUACCAAAGAACGUGACCCGGUGUGAUGUCCGCAGUCUCCAGAAUGGAUGUCAUUAAGGAUCGCGCAUCCUUCCUCGGAGGAGACACACCGCUGAAAGACCCCUGAAGCACUUCAUUUAUAUAGCUCGCCAUUAAUGAUGACCAUGGACUUGCUACGCCGAACAAUUUGGCGAGCCAAAACCUCGUCAUUGGGUAACUCGCCACGGGCAAGGUAAGCUAUAUAAGGAAGAGCCCAAUCCGGAGCGAUAUGGAGAGCCGCCACAAGCUGAGACUCGGGAUCUGGUAUUGCCAAUUCCUCCUCCGUGGGUACAGUCACGGAUGGUUUGUGCAAGAUAUCCAAGAAGACAUUAGGGGGGACAGGUUUUCUCUGUGAGCCGAGUCGCGAGAGGGCAUCAGCUGCUUCGUUGAGUCGCCGAUCAACGUGAUCAACCUGGUAUCCAUGAAAAUAGCCCGCCACGUCAGAUACGGCUCGCCUGUAAGCCGCCAUCAUAGGAUCUCGAGAGUCCUAGGUGCCCGAAACCUGUUGCGCCACCAGAUCUGAGUCCCCAAAACAUCUGACUCGGGUUAGGUUCAUCUCUUUUGCUAGUCGCAAACCGUGGAGCAGAGCUUCAUACUCUGCCGCAUUAUUUGUACAAGGGAACAUGAGCCGGAGGACGUAGCAGAACUUAUCUCCUUGAGGGGAUAUCAACACCACACCAGCCCCCGAGCCCUCCAACUGCCUGGAUCCAUCAAAAUAAAUAGUCCAAUAGGUAAGGUCAGGGCGAUCUUCCGGAGCCUGAAGCUCCGUCCAAUCAUUGACGAAAUCAACUAGUGCCUGGGAUUUGAUGGCCGUGCGGGGGGUAUACUGAAUGUGAUGUGACCCAAGUUCUAUCGCCCAUUUGGCGAUUCGCCCUGUUGCCUCGCGGUUUUGGAUGACGUCGCCGAGGGGCGCGGAACUGACUACGGUGAUUGGGUGCUCUUGGAAAUCAUGUUUAAGCUUCUGACUCGCCAUGAACACUCCAUAGACUAGUUUUUGCCAAUGGGGGUAUCGUUGUUUGGAGAGAGUUAACACCUCACUGAUAAAGUACACCGGGCGUUGUACCGGGUAUUCCUUUCCUUCCUCCUUUCUUUCGACGACCACAGCCACGCUGACCGCUUUGGAAUUCGCGGCGAUAUACAGGAGCAUAGGCUCCUUUUCAGCCGGGGCCGCCAGGACCGGCGGGUUAACCAAUUGAUGUUUCAAGGCCUGAAGCGCCUCGUUAGCUUCCUUUGUCCACACGAAUCGGUCAGACUUUCUGAACAAUUGAUAGAGCGGAAUCUCCUUUUCUCCGAGGCGGCUUACAAAACGGCUGAGAGCCGCGAUGCGACCCGCCAAUCGCUGAACUUGGUUAACAUUCGUCGGCUUACCGAGGGAGGUAACCGCUUCAAUUUUGUCCGGGUUAGCCUCGAUGCCGCGCUCCGAUACCAAGAAACCCAGUAGUUUUCCCGCAGGUACGCCGAAAACGCACUUGGUAGGAUUUAGCUUCAUCUGAUAUACCCGUAAAUUAUCAAAGGUUUCCUUAAGGUCUUCCAGAAGUGUCUCCUCCCGGCGGGUCUUGAUCACAAUGUCGUCAACAUAAGCAUGGACGUUGCGGCCAAUUUGGCUAUGAAGACAAUUCUGGAUGCAGCGCUGGUAAGUCGCCCCUGCGCUCUUGAGCCCGAACGGCAUGGACACAUAGCAAAAGGCCCCGAAGGGGGUUAUGAAGGCAGUCUUUUCCUGAUCUUCCACAGCCAUUUUGAUCUGAUGAUAACCUGAGUACGCGUCCAAAAAGCACAAUCGUUCGCAUCCCGCCACCGAGUCAAUGAUUUGGUCGAUGCGGGGAAGAGCGAAAGGAUCUUUGGGGCACGCUCUGUUGAGGUCCGUAUAGCCAAUACACAUACGGAAAGUGUCAUUCUUCUUGAGUACUAACACCGAGUUAGCUAGCCAUUUGGGAUGAAAGACUUCCACGAUGAAACCGGCGGCUAAAAGACGGGCGACUUCCUCUCCAAUCGCCUUCCGUCGCUCCUCGUUAAACCUGCGGAGGUAUUGUUGGACAGGUUUGCAUUUUGGGUCAAUAUUAAGAUGGUGCUCAGCGAAUUCUCUCGGUACACCCGGCAUGUCAGAGGGUUUCCAUGCGAAGAUGUCCCGAUUCUCACGGAUGAAUUCGAUGAGCCCGCUUUCCUAUUUGGGAUCCAGACCCGUCCCAAUGGUGAACUGCUUGGAUGAAUCGCCAGGGACGAAGUCGACUGUCUUCGUGUCAUCCGUCGGUUUAAACUUGAGGGGCGACUCGGAAUCUGUAGUCGGUUUCUUGAGUGGUGACACGUCUGCCGGGUCAACAUUGGCCCGGUGGUUUUUGAGUUCUUCCGCCGCGCAGGCGACUUCCGCGUAGGCCGCGUCUCCUUCCUCACACUCCCUUGCAAUUCUUCUGUCUCCGUCGACUGUGAUGGGCCCUUUAGGGCCAGGCAUUUUGAGCUGGAGGUAGACGUAGCACGGGCGGGCCAUGAAGCGAGCGUAAGCCGGUCGCCCGAACAGCGCAUGGUACGGGCUUUUUAAUUUGACCACCUCGAAGACCAAAGAUUCCGACCUGUAGUUCUGUGCAGUUCCAAAGGAUACUGAGAGCCUGACCCGGCCAAUUGGAUAAGCGGAUUUGCCCGGGAUGAUGCCGUGGAAGACCGUGGUUGAAGGCAUCAAGUCUUUCUCUAAUAGAUUCAUCCUCCGGAAGGUGUCGAAGUAUAGGAUAUUAAUGCUGCUGCCGCCAUCCAUUAGUACUUUUGAUAGGGUGUAACCCGCCACUUGGGGAGCUACGACCAAGGCCAGGUCGCCCGGGUUAUCUAUUCUCGACGGGUGAUCCUCUCUGCUUCACGUUAUGGUCUGUUCGGACCAGUGGAGAUAUCUGGGAACUGCCGGCUCGAUUACGCUGUACGCCCGGUGAUUUACCUUUUUAUCACGUCUGCAAGCAUUAGUGGUGAAAACAUGAUAUUGCCCGUUACUUAGCUGUUUAGGAUUGUUGCGGAAGCCCCCAUGGUCAUCCUGGUCCUGCGGAGCCCCCUGCGGGGGUUGCUACUGGAAGAUUCCCGGCGGGUUGUACCGCCGGUGGUGGUGCACCGAGUACUGGCCGCCGCCUGGCUGCGGCCCCCCCUGAGCCUCCUGUUCAGGAAAACCGCCGAAGGGGUUGUGCCUUUGGUUGGGCGCGGCGAGUUGGUCUUGGCGACGGUUCGGGUCUUCGCUCUGGCUCUUCUUGAUUGCCUCGGCCCGAAACUCCCGCAUCACGAAGCAGUUCUCCCAGGAGUGACCCGCCGGGCCAUCGGCCGUGGCGUGGUGCGGGCAAGGGCCUUUGAGUAGUUCUUCGUAGUUGCGCGGUCUUUUCCCAUUGAAGCCUCGAUUCUUCUUUUUGCCGUCAUUGUCGUUGGUGUUGGCAACCAGAUCCGAGGACUCCUCAUGCGGCCUACAUUUGCCGUUGGUCCCCUGGUUAUGACGGUUGCGGCCCUGGAGGCGGGCAUGCUUAUUCGUUGAAUCGCCCUUCUUGGGCGAGCUACCCUUGUCGUCCUCGCCGGGAUCCUUGGUAUCGUCGGCUUCGGCGUACCUAGUGAGGGUAUCCAUCAGCUCGCCCAUAUCCUGAACUUUCCGUUUGAGUCGCCCCAGCUUCUGGACCAGCGGUUCGUAGUGGCAGUUGUGCUCGAGGAUAAGCACGGCUUGCGCCGCCGUGAUGCCAUCCGAUGAAUGGAUAAUUUCCGCGACUCGCCGCGACCAAUGAUGCGCCGACUCAUCCGGGCGUUGCACGCAGUGUUGCAAGUCGACGAUUGUCAUCGGUCGUUUACAGGUUCCCCGGAAGUUUUUGAUAAAACGCUCCUUUAACUCGGCCCAGGACUGGAUAGAGUUGGGGUGUAAAUUUUUCAACCAAGUGUGUGCCGAUCCCUCGAGCAUCAUGGUGAAAUAUCUGGCGCAAACCGCCUCGUUUACGUCGAGCAUGUCCAUGGCGAUCUCAUAGCCCUCGAUCCAAGAUGUCGGUUCGAGAUCUGGUGUGUAAUUUGGCACCUUUCUUGGUCCUUUGAAAUCCUUGGGCAUUCUUUCGUUUCGAAGGGCCAGGGACAAGCAGGGAACCCCGACUCGCCCUCCGGUCCCCACGGGAGGAGUCUGAGCCUCCUGAGUGUUGGGUGGACCUCUGCCCGGCGGGUCCCGCUCGGGCGGGUUGUCCUGCGGGGGGUGUCGUGGGGCGCUGUUUACGGUCGGCUGAUCCUCCGGCCAACCCCUGGUAUAGCUCGCCUGGGGGGUGGAGUGCAAUCGCUCGGGGCUGUGUGAGAAUUGCGCGUUUUGUACCACCACUGUUUUCAACAUCUCGAUGGCGUUCCUUGCUUCGAUCUCAGCUGGGGUGUUGCCGUGGAUCGGGAGAGACUCCAGAUGGCGAGUUGCGGCGAGCACGUUAUCCACCGGGUUAGAGAAGUGGCCUCGGGGGGUGCGAAACCGAGGGAUUUGACCCUCAGUCGGCUGAAUCGGCGGGUUAGGAGGGCGGCCCAUCCCUCCUGCUGGAGCGGCUCCCAUCCCGGGCGUUUGGGGAGUGUCGAACAGGCGAGUUGGAUUGAGAUCAUGGGGUAGGCAUCCUUGGUGCCUCCGCUGAUGGACGGCGUCGGAUGCACGCUGCUGUCUUUCGAGCCGCCAAUUGUCGGUGUUCAACCGCAUCCUUUCGGCCGUAAUCUGGGCCUGUCGAGUUUCCAUCCUGGCGGACUCCGUCUCAGCAUCCUGAUGGGCCUUUGCCACCGCCUCCCUCAGUUUUGCUAUCUCCGCAUUUAUCUCUCCUUGGUUCUCCGGCGUGAGGGGGUUGACAUUAGCCUUGUGAUUUCCGCCGCUAAAUCCACUAGGACUGCUGACGCACUUCUGGACGUCCCGCCGGUUCCAUCGCCCCCGGCGGGGUUCGAUGCGAGUUGAGUCGCCCCAGCCAUGUAGAUGGCGAUCUGGCGGUGGGUUCGAUCGAGGAUUUUCGGAUCCAUGGCCAAUGACAAGCCCCCAAGACCGUCUCCAUGGAGGGACUGGAUGGAAUUGGACUCGCCCAUGGAUGAAUCGUCGUCAGAGUUGACGGGGGUGACCUCCUGAGCUGCCGCGCGCUCUGGUUCCUCCGAUCCCUGUGUGAAGCCCACAAAGACCGGGCGGGUCAGAUUCCGGGUUAUGACUGGGCGAACGUACCUGGUCGGCUCGACGAUGUCGGAGGAGGUGUCCGGCUCAGGAACGGGUGACCCGAUCAUGCCGACGAAGACGUUGAUCUUGCCGAAGGGGACCCUGUAGCCUGAUUCGAGAGAAUUUGCUUCAGGUCCCCAUCGCCUGUUGUUGAUGUAGGCUAUGCCGCGUCGGCUCCAAGUCAUGAGCGCCGCCGCAUAACUCCCAGACCCUGGUAGGGCUCCCUUUGAGAACGCAACUCCACCGUGCGCAGGCCCCACAGUGGGCGCCAACUGUCGUGGUUUUGUCACGGCAGAUGUCCUCGUGAAAGGACUUAGUACUGGAGCCAUCACACCUUGGUGGCGACUCANGUGUGAUAUAGCUCAAGUAAGUUUGUGUAACUUACUUGUGCUUGUUAGUAACUGUAUUGUGUCCAUCUUGGUAGAUCGUGUUGUUGAUACACGUUGCAGUGCCUAGUGCAUUUAGGAUUUGUGCUUCACAAGUAUCCUCUUAGUUUAUUUCCGCAUUAGAUUUAAACCAAAUCCGAAGAAGUUUUUAAAUAGUCUAUUCAACCCCCCCCCCCUCUAGGCAUCAUCGAGGUCUUUUCACUCCAUAACAUAACCCUCUGGCAUAUCAGGCAAUUCAUAUCUAGGAGAGCUAGUUCUAACAGGCAAAAUAGCAUGUUCUACUUCAAUAAUCUCAGCUGUCUCAGAAGUGUCAUCACAUCUAGCAGCAACUCUAGCAAUUUGUGCAUCAAGGAAUGCACCUAGUGGCAGAGCAGUAUCAAGCAUAGCAUCAUCACAAGCAUCAUGGACAACAGAAGUAGCAUCAUCAAGCAAAGGCGACACAUCAAAAUUUCUAGCAGGAGGUGGUGUCGCAAACUUACUCAUAACUGAAGGUGAAUCAAGUGCAAAGCUAGAUGGCAGUUCCUUACCUGUCCUCGUAGUUCAGGGCAAGACUUUAGUUCUUGGAUCUUUCGGAUUCCUCGUAGUGAUCAGCAGACGUAAAUCCCAAGUGACUCAGAGAAUAUAGAUAUGCUUCCCCGGCAACGGCGCCAGAAAAUAGUCUUGAUAACCCACAAGUAUAGGGGAUCGCAACAGUUUUCGAGGGUAGAGUAUUCAACCCAAAUUUAUUGAUUCGACACAAGGGGAAGCCAAAGAAUAUUCUCAAGUAUUAGCAGUUGAUUUAUCAAUUCAACCACACCUGAAAGAUUUAGUAUCUACAGCAAAGUAUUAGUAGCAAGGUAGUAUGAUAGCAACAGUAGCAACAGUAACCAGUAGCAGCAAAGUGACAGCAGUAGUGACAGAGUAACAGCAGCAGCAGUGACAGCAGUAGCGGCAAAGUAACAUAGCAAGGACCAGUAGGAAAAACUCGUAGGCAUUGGACCGGUGAUGGAUGAUUAUGCCGGAUGUUAUACAUCAUGCAACAGUUAUAACACGGAGAGAUAUGUAACUAGCUCCAGUUCGUCAAUGUAAUGUAGGCAUGUAUUCCGUAUGUAGUCAUACGUGCUUAGGGAAAAGAACUUGCAUAACAUCUAUUUUCCAUCCCUCCCGUGGCAGCGGGGUCCUAAUGGAAACUACGGGAUAUUAAGGUUCUCCUUUUAAUAGAGAACCGGACCAACGCAUUAACACUUAGUGAAUACAUGAACUCCUCAUACUAUGGUCAUCUCUGGGAGUGGUUCCGGCUAUUGUCACUCCGGGGUUGCCGGGUCAUAACACAUAGUAGGUGACUACAACUUGCAAGAUAGGAUCAAAAACACACAUAUAUUGGCGACAACAUAAUAGGUUCAGAUCUGAAAUCAUGGCACUCGGGCCCUAGUGACAAGCAUUAAGCAUGGCAAAGUAGUAGCAACAUCAAUCUCAGAACAUAGUGGAUACUAGGGAUCAAUCCCUGUCAAAACUAACUCGAUUACAUGAUAGAUCUCAUCCAACCCAUCACCGUCCAGCAAGCCUACGAUGAGAUUACUCACGAACGGUGAAUAACAUCAUGGAAUUGGCGAUGAAGGAAGGUUGGUGAUGACGAUGGCGACGAUCUCCCCUCUUCGGAUCCCAAAACGGACUCCAGAUCUGCCCUCCAGAGGAAGAACAGGAGGUGGCGGCGCCUCUGUAUCGUAAAACGCGAUGAACUCUUCUCCUUGAUUUUUUUCCGGACGAAAGGGACUAAAUAGAGCUGGAUUUGGAGGCGGUGGAGCUUCGUGGGCCCCACAAGCCUGCCAGGCGCAGCCAGGGGGUCCCGCGCCUGGUGGGCUUGUGGGCUCCACGCUCCACGCCAGUAUUUUUUAUAUAUUCCACAAAAAAUCCCCGUAAAUUUCCAAGUCAUUCCGAGAACUUUUAUUUCUGCGCAAAACAACACCAUGGCAAUUCUGCUGAAAAGAGCGUUAGUCCGGGUUAGUUCCAUUCAAAUCAUGCAAAUUAGAGUCCAAAAUAAGGGCAAAAGAGUUUGGAAAAGUAGAUACGACAGAGACGUAUCAAUGGUGAUGACGAUGGCGACGAUUUCCCCUCUCUAGAGGCCAAGGCAGCCUCCAGAUUAGCUCUCCCGGAGAAGAACCGAGGGUGGCGGCGGCUCUGCGUUGAGAACUUGCAAAACGACUUCUCUUCUGGGAUUUCUCCAUCAUGGUAAAAAUAGGAGCCAAGGUAGGGCACAGAGGAGGUGGGCCCCACCCAGGCGGCCUCCCGGCGUGGCGAGGGGGCAGGCCGCGCCCACACGUCGCCUGGAGGCCUGGUGGGCCCCCUCUGGCCCAUCUUCUGGCACAGGGUUCCUCCCGGUGCGUGGAGUUUCUCUAUUUUUUAUUGGAAUUUUCCGGGACGCCUAAAAAUCCAUUUUCCUACACACAAGAAAACCAUGCAGGCAGCUCUGCUGAAAACAACGUCAGUCCGGGUUAGUUUCAUUCAAAUCAUGCAAGAAUGAGGCCAAAACAAUAGCAAAAGUGUUUGGAAAAGUCGAUACGUUUGAGACGUAUCACUGGCCCGCCAUUGCUGCCUCUUGGCUAGCCGCAGUCAUGUCGCCUUCCUUCCUCCUCUCGUGUCUCUCGUAUAAACCGUUUGCAAGUGGACCUCGUGCCUCAAGUUCUACCACGCCUCGGGAGCACCGUUCGCCUUCGACCUCCAGGUCAAGGAAGAGCAGGAGUGCGUAGCUACCAUGGAUCAGGCUUCGACAUCCAGGUGAUGGAGGAGCACAGAUUUGACCUCCAGGUGACGGAGGAGCACAGAUUCAACCUCCAUGUGACGGAAGGGCACGACCUCUAGAUUGAGAAAAAUGGAGCAAGGAGUAGGAGAGGGAGAUGACGCGGCGGCUCACUAGAGCACAGUCGGAGGCGGGGCGAAGAAAUCCCAACGCGCCAACCCUCGCCAUGGCGCGUGCUGCAAUUCUGUAUCAGGUGGGGGAUAAUUUAUCUUUUUAUUUGGUGGAGGGGUGUCUAUGUCAAAUAGAUUGGAGAAGACUAUUCAAUAUGUACACAUGGCGGUAUUUUUGCCAAGUCGGCCCUGAUGAUCUGGUCCCAUCUAUCAUAAAUGCGCUUAAAUUGGCUAAAUUUAUGAUCGGUGUAUUCUGCAAAAUGAUUACUGGAUACGCGGUGGAUUUUGCAAAAAAUUAGCGACCACGUGGUUUUCUACAAAAGUAACCCAAAAUGUGGUGAUUUUAUGCUUUUAACUCUGUUUUGCACUAACCGACACCUUCUUAGCAUAGUUUAAUUUUAAAAAUAUGAGCUCAUGCUCCAUCUUACUCUUUUCUUCCUGCAUCUUGAAACAUUCUUCAGUGUUGACAACAAUUUCUCUAAGCCUAUAGCUAUUCUCUUCCUCAUACAUGCUCGAGAGCUUUGCUAGGCACAUCUUCAAAGACUAUGCCCACUCUUGAUCAACCCACUCAAUGUAAGAACACUUAUGUUCAUCCUAUAAUAUUUAAAACUAAAUCAGUAACAAUUGUAAGGAAAAUGGAAUUCUAGCAACAUAGAAAAUCACCAAAUACAUAUUUGGAAAAACUAAAAAACAGGUUAAUUAUGACAUCUUCUCAAAAAGACCAAUGUGCAAAUGAAUUAAUUGCUACUAAGACAACAACCAAAUUCAGAAACAUUAGAAGCUUUAAUUAACUGCAACCACCAACUAACUUCACGCAACAAAGAAGACCUCACCCCAGCUCCAUUCGUUGCAAGUGAUGGUCCUAAGGAGCUACAAGAGGAAGAACUGACUCAAAUCGACCAUUGGGUUAAAAUCUGAAAAUGACGGCGGAACAAGUGAUGUCUGAAGAGCCGAUUUGGGGUCUCGAAGUAGUCUUUCCAGAGUAGGAAAUGGCUACUCUCCUGGUUGUGAUUCAAUGUUGACGUGUGCCCCAGCAUUGAGCCAUUAAACUAUGCCCACUCCAUACUUACAUGGUCAUGGACGACCAGCGCAACUGCCACCAUCUCCUCAUCACUAGAUGAAGAAUCAUCCGACUCCAAAAGAACGUUGUAGAAAAAAUAAUCAUCAUCGGAGUCCAUUUGUACCUUGGGCAAAGCUUCGAACACCUUGUGGACAUUGUGAAAGACUUCGACCGGAGAGGAGCCUCAGGUCGCACCGAAAGAAAGUGGAGGAGCUGGGCGGCGGCGGCGGGAGACGAGCCUACCGGGAAGGUGAGUUCGCGGGCGGAUGGCUGGCAACGGCGACGGAAGCGUGCGGUGGUGUGUUGUGGGUCGUAGUAAUUUCAAAAAAAAUCCUACGCCAUGCAAGGAUCUAUCUAUGGACAAACCAGCAACGAGAGAGGUUGUAGAGCAUCUUCAUACCUUUGAAUAUCGCUAAGCGGAAGCAUUGCUAGAACGCGGUUGAUGGAGUCAUACUCGCAGCGAUUCAGAUCAUGGUGGAUUCCGAUCUAUGCAUCGAACGACGGUGCCUCCGCGUUCAACACACCUGCAGCCUAGUGACGUCUCCCACGCCUUGAUCUAGCAAGGAGGAGAGAGAGGUUGAGGGAGAGCUCCGGCAGCACGACAGUGUGGUGAUAGUGGAGCUAUGUGGUACUCCGGCAGUGCUUCGCCAAGCUAUGCGGAGGAUGAGGAAGAGGAGGAGUAGGGAUGCGCCAUGGAGAGAUGAAUUGUGUGUGUCCAAAAGGCCAAAACCCUCCACUAUAUGUAGGAGGAGAGGGAGGAGGUGCCCACCCUUAGGGUUUCCCUCCCUAAGGGGUGCGGAAGCCCCAUCUAGGGAAAGGGGCGGCGGCCAAGGGGUGGAGGCGCCCUAGGGUGGGCUUUGGGCCCAAGGGUGCCCUCCCACGCCUAGGGUUUGCCCCUCCCCACCCUUGUGCGCCUUGGGCUGAGAGAAGAAGGCGCACCAGCCCACUUUGGGCUGGUUCCCUUCCACCUUUUGGCCCAAGUACCCUUUUGGGGCUGGUGGCCCUUGCCGAUGGACCCCCGCAACCCUUCCGGCGGUCCCGGUACAUUACCUGUGAUGCCCGAAACACUUUCGGUGUCCAAAUCCUCACUUCCUAUAUAUCAAUCUUUACCUCCGAACCAUUCCAGAGCUCCUCGUGAUGUACGGGAUCUCAUCUGGGACUCCGCACAACCUUCGGGAACCACGUAUACUAUUUCCCUAUAACCCUAGCGUCAUCAAACCUUAAGUGUGUAGAACCUACGGGUUCGGAAGACAUGCGGACAUGACCGAGACACCUCUCCGGUCAAUAACCAACAGCGAGGUCUGGAUGUCCAUGUUGGUUCCCGCAUGUUCCUCGAUGAUCUCAUCGAAUGAACCACGAUGUCAAGGAUUCAAUCAAUCCCGUAUGCAAUUCCCUUUGUCUACCGGUAUGAUACUUGCCCGAGAUUCGAUCGUCGGUAUCCCCAUACCUUGUUCAAUCUCAUUAUCGACAAGUCUCUUUACUCGUUCCGUAACACAUCAUCCCGUGGCUAACUCCUUCGCCACACUGAGAUCAAUAUGACGAUGGAUUGCCGAGUGGGCCCAGAGAUACCUCUCCGUCACACGGAGUGACAAAUCCCAGUCUCGAUUCAUACAACCCAACAGACACUUUCGAAGAUACCUGUAGUGCACCUUUAUAAUCACCUAGAUACUUGUGACAUUUGAUACACCCAAAGCACGUCUAUGGUAUCCGGGAGUUGCACAAUCUCAUGGUCUAAGGAAACGAUACUUGACAUUAGAAAAGUAUUAGCAGACGAACAAUACAAUCUAGUGUUAUGCUUAGGAUUGGGUCUUGUCAAUCACAUCAAUCCCCAAUGAUGUGAUCCCGUUAUCAAUGACAUCUAAUGUCCAUGAUCAAGAAACCAUGAUCAUCUAUUGAUCAACGAGCUAGCCAACUAGAGGCUCACUAGGGACACAUUAUGAUCUAUAUAUUCACACAUGUAUUACGGUUUCUGGUUAAUACAAUUAUAACAUAAAUAAUAAACAAUUAUCAUGAACUGGAAUAUAACAAUAACAACUUUAUUAUUGCCUCUAGGGCAUAUUUCCAACACAAGAAUGGGAGGUGGGGGCGGACGGGUGAUUUGGACAUUGUGAAAGACUCCGACCGGAGAGGAGCCUCAGGUCCCACCGAAAGAAAGUGGAGGAGCUAGGCGGCGGCGGCGGGAGACGAGGCUACCGGGAAGGUGAGUUCACGGGCGGAUGGCUGGCAACAGUGACAGAAGCGUGCGGCGGGGAUGGGAGGUGGGGGUGGAUGGGUGAUUUGGAGGCGAAGGAGGAAAAGGAGACUGACCUACGUGCCACCGUCUGGCGGUCCAGGGGAAGAGAAGGGCGGGCGAGGCACGUGUCCGCUUCGUGUCCGAGGUGACGCAAAUGUCGCCCAAAUUUUGGCCCGAAAUGAAUCGCCACUACAAGAAAUAUGCUCAUACAUGAUGUUUUUUAAGACGUCGUUAAUGAAUUCGUCAUAAAUCUAUGACGAUUUCAUCCGAGAUUGUCGUAAACCGUUUGAGGGGAUCAAAUCUACAUAUAAAUUACGAUGAUGUGAGUCAAAAACGUCGUAACUGCAUAAUAUGAGAUCGUCAUAACUUUUACGACGAUUAUAAAAAUGUCGUAACAUGUUAUAACUAUGUUGACAUGUCACUCGUGGGUCCAUUCUAUGUCACGCGCCAAACCCGCCUAGUUUGUGAAGCAACCUACUAUUCUGUCAUUCCAAAAAUUCUCAAAAAAUUCUCAUAAAUACUUUGGAUCAUAUAUUCCUCAAAUAUGUUAAAACCCUUCCUUCCAUAGUUUAAAAAUAAUUCAGCAAUAUUCAUUUUCCUAUUCUGUUCAGAAUAGCACUUUGUGAAGGAAGUGCUAUUUCUAUUUUUUUGAUUACCCUCAUAUUUUUUGAGCACUCUUUCCUUUCCAAAUCAUUGCCUCGUGAAAACUUUCGUAACAAUUUGCGUAGUAAAUCUUUCUCAGUAAAUUUCCAAAGUUUGUGUUCAGCUAACAACUUUGUGAAGGAAGUACUAGAUAGGAAUAUCCUGAUGAGUUGAAUUUUUGCCACAUCUUGUAUGUGUCCAAAACAUAGCUCUCCACAAAAGUUUAGCCCCAUCUGACAAUCCAUGUGAGCUCAUCAUCCAAUCUUUGUUUCUGGUAAUAUUUUUAUUUUGUGAAGCAACUACAUUUUAUAUUGCUUUAUAGUUGAUGAAAAUUUACCACGGGAUCAAACUGACCAUAUAACCUCACUCCACCAAAUUUUAGCUCAUUUAAUUCAGCCAGUUUCCCUCAAUAUUUUUUCCAAUAUUCUGUUUAGUAGAGAGCAUUGGGAAGGAAGUACAAUUUUUGUUUAUCCAAAUUUUAUGAAAUUUUUACAAUGCCUUAAUGUGCCCAAAUUAUCAUCAUACACCAAAUUUCAGCUCAAUCCAUUCAUUCAUUUGAUCCCAGCUUCGACAUCCAUAUUUCUGCAUAGUGUGGUACUUUGCAAAGCAAGUGCCACCUAUCUUCAUUCAUUUGAGCUAAAAAAUUCCACGAGAGUCUCCUUAGUACAUGAUCACCCUCAACCAAAAUUUAGGCCCAUUGUCUAUGUUCAUUACCCGCACCGCUAAUCAAACACUUGACUGCUAAUUCAUGUUUGAGCUUAGUUCGGUCUCCUCAUGAGAUUCUUCUAUUGUAUUAUUCUUCCUGACACCUACCGAGGGAGUGCCCAACCCACCUGACAUGCCUAUUCCACCCAGAAUGCGUGGCAACGCAACGGUCAGCCGAUGACCAUGCGGCUGGCAUCCAAGUUCACGCGCUGUGCAGUUGGGGCCCGCGACCACCAUCCAAACCUCGGCGUCAAGUCACCACACCAUGUAAUUCUAAUUAAAUAGAUACUUAUGUACCUAUAAAUGAUUUUUGGGAAAAAUAAAUAGCAAAUUAUAAUGCAGCUGCAGUUCAAAUUUGACCCGCUUCCAACUGAAUCGACAUAAAUUUGUCAUUUUCAUGAGAGGUGGAUAAAAGCAGUUAACACCCAACCAUUUUGUCAAUUGUUCAUUAAAUAUGGCCUAGUAUUUUAUAAAAAUUAUAUGGUCCAAUUUUGAAACAAAUAUAUGGUAGGUCCUUCACAAAAAAAUUCAUUUUGGGCACUUGAAAAAUGGAAAAUAAUUUUUACAUAGAAGGAAAAUGAAAACUUUCUUAAUCAACAUUGUUUGCCAUUCUAAUAUGCACUCUUGUGCAUAAUAUUAUAUCGUUUGAACAAACUAUGUCAUGAAUGUGGCUAUAAGAUUGAUCAUUUGGCUUGAAAGCCAUGAAUCUUCACACAUGGUAGCCCAUUUCAAAGAACACCUUUUCAAAAUAAUCACCGUAUUAAAAUUUAUUAUUUUUCCUCGUAACUUGGUCACAUAUUAUGACACAACGCGAAGGUUUUCCAUUUUUUUUGAUUUUUUUUGAAUUUUCAUGGCCAUUUCAAAAUGUUGUCGAAACGACGGGCAUGACCGUUCAUAGCUAGGGGUUGAAUCUUGCCAAAAAAAAUUGUUGGAUCUAUGAUUAAAUAGAUACUUAUUUAUCUAAAAAUGUUUUUUGUAAAAAAUCAUGAGAAAACUAUGAGGCACCUCUAGUUCAAAUUUGACCCGCUUCCUUCUGAUUCGGCAUUAAUUUGUCUUUUUCACUAGAGGUGGAUAAAAGCUUUUAACACCGAACCAUUUUGUCAAUUGCAAAUUAAAUAUAGCCUAGUAUUCUAGAAAAAUGAUUUGAUACAAUUUUGAAACAAAUAUAUGGUAGGUCCUUCACAAAAAAAACUCAUUUUGGGCACUUGAAAAAUGGAAAAUGAUUUUUACAUACAAGGAAAAUGAACACUUCCUUAAUCAGCAUUGUUUGUCAUUACAAUAUGCACCCUUAUGCACAAUAUUACAUCGUUUCAACAAACUAUGCCAUGAAUGUGGCCAUAAGAUUGAUUAUUUGGCUUGAAAACCAUGAAUCUUCACACAUGAUAGCCCAUUUCUGAGAAACUUUUUUUAAAUAAUUGUUGUAUUACAGGGUUAUUAUUUUUCCUGGUAUCUUUGUCACAUAUAAUGACACAAUGCAAAGGUUUUCCAUUUUUUUGUUUUUUUUUAAUUUUUCAUGGCCAUUUUAAAAUGCGGUCAAAACGACCGGUAUGACCGUUCUUACCUAGUGGUUGAAUCUUGGAAAUCUUUUGGUGUUUCUCUGAUUAAAUAGAUACUUUUGUACCUAUAAAUGAUUUUUGGAAAAAAUAAAAAUAAAUCUAUAAUGAAGCUACAAUUCAAAUUUGACCCGCUUCCAGCUGAGUCGAUAAAAAUUUGUCUUUUUCACGAGAGGUGGAUAAAAGCUUUUGACAUUAGUGAAUUGUUGGUCCAAUUUUACAACAAAUAUAUGGCAUGUCAUUAAUAAAAAACUCAUUGUACAUUAAAUGUGGCCUAGUAUUUUAGAAAAUUGGUUUGGUCCAAUUUUACAACAAAUAUAUGGCAUGUCAUUAAUAAAAAACUCAUUUUGGUCACUCGAAAAAUAGAAAAUGGUUUUUUUUUUUACGGAAAGAAAAUGCCACCCCAAAUCAACAUUGUUGGUCAUCCCUAGAUACACACAUUUGCAAAACAUUGGUUCAGUUCAACAAACUAUAAGAGGUUAAAUGUUACCCUGAAUAAGAGGGUAAAACCUAUAAAAGAAAAACAAAAAACAAAAUUUUACUAGAUGAACUCUGAUUGGUGAUAUCAGUUCUGAGAUGGAUCAAUGACAUGGCAAGCAUCCGUCCGUCCGUCCAUCCAUAUAUCCGUCCCUCCAUCAAUCCUAGCCCUCUCUCUCUCUCUCUCGCAGAAAACACCUCCCUCUCUCUCGCGUUCAAACCCUAGCCUUGCAGCCGCCUCACACCACCGCCCCCCGAUCCAGAUCCGACACCCACCUCCCUCUGCACCCUCCCACCACCGCUCCCCGAUCCAGAUCCACCACACACACAUCCCUCCGCUUACCGCCGGUCUACACCAUCCCUCCGCUGUCCCCGCUCCCCAUCCAGCAGCCGUUGUCCUCGCUCCCCAUCCAGAUCCAAACCCAAGCUCAAUCCCACUCGCAGCCCCGACCCCAACCCCUCCCUCUCCCCCGAUCCGCAGCCGAGGAGGACCAGUGCGGCGAGGAGUACGUGCGGGCCAAGGAGGACCAGUGCAGCGACCCGACCCUGCCCGCCCUCACCAUCGUGCUGCGCGCCGCCGGCGCCGGCGAGUGCUGGCACAAGCACGUCACCUUCCUCGCCCACCUGCUCGAGGUCUACCGGAUCCUGCGCCUCUGGGCCACGCCCGACGCCGUGGCCCGCUACGGCCUCUACCACUCCGCAUACUCCAUUUCCUACGUCAACCUCACCAUCUUCGAGCUCGAUGUCGGUCGCGCCCGCGUUGCCGCCCUCGUCGGGGACGAGGCCGAGCGGCUUGUCCACCUCUUCUGCGUCGUCCCACGGCAGCAGCUCGUCCAUGACGACCUACCCUUCCACCACCACGACGGUGACCUCAUCGCCGACCUGGCCCGGUCCGAGGAGUCCGUAUUGGACGCGCACCGCGGGGUGUUCGACGAGGACGAGCCCUGGCAACGCAAGAUCCAGCGCCUCCUCCCCGCCGACGGAAUCACAGUCAAGCACAUCAGGUGCGAGUUUGAUUGUUUGCUCAUCAGGAGCUUUUCUGUGGUUGAUUGCCUGAAUGAAAUCAGUACAUGUUCAGAUAACUAAAUUAUACAUUGUUGUGUGUAGUCUUUGUCAGAAAUAUAUACGGAGUACUACGGUACUGACAGACACAUAGAGUUCACCCAGAAAUCCAUGGUUAUGACCAAGAUGAUAAUUAAGUAUUGUAUGUUUCCUAUUAGGAUUAGGCAUUUCUUCGAAACAUAUACUGACAGAUGUAUAGAGUUCACUCAUCAGAGAAAAACUAAGUUAUGUCAAUUUUGCAAGAUUAUGUGGCAUCUUGACAAGAUAAGUUAGAUUUGUAGUAUGUCUAUUUAAUUAGGUGGUGCUACAUGUGGAUUAUGAUAUGACAUCUUCUCCAAAUAGGUGCAGGUGGGAAAAAAGCACAUAUGCUUAUCUGAAUGAGCCUGCAGUGACGGCGACGACGACGUCUACGUCAUGGUAACGGAUCGACAACGCACAUCUUCUUCCUUGUCUCGCUUCUACCAUAAAAGUGCCUGCUUUCCUUCGUGAAGUUCACAUGUGCACUUGAGUUCUGAUGUUUGGUUCGUUCAAUGGAGCAAUGUGGAAAGCCCUAUUUUUUAUUCUUCUUCUAGUAGAUAAUAGUAGUUGCCCCAAUUGCAUGUACUAGUUACUGUGUAAAUCCACACACAAAGGUUUGACACCCACAUUAGAAAGGCUCCUGACAUGAUUUGAAAUGGAUGCAGUCUGGAAUAUUUGUAUUUUCUUACAAAAUGCCCUGUUCAUUUCUGCCAUUAUGAAAUUCCUGAUUGUACAUUGGAUGCUCUAAAUGUUGCCUAAUUUGUAUCUACCCUGCAAAGUUUGUACUAUUUGUUUACACAUUGUUCUUAACUGUCAACUCAAUUAUUGGGCAGACAAUGUAGGGCAACCAAAUAGUUGAGCUCUCAUAUUGCCAUCCUGCUUCAGUAACCACUUCCUAUCUUAUUUUUUGAUUUCUUCAUUACAAUUUAUAGGCUCGGGAAAAUGAGGCAGAUUACAUUAGCCGAAUAACUGAGUUUUUUGAGGGCGUUGACAAGACCAACUACUUCACAUGUCGCUGGUUCUUCCGUCCAGAGGACACGGUGCGUACUGAUUGAGCAUUGUUGUGGUAUGCACAUUAUGUUCUUAUGUAUACCUAGAUAGUGGCAAACUAAUAGUUGUCUCGCAGGUCAUAUCUAGAGCCAAGUUUGUCAAUGAUCACACUCAUGACCCAAAGCGUGUCUUUCUCUCUGAGGAAAAGAAUGAUAAUCCACUUGAUUGCAUCAUAUCAAAGGUUAAGGUAAUCCAUGAUGAUCCAAAUGUGGGUGCCACUGUUCAAACUUCGUCAAUUAUUAAAGUGUCAUUUAAAUAUUGUUUCUCACUGUAUGUUUGCCUUGAUUUCAGACGGAUUCAGUGACCAAGGCCAAACUGGUGGCUCGCACUGACUUAUACUAUGACAUGCCAUAUUUUGUUGCUUAUUCUACAUUUGCUAACAUCCCAUCAGGUAAUUGUAGUUUCAUGCUUACAUUAGCUGCAUAUGGCAACACACUUGCACAAACUAGCUAUUGAUCCUUGAUUUGUGUGCUGCUGCUGCUGCUGCAUGUUUUACACAUGAUUGUUUAUUUAUUAUAGCUCCUCUAAAGUUCAUUGCAAGGGGUGUUUUGGUUUUUUAUUAACUCAUAAGCCUUGAAAAUAAUAAUACAAAAUUAUUCUUUCACCUUUCCUUGGUGAUCAUAAUCAUGUCUCGUUCUGAGUUUCAUCACUUGAAAUUGUACAUGCAAUUCAACAUCCGGCCCUGGAGGAGGACUGUUGAGGGGCAGGAUUCAAAGCCCGUGUCAGUCCAUCAGCGGCGCUUGCCCAACACCACACACCACACAUCACACACCACAGCCCACAGCCACAGCAACAGCAUGCAUGGGAUGAACACUCACUCUCUCUCACACACACAACCACACAAAGAGAGAGAGAGAGGGAGGGGGCAGUCAAAAGAACAAUCAAUGGGAAGGGGAUGCAGGGCAUGACCAUUUAAGGAAGCCUCCUUGACCUAGCCUGCCUGCUUGCUUGCCCGCUGGGUAGAGCAUGCAGUAGUAUGAUUGGGCUCUCUCCUCUCCUCUCUCUUGUGGUUGUGGUGCAGUGCAGUCCGGGCAGCAGAGUGGGAUGGGGAAAACAAGUGUACUGCUGCAAGGCUGUGGAUUGUUUUCUCGAGAGGAGAAGAAAAGCACUGCUGUGAUUUGAGGUUUCAUGUUGUUUUGCAGCGCCUAGCUUUUUUACCUUUCGCCCUGGAAAAAUAACUACUCAUUGCAAUCCCCCUUUUAUUCAGGUUUCACCGAGCCAACAUGCAUGCAAUGCACGGCCAACAGUUUUUUGGUUUCGGAAAGCUGCUUUCCUUCUUUCUUUCUCUUCAUUGUUUUUCAUUUUAAAUUACUAGUAGAUCCUUCAACAGAGCAUAUAUUUGCAGUGUUGCUGAGAUCCACAAGUAGUGUGGUCCUUGUGUAUUCAAUAAAACUAUCAUCGUAUUUACCGUUGGUGAUUGGACGCUGUUCAUGAGACUUGGUAAUUAUCUGAGUAAUAAAAAUGCACAUUCGUUGUUCAGUGAUACCGAUCAUAUAGGAAAGAGUUCAUAUGAGUGUUGUAAUAUCAGAAAGAUGCAUAUUCAGUGUUUAAGUAAAAAUUUGAUGUGUGCCACUUGUGAUUUUGAGUUGAUAAAGAACUUCAAAAUGUACUUCCGUAACUGCACUUAUUCCUUUUAAGUCACUGUACUUAUUUGAAUGUGCUUGAUAAGUCACUGUACUUAUUUAACCUUUUGUAUCUGGUACUAUCUGAAUGUUGCAGAUUCUCGAUUAUGCUUUUAACUGAUUAGGUACUUGUGAUUUACGUGCGUUAACAUAUGAUUCUUAAAUAAUUUCCUUUAGUCUUAUUUUCUUUUCUUCCUUGGUUUGGUGGUUUGUCUUUUACUUUGGACCUGAUAAAUAAUUAACUUUUACAUAGUUAGUCCUGUUGAAUAAGAAAAGGAGGAACCAGGGGUUGGUUAUGCAUGUCAAUUUACAAUUCUAGUUACCAGUGUAGUAUGUGUAGUGGGGACUAGGGACUAGGAAACAUUUUUCUAGGAUCUGUAAAGUGAAAAUCCAACACAUCAGUUUAUUUAGUCUCAUAGUUCUAAAUCUCAUAGUUAUUGACUAUUAUAUUAUGCACUCACAAUUCUUAAUGUUUUGCUCCUCGUGGGAUUGUAACGAAUUGAUCAUGUUUACUGUUAUUGUAUUUUACUGCUAUUUUCAGUUAACUGCUUAUUUUCAGAAAACUUCCUAAGAGUGUGCUUCUGAAUUGCAUUUGUAGGAGAAGGGCCAUGCCUAGACAAGCACAAAUAUGCGACUGCCUCCGGCUGGGGCUGGUGCACCUUGGGCUGGGGCUAGUGUUGUGCUGGAUCAGCACUAUCGGAGUUGGCUGGGUUGGAUCAGCUCCGCCUGGGAGAAGUUGCAGCGGUGCCUGAGCGACAAGGAGAAGGCCUGGGUGCUGAUGUGUCAUUGUAUUGUGUAGAUGUGCCAUUGUUUUAUUGUACAAUUCUGUUCGUUCUUGCUAUAUUCAUGUGUAAGGAAAUGUAUUUAUGAGAUAGAGUUAUUGUAUUUUGUGAUAUUAUAUGAUGGAUGAUUUUAAUUCAACUUGGAGUUUUCUUGAUUUGAAUAUGAAAUAGUGUUGGAUUUAAUAUUGGACAAAUAAUUGGGUUGAAAAGUCCCAACAAAUAGAAAUAAAACCAAGUUCUGGAACAAAAGGUUGCUGAAUUCAAAAAUGAAAAAAGGCAAAAACUGAAAAUGGAUCAAAUGUAUUUGGUCAUGAAAAGGCCAAGGCCCAAAAGAAGCCCAAAUUAGAAUGAUAAAAAAAAUUCGAAAAAAAACUAAAGUGGCUGAAAAUAGGCCAAGGCCCAAAAAAUCCCAAUAAGAAAAGCCCAAAAGAAAUAAAACGAGCCCAUGUGAUCAAUUGAAAUGGGUUGGGCUGAUUUCAGCCAUGACGUUUUGAUUUCAUCGUAAUUUUGCCACGUAGGACUUGGUUUGAUUGUCAGUGAUGAUUUAGGAUCGUCGUAAAGGUUACGACAAUCCAGGAAUCGUCGUAAAGUUACGACGAUUUUGACCAAAACGUCGUUGCUGUUCAUUUCUGACGCUCCGUUUUUGACGCUUGGUUUUUCGUCGUGCGAUCGUCGUAAAUGAAAAACCGUGACGAUGUAGCGACGGAAAAAUAGCGUCGUGUACUAGCAUAUUCCUUGUAGUGCGCGGGCGGAUGAAUAAUGGACGUGCGUCCAUUUAGGCCAGAUGUUGGACCGAUUUUUGUGUCCGCGACGACCUAGACGGACACGGUCGGACGAAAUGGUUCGCCCGGUUGAAGUUGCUCUUAAGUGUUGUAAAUGGAUAGGUUUCCAUUAGUUCUUUUUUUAAACGAAGGCAAAAGUAUUGUCUCAUUGAUUAAUUAAAAAAAAAAUUCCCGAGUUAAUUUACGGAAAAUCGAGCAGAAAUCAAUACAAACUCACUCAACACGAUGCACCAUGACCACAUAAACGGCCCGUCAAAUGCUCCUGACACACAACAACUACAACCCUGAAAACUUCUACUCCCUGUGUCCUAAAAUAAGUGUUUCAAGCUUACUACAUCUUUAUACUAGAGCUAGGACAAAGUUGAGACACUUAUUUUAAGACGGAGGGAGUACAAAGCAACCAACCCACGGCUAGAAAAACCGACAACAACGACUUAGAAUACCAAAGCCACUGUUUCUCGUGUUGUCCAGUACGUUUUGGUGCGUGCAAAACUGGUACGAACAAGAUCCUCUGACGUACAACAAGAAAUUACUGCCGAUGGAUGUCGUUGCCUGCGGGUCGUUCUUUUCGCAUCCUAAGGCAGGAGAUGAGACCCGUGAAAACACAUCGCAAGAGUCCGGUCGCCGGCGGCUGGCAGGAGAUGAGACCCGUGAAAACACAGCGCAUGAGUUCGGUCGCGCGGCGGCUGGCCCGCCAGCUCUAUGAUCAUGGACAUCCGCUCCACGCCAUCUAGGUCACCAUGCUCGUCAUCUGGCCACUGCCGCAUGCUGGGAAGAGGAGGAGCAGGAGACCGGCUUCUGGUUGCCGUGGUCUUUUUGACUUUUUCUCUCUCGUCUGCAUCAUCUCGCCGCCCUAACGCACGCUGGUCGCAUCCUCCGAAAGGAAGAGUACGAGUCUGGCUCCGAGGCCUCGUAGCAACAGCUAACAUCCGAGGCCUCAUCACCGUUUACUUACCACCGGAUGAAUAUGCUACAGCGAUGCCAUCAGCGUGUUCAUGUGUCAUUGUUCCUGUUCGUCACACGUCGGUGCAAAGGACGAGCGCAGCGGCCAGGAUGAGUGUCGGGGGAUAACUCCGGGUAGGCUCAUCAAGCAUGUUUCUUCAUUUUCGGUUCAAUGGGCAUGAAGGCACGGAGAUUCUCAAGACCCAAGUCUUCUGACCGGCUAGGCAUCACCUGUCGGCUGGAAGACGAGGCGGUCACCUUUCUGGCCGGCCAGGCAACCCUUGCCGGCUAGAAUCCAGGCGGCCUCCCAUUCAGACCCGGCCUGGUCCCGCCAGCCGGACUAAGAAGGAGGCGGCCGCCCUCAAGCCGGCUAACCAAGCGGGCUAGCCGGCCGAGGAUCACAAGUCACAUCAGAUCGUAGGUCGACAAGGGACCUCACGAUUAAAGGUAGCUACGCGUCAGCAAAGGUACAGGAUCAGGGCGCCCGGCAGGUACGAGCGUCGGCGGCCACGCCGCUGACCUACCCCGGCUCUGAUCAAUCACCUAGCAUGAUGUCGGACCGUCACACUCCCACUCCAUUACUGUACUCGGCAUGGGGAACAGUGGAGGCGGUCGUACUGUCUGCCCAUGAAAAAUCUCGCGGGGCUACGCUCGACGUACAGCGCGUGCUCGGCGUCAACCUUACGCGGGAGCCCCAUUGGCCAGCCGGCGGGUCCCACCAGUAAUCGAGACCAUGCAGCCGGCGGGCCCCUCAUCGACAAGACAAGACCCUUGCGGGCCCCUGGCCAGCCGGCGAAGCAGCCAGCCGGGUCCCACGCAUGUACUCUUUAUCCAUGUUGUAGGCCGGCGAGUUCGUCUAUAAAACCCCCCGGCCGCCCCCAUGCAAGGGGGCUGAUCACUUGCCAGUCAUUCAACACCACACACUCACCAACCAACAGAGAGCGAGGUAGAGACGAGCCGGUUGCUCCCCUCUUCCUCCUCCCAACACAGCUCCAGGAGCAACAUUGUACUCUCUUCCCAUACAUCAAACACACCAGCAGGAUUAGGGGUAUUAUCUCUACGGAGAGCCCUGUACCUGGGUAUAUCGUGCGUCUCAUGCGUGUACCAAUCUCGUUCCCAGCGCCCACCUUUGUCCCUUCGGUUCUCACCGACUUUAGCCUACCCAUGGCAUAUGUUGUGAGUAUUCACCGACAUUUGGCGCCCACUGUGGGGCCGAUCGCAGCAUCGGCUGGCUUCACGCGCUAGGCGGGGCCCCGCACCUACACCACCGGAUGCAUCGUGUCCGGAUCAGUUUGCAUGCCCGUGGAGCUCGCUUUCGACGAGGAGGCGCCCAUGAUGAUCGACGUCCCCGUCCGCCAUGUGGAUUCGGACAAAGAUUCUGAUGACGAGGCGCUCCCUAGCGUCGUCGUCGCUGCUAUGGAGAACCUCAUCGUUCUCUUCAGCGACCUUCGCCUCAACGACGGUCCAUGCUACUUAGGCGAGGACUACGAUGUUGAGGCGCUCUGCGCCAGCUUCAGCAGGCUCUCUAUCGCUGAGAUGUCUGCCAUGACGUUUACCCCAGUAACGUCCUCAUCUUCGACGGCCCUCCGCCGUCGGUGGGGUUCUUCACCCCAUACCACGUCGAUGCCGUCUCCAACGCCGUGGAGGUGAUGGUUAUCGGCGCCGGCACCAGAACGGCUCCCGGCAAGGCCUCCACAGGCGCUGGCGGGCCCGCUGCGGCCGUCGCCGACACUCUUCGAGACGCCAUCGCCGGCCUGAAGACACUGGUCACCGCUUCCGCCGACCCUGCAGACGAUCGGGCCUCAGUAGAGGAGGCUCGCAAGCGUAUCUUGGAGGAGGGCAUCGCCGUGGCCACGGCGAAACGUCGGUUGGAGGCUACACAUCGUGAGUACAACUCCGCAUACGGUCUUACUCCGAUCUCCGAGGCCCCCAGACGGCUUGGAUCGGUCCGCAGCCGCGGACGGUUCGCCGCCGAGGUUCUAGGCGGGGACCUACCCACCUACGAGACUCCUGCAACCAACAUGCGGGCAGCACAGGCGGCCAUGGAGGAGAUGGCAAGCAUGGAAGGCGAGGAGCGCGCCUUCUAGGAGAAGCGUGUCAAGGAUCUCCUUGACGCCGCUAACCAGCAGCACGCUCGGUUCGACCCCGGUCAGGCUCAAUCAGAGUCCCCGGGGCCGAACUCGGGGGCUCGUCGCAACCCUAGCGGCCAGCACCACGUCGAAGGAUCUUCCUCGCAUCGCCCUUCCGGCUGGAGGGGCGAGGGAAGCCAAGACCGGCGCUCGCAGCGCCAGAGCGAGCACACUUCGGGCUUACGUCGCGGAGGCGACGAGGACGAUUCGGAGUACGGGGAUCUUCCCCUGCGAAGAACUCACGCCUCCGGCUCCCGAGGCGCCUCCCCUCUCGCCACCGGGGCUGGCGCCCCCGCCACCCAGGAUGAGCGGGACGCUCGCCGGUAUAUCAUCGCCCUAGCCCAUUUAGCCCUCCUGGAGGAAGACGGACCCGUCGGUCCGGCAUGCUUCGGCCCCGGAUCCGAGGGAGCCGUUCCCCCGAGGUUUCACCUUGCCUCGGGAUACGCAAAAAUACAACGGCACGGCCAAGCCAGAAGACUGGCUGAUCGACUACACCACGGCCGUAGGCAUCGCCAGGGGCAACAAGCGUGUAGCGUUUUGCUACGUGCCACUCAUGUUGGCCGGCUCGGCCCAGACUUGGCUUAACAGCCUGCCGGCAGGCAGUGUCAACUCCUGGGUGGACUUCGAGGAGGCGUUCGUCCGCAACUUCACCGGCACCUACAAGCGCCCUGGCCGGCCCCGCGAGCUGGCCAUGUGCGUCCAGAAGGCCGACGAAACCCUCCGCGACUACGUCACCCGGUGGACUGAGCUCCGCAACUCCUGCGAGGGUGUGCAUGAGGUACAAGCCAUCCAGUACUUCAUCGACGGAUGCCGAGACGGCACCCUCCUCAAGCACAAGCUCAUGUGUGCCGAGCCCACCUCUUUGGCGGUGCUCAUGGCCAAGGCAGACAAGUACGCCACGGCCGACUCCGCAAUGUGCAUCAAGGUGACCGCCUUGGACAAGGUUGUGCCUGCGCCGGCUACUCCCAAGCCGGCUGGGGACAACCGAGGCGGCCAAAACAACUACAAGCGCAAGGCAGAUCAGAUGGAUCCCCGCUCCAACAACAAGCUAGUGGCCAACAUGGAGGGCGAGGCGUCGGCUUCCCAAGCCGGCCCUCCACGAAACCGUCGCAAUCAAGGCAACCCCAACUGGCUGCCCAAGCAGUCUCUCGAGCAGCUGCUCGACGCCCCCUGCAAGAUACAUUCUGGGGCGACGCCGUCUACCCAUACCCUUCGACAGUGCAGCAUCUCACGCCGGCUCUCGCAAGGGGAGGGCCUGCCGGCUCCCCAUCACGCUCUGCUUCCGCCGCCACCGCCUCGCGAUGAUGGUCCUCACCCUGACGACUAUCCUCACCAAGACGGAGCGUUCGUCGUCUUCACCAGCGAAGGCGACGACAAACACAGCCUGCGCCAAAGACGGCGCGAGGUAAACGCCACGGUCCCCCCGGUUUCCCCAGUACAUGCAUUGGUCUGACAAGCCAAUCGCAUGGAGCCAGGUGGACCAUCCUGCGGUGAUGCCCAACCCGGGGUCAUACGCACUCGUCCUCGACCCCACCUUCGCCUCCAAAAGGCUCACCUGCCGAUUCUCCCGGGUGCUGGUCGAUGGCGGCAGCAGCAUCAACAUCCUCUACCUCGACACUCUCCGCAAGCUCGGGCUCAAGGAUACGGACGUCCUGCCAACCAGCACUGUCUUCCAUGGCAUCGUACCUGGGCAGUCAUGCUCGCCCAUCGGCAAGAUCCAGCUGGACGUCCUCUUCGGCGACAAGGCCCACUUCCGCCGAGAGUCCAUAUGGUUCGAGGUAGUGGACCUGAGUAGCCUGUACCAAGCGCUGCUGGGGAGACCGGCUCUGGCCAAGUUCAUGGCUAUUCCGCACUACGCCUACUUGAAAAUGAAGAUGUCGGGUCCCAAGGGCAUCAUCACUAUUGUUGGCGACUACAAGAAGUCGCUCGAGUGUGCCCAGGAUAGCAUCCGCCUCGCUGACGCCUUGGUGAUUGCCGAGGAGAAGCGGCAGAUCGACCGGCUCGUGGCCCAGGCUACUGAGCAGUCGGCGAUUCCUUCUCCUCCGUCCCAGUCGGCCGGCGAGGGCUCUUUCAAGCCGGCUAAAGAGACCAAGCAGGUCCCACUCGACCCUGCCAACCCAAAGCAGUGCAUCACCAUCGGGGCUGGCCUCAGCCCCAAAUAGGAAGGCGAGCUCGUCGACUUCCUCCCUGAGAAUCGGGACAUCUUUGCAUGGCCCCCCAAGGACAUGCCGGGUGUUCCGAGGAAGUACGCCGAGCACAAACUUCACGUGCGACCGGAUGCAAAGCCGGUGAAACAACCUUUGCACCGCUUCGCCGAGGGGAAGCGGCGCACAAUCGGAGAAGAGAUCACCUGGCUCCUUGCAGCCGGCUUCAUCAUGGAGGUUUUCCACCCGGACUGGUUGGCGAACCCAGUCGUGGUGCUGAAGAAGAACAACACAUGGCGAAUGUAUAUCGACUACACUAGCCUGAAUAAGGCCUGUCCGAAAGACUCUUUCGCGUUGCGUAGGAUAGAUCAAGUGAUCCACUCCACUGCAGGCUGCGAACUGCUGUCAUUUCUGGAUGCUUAUUCAGGCUACCAUCAAAUCAAGCUGGAUCCAGCUGAUCGCCUGAAGACCUCCUUCAUCACGCCCUUCGGGGCCUACUGCUACACCACCAUGACGUUCGGUCUGAAGAACGCACGUGCGACGUUCCAACACUGCAUGCAGCAGUGCUUGCUGCCACAGAUUGGCAGAAACAUCCACGUCUAUGUGGAUGACAUCGUCGUCAAGACGAAGUAGCACUUCAGCCUCCUCGACGACCUACGGGAGACAUUCGCCAAUCUGCGCGAAUACAAGAUCCGGCUCAACCCUGAGAAGUGCGUCUUCGGGGUCCUAGGCGGCAAACUCUUGGGGUUCUUCGUAUUCGCCCGUGGUAUCGAAGCGAACCCAGAGAAGAUUAGCACCAUCGAGCGGAUGGUGCGGCCGGCUCGGAUCCUCGACGUCCAGAAGUUCGUCGGCUGCUUGGCAUCCCUCAGCCGGUUCGUCAGCCGGCUUGGCGAGAAGGCCCUUCCACUCUACCAGCUCAUGAAGAAGACGACGAAGCUCGAGUGGAACGACCAGGCGGACGAAGCCUUCCGCGAUAUCAAGCGGGUAAUCUCGAGCCUGCCAAUCUUGGCAGCCCCAUCUGAAAGGGAACCCAUACUCAUAUAUAUCGCGGCGACUACUCGCGUGGUCAGCGUAGUGUUGGUAGUUCAGCGCAAAGAGGAAGGCAAGGCCCUGCCAGUACAACGCCCGGUCUACUACCUUAGCGAGGUCUUGUCCACCUCUAAGCAGAACUACCCUCAUUAUCAGAAAAUGUGUUAUGGUGUUUACCUUGCUGCAAAGAAAUUAAAACAAUACUUCCAAGAGCAUGCCAUCACUGUGGUGAGCAUGGCUCCGCUCUCAGAGAUCAUGGGCAACCGUGAUGCCAUGGGCAGAAUUGCCAAAUGGUCCAUCGCCAUGGCGGACCAUGAUAUUCGGUACGAGCCUCGCACCGCCAUCAAAUGACAGGUGGUGGCCGACUUCUUAGUCGACUGGGUUGAGACCGAGUUCGAGCCACCGCCUCCAGACUCCACCCAUUGGCGGAUGCACUUCGACGGCUCAAAGAUGCGGACAGGACUGGGAGCCGGCAUCAUCUUGACGUCUCCGAAAGGGGACCAGCUCAAGUACGCUCUUCAGAUCCAUUUCGCCGCCUCACCGAGUACGAAGCACUAGCUCAUGGCCUCCGGCUUGCCAAGGAGAUCGGCAUCCGGUGGCUCAUAUGCUUCGGCGAUUCAGACUUGGUGGUUCAGCAGGUCUCUGGCGAAUGGGAUGCCAGGGACGCCAACAUGGCGAGCUACCGCUUCCUCAUCCAGCAGCUCAGCGGCCCCUUCGAGGGUUGUGAGUUCCACCAUGUUCCCAGAGCGGAAAAUGAGGCGGCCGAUACACUGGCGAAGAUCGACUCCACAAGACAGGCCAUUCCGGCCGGCGUCUCCCUCGAGCAACUCCACAAGUCGUCUAUCAAGUCGUCUCCUGAGUCGGCAUCAAUCUUCGUGCCGGCCGACUCUAGACACAAGCGCCCCCGGCUCCGCCAGUUAUGUCGGCUGUGGACCCCACACCGGCUGCACUGAUGGCACCGGCUCCAAAUGCGGGACCGACUGAGUCUAUGGUCCAAGCGCCGUCGGCUCCACCAACUACACCGGCUUCGGAUCCUAAUCCGGCCCCAUUGGUCCAACCGACUCCAACAGCGGCACCAGCUACAACGACAACCCCGGCCCUGUCCGGGCUCGAAUCCUCCCAGUGGGUGGACGUCAUGGAGAUAGACGGUGAGCCGGCUGCAGCAAUAGCACCGGAGGCGCCAUCAAGCUCGGGGGCUGCAGAAGCCCCCAACAGUCAAGACGAAGCAGAGGCGACCCUUGUGUCGGCUCCAUCAUGGGCUCAGGCCAUUCUGGCCUUCCUUCUUCGCGGCGAACUUUCUCAGGACGAGGCGGAGGUAAGGCAGACCCAGCGCAGGUCCGUCGCCUACGCCAUCAUCAAUCGCGAACUGGUACGACGCAGCACGACCCGCGUGUUCCAACGCUGCGCUGAAUCAGAAAAAGGGCAGGAGAUCCUCAGAGACAUCCACCAGGGGGAGUGUGGGCAUCAUGCCGCCUCCAGAACCCUGGUGGCCAAAGCAUUCCGCCAUGGAUUCUACUGGCCCACGGCCCUCGAGGAGGCUGUGGAUCUGGUGGACAAAUGUGAAGGCUGCCAACGCUUUAGUGCACAAAGCCAUAUGCCGCCUUCAGCGCUGAAAACCAUUCCCUUAUCAUGGCCAUUCGUCGUCUGGGGACUAGACAUGGUUGGGCCCUUCAAGACGGCUCGCGGAGGGAUGACACAUCUUUUGGUAGCCGUCGACAAAUUCACCAAGUGGAUCGAAGCCAGGCCUAUCAAGAAGCUUGACGGCCCCACUGCUGUCAGGUUCAUCACAGACAUCUCUGUCCGAUAUGGCGUUCCCCACAGCAUCAUCACCAACAACGGCACCAAUUUCGCCAAGGGUGCCCUGGCGCUCUACUGUUCCAAGAUAGGCAUCCGGUUCGACUUGGCCUCAGUGGCACACCCUCAGUCAAACGGCCAGGCAGAGAGAGCCAAUGGCCUGAUCCUAGCCGGCAUCAAGCCAAGACUGGUGGCACCACUGGUCAGGUCAUCCGGGUGCUGGAUUGAAGAACUACCGGCUGUACUAUGGAGCCUCCGCACCACGCCCAACCGGUCGACCGGCUUCACUCCAUUCUUUCUGGUAUAUGAGUCCGAGACUAUUAUUCCCACGGAUGUCGAGUUCGACUCGCCUCGGGUCACCCUAUACACAGAAACAAAGGUGAAGGAGGCCAGAGAAGACGGUGUGGAUCUCCUCGAAGAAGCAAGGGACUUGGCUUUAAGCCGGACGGCCAUCUACCAACAGAAGCUGAGAUACUACCACAGCAAAAGGAUGAGGCCUCUCUCUUUCAGAGAGGGAGACUUGGUCCUCAGAAGAAUCCAACGCACUACCGGCCAGCACAAGCUCUCACCCCUCUGGGAGGGACCCUUCAUCAUCAGUAGGGCGCUGCACAACAACGCCUACUACCUGAUUGACGCCCAGAAGCCAAGGAAGCGCAAGAGGGACGACUCCGGCCAAGAAACGGAGCGCCCAUGGAACACGGCGUUGUGAAAGGACGUGGAUGUCGCCUAGAGGGGGGGUGAAUAGGCGCUUUAAAAUAAUUAAGGUUUAGGCUUGAACAAAUGCGGAAUAAAACUAACGUUUAAUAUGUCAAGCACAAAACCUACAAACAACUAGGCUCACCUAUGUGCACCAACAACUUAUGCUAAGCAAGAUAAACAACUAAGUGAUAGCAAGAUAUAUUACAAUAAACAAUAUGUCUAUCACAAAGUAAAGUGCAUAAGUAAAGGGUUCGGGUAAGAGAUAACCGAGGCACGGGGAGACGAUGAUGUAUCCCGAAGUUCACACCCUUGAGGAUGCUAAUCUCCGUUGGAGCGGUGUGGAGGCACAAUGCUCCCCAAGAUGCCACUAAGGCCACCGUAAUCUCCUCACGCCCUCGCACAAUGCAAGAUGCCGUGAUUCCACUAAGGGACCCUUGAGGGCGGUCACCGAACCCGUACAAAUGGCAAACCUUGGGGGCGGUCACCGAACCCGUACACGUGGCAACCCUUGGGGGCGGUUACCGGUACCCGUACAAAUUGCUCGGGGCAAUCUCCACAACCUAAUUGGAGACCCCGACGCUUGCUCGGAGCUUCACACCACAAUGAUUAAGCUCCGAGACACCACCAAGCUUCUAGGACGCCAAAGCAUCCACGAAGAACAAUAUCUAGGGUACUAAGUACCAAAGGUAGUAAGCUUCUCAACUUCUCACAUCCACGUAUCACCGUGGAGAACUCAAACCGAUGCAACUAAUGCAAUGGCAAGAACACACGAAGUGGUCAAGUCCCUCACACUCAAAUCCCUCCACAACAACGAAAGCUAUGGAGAAAUAUGAGAGGAAGAACAAGGAGCUCACAAAGAACUCCAAGAUCUAGAUCCAAGGGGUUCCCCUCACAUAGAGGAGAAAGUGAUUGGUGGAGAUGUGGAUCUAGAUCUCCUCUCUCUUUUCCCUCAAGAACGAGCAAGAAUCAUUGGAGGGAUUGAGAGUAAGCAAGCUCUAAGAAUGUCAACAAUGAAGGUAGAACAAGAGCUCAACAGAUGGAUUUGACCAAGGGGGAAGAAGACCCCCUUUAUAUAGUGGGGGAAGGAAUCAGACCGUUACCCCCACUUACAGCCCGAGCCCAGCGGCACUACCGCUCACCCUCCGGCGGUACUACCGCUGACCCUCCAGCGGUACUACCGCUGGCUGCGGCGGUACUGCCGCUAAGCCCAUGGUAGCGCAAAGAUACUACCGGGCCAACCACCGCCAAGAAAGUCUUCGCAAAAAUGUUCGACGCAGUACAACCGCAAAGAUGACAGUACUAAAAUCUUGGAGCGGUACUACCGCUGACCAGGGGCGGUACUACCGCUGGGACAGCGGUACUACCGCCAGCUCUAGCGGUACUACCGCUAGGGCCAGCGGUACUACCGCUCGCCACUGAAACAGCCAUAACUUUCGCAUACGAGCUCCGAAUCGAGCAAACCCAAGCUUGUUGGAUUCAGGACGACAAGAGCUCCGAAUCUUAAGACCAUACAGAUAUGACAAUGCCAAUGAUAUAGAGAUGUGAGUCCUCUAUGAAUGAAGAACCGGCAAAAACUCCAAUAUCGAAAACAUCAUAGUAGAUGCAUAUGGACUCCGUUUUCGAUGAACUCUAGCUUGUCACGAAGAUGACCAUAAGCUCUAAAACUCACAAAGAGAAACACCAAACAAGAACCAAGAAGUAUGACGCAAGGAUGCAAAUGGUUUGAGCUCUCAAUGAACGAUACGAUCAAGCUACUCACUUGAGAGUCCCCCUUGAUAGUACAACAAUCUAUCCUAAACAGAAAACCUAUCAAGGGCAAACCUAUACCUUGCACCUCGUCCACUUGAGCUAGAUGAUGAUGAUCUUGGCUUCCUCAAGAUGGACCACCUUUCUUGAUUGCGUUGGCUUGAUAAAGACUAGUUGAUUUCUCCCCCAUACUUACUAUGGGUGAGCCACUCUUCGGCAUAUCUUCACAAGUCCAUUGCCACCAUAAUGGACGGCAAGCUUAAAGCACGAUAUAUUUGUGCUGAUCCUUUUGAACUUGCACACCGCAAUCUUGAUGACGAUCACCGCUUGACGUCAUCCUUCAUGGGUUGUAUGAGAUCUUCCUCUAGGCUCAAGCCCAUGGAAACACACCUAACCCCCACAUAGAACUCUCACAAAGACCAUGGGUUAGUACACAAAUACGUACUGGACAAUGCUUACCAUACCAUGGGAUCACUUGAUCCCUCUCGGUACAUCUUGUACGCUUUGUGUGUUGAUCAUCUUGAUUUACUCUUUGUCUGACGAUCUUGAUCAACCUUGUGUCUCUAUGACCAUUCUUUGGAUAAUACCUUGAAUACCAUCUUGGUCAUCAUAUAAACUCCUUGAACCCAACAGAUGGACUUCAAGAAGUGCCUAUGGACAAAUCCUAUAAAUAUAACUUAAGGCAACCAUUAGUCCAUAGGAAUUGUCAUCAAUUACCAAAACCACAUAUGGAGAUAUAUGCUCUAACACGUUGCUUCGCCCGUUCUAUUGCUAAAAGGCAGAAGACAAGCAAAGGAAAGAGCAUGCACAUGUAUCUUCCUCCCUCUUCAGGGAACAACGAAGGCAAUAAAAAGAACAUGCUCCAUGUUUCUUUUUGUCAAGAGUUUUCACUCAGUGUACGGGCUACACAGCGUACCACCUCUUGCCGCUUAAUCAAGCUCGGAGGCUACGCAGCGCGGCCCCUUGCUAGCUUAAACAAGCUCGGGGGCUCACCAGCCGCCUAAACGGUCCACCCUUAUAACGGACACAUAGUGUACCGGCUGACUCCUGGUCCAUCGCUCGAGCCUGCGGGCUGGCUCCGGUCGCUCGGUUCGCGAUAUGACGCCAGGUCAGGUCGAAUACAUGCAAAGUUCGGCUAUACUUGGGACGACCGGCUCGGGCUGGCUUGAUCGUAUAUACGAUCUCCUUCAAGACUCAAGACGGCCUGUGAUUGUCGAGACUCAAGACGGCCUCUGACUGCCGGGAACAACAAAUAUGAUAAAAAGAGCAUGCUCCAUGCUUCUUCUUGCUAAAGAGUUUUCACUCGGUGUACGGGCUACACCGCGUACCACCUCUUGCUGGCUUAAUCAAGCUCGGAGGCUAUGCAGCGCGGCCCCUUGCUAGCUUUAAACAAGCUCGGGGGCUCGCCAGCCGCUCGGACGGUCAAUCCUUGUAGACGGGCACAUAGUGUACCGGCUGACUCCUGGUCCUUCGCUCGAACCUGCGGGCUGGCUCCGGCCGCUCGAUUCGCGAUAUGACGCCAGGUCAGGCCGAAUACAUGCACAGUCCGGCUAUACUAGCGACGACCGGCUCGAGUUGGCUCAUUCAAGCCGGCCUCUGAUUGGCUUAUGUCUUGUUCUUUAUGUCUUGAUGGCUUCAGAUAAGAGAAGUCAACCAGGAAUCAAAAGACAGGAUCAUAAGACAACACACUUGGUGAGGAAUAUAAUGUUGAAUAUCUACAUUCAUAAAAGCAUUGCCCCACGGCUCACGUUCGUUACAUCCCUCCGGGGGUAGAACCAAAAACACAAAAGGACACCAAUUAUGGGACAGCGGCCUCAGUGGUCGUCUCGGCUGCUGCUCCUGAUGUGGUGGCAUCACCGCCUCCAGCUCCUCCUGAGGUGGUUGUGCCGGCUCCCCCGUUGCGGCCCCGGGCUCCGCUGAUCCCGGAGUCAGCAUACGCCCCACAGCUGGAGGCGGCUGCAGAUUCCGUAGCCCGGACCGCCUCAUCGGAGCUGCCGUCGGCGUCAUAGGGCUGAAGGUUGUGCAGAUCUUCCGCGAUCACGCCGCCGCCUUCACCCCGCUCCAAGACGAAGUCAUCCCAGGCUGCGUACUCGGCGACGGCGCUGGCUCUCACCCGGAGCUCCUCCUCCAUGCCUUGCAGCAACGCUUCUGAGCCGUCGCGCUGGGCAGCCAGCUUGCCCAAGUUCAGGUUAUGAUACCAUGACUUGGCCAAGCGCAGGGCCAUAUAAGCCCCAGACCACGCUGCGGAGGCAUGCCAGGCGUCCAGGCGCUCUCCACCCACUUCGAGCCAGCGGGCAAGCCGUCUCAUGGUCGUCGGCUCCACGCCCUCCGGCCACAGGGCCACCACCAUCGACGAACCUGCAACCUGGAGCCGAGUCACCGACUCGCCUAGGACGCGCAAGCGGGCCCGAAGGCCCACCCCGAUCUCCUCUAUGCUCCAGCCGGAGGUAGUAUCUACCUCCUGCCCGGCUGCGCGGCGCUCCUCGCGACACACCUCAACGGCGGUGUCGGCUGCGACCUGGGUCUCGGGGAAGAGAUCUGGGGUAACGGCAACCAGGACGUAAGAACACAGCAAGAAGAGGAGAAAGCAAAGAGAUCAAACACAAAACAAGGAAAAGAGACCCACGCUGGAAGGCGUCGUCGGUCUCAUGAGAGACCUCAAGGACCUCGCGCUCCCGCACCUCACUCGCAUGAGUGAGGCGGGCGAUUUCCUCCUAGAGGGUCGCGACAGACUCCAGCGCCUUGGCCAGCUGUGCUUGAUUCUGCGUAAGGGCUUCGUCCUUCACCCUCAAGGCGGCGUCCUUGAGGUUCACCUCCUCAAGAUGAAGCGACGCGAGGCGGUCCAUGUCGGCAAAGUAGGAGGCCUCCUUCUCCUGCAGCGUGGCCCGCAGCCGCUCCAACUCGACCCAGCCGGCCGCCUCGAGCUCCUUCUUCUCCGCCUGAAGAAGGUCCAGCUGCUCUUGGAGCCGGCCGCCGGCAUCGCGCAGGGCAUCACGCUCCGCGGCAACCUCGCCCAGUCGGGCUUCAAGCUCGGCGAUCCGGCUAUCAGCCCCCAGGUGCUGAUCCCGAAGCUCGUUGUACGCUUGUACCUGAGCAUCGUAAAGCGCCUGCCAAGGGGGAGAGAAAGGGAAUAAGAUUAAGAUUCGACUUGUUAAAAGCCUAACCAGCCGGAUUCUCGGUGGCUACACCCAGUGGGUGCGCUUGCGCGCCCCCACUGAAGAAAACUGCGCAGGAAAAAAGGCCUCCAAGAGAUUCGGACCCGUUGGCAAUCAACCCGCUCGAUUCUCGGGGGCUACACCUAGUGGGUGCGCUGUCGCGCCCCCCGCUAACGUCAAGAGAAGAGAAAAAAACCAAAAAAGGCAAGGCCUACCUGGGUGCGGGCUUCCAGGCACUCCAUAUCGCCGCAUACCACGCGGGCCGCCUGCUCCACCUUCGAUCGACCGCUGGAAAACAAUGUCACCAGCUCUGGUACGCCGGAAAGAACGGUGCCAGCGGGCAUUCGCAGGCGGGCCAAGUUCGCUGCCCGCCACGUCUUCAUGGACCGGCUCCCAGCCCGACCCCCGGCCCUUGGCGCAACAGGGUCGUGCUGGAGAGCGAUGAUGGCGCCGGCUCCGGGUGCCGUCUCGACGACCGGCUCGGGCGCCGUCCCAGCCGGCGCUACCUCCUCCGUAGGAGGCGGAUGAGCCGCGUCCGGCGCAUCCAUGAUCGCCCCUGAGGCAUCAUGGGUCGUGUCCGGCGCGGUCAGAUCCAGCACCGGCGCGUCAGGAGCCGCUUCGGCCCUGGGAGAAACCGGGAUCGUCUCCAGGUCCACCUGCUCCGGGGCUGCCGGCUCGGAUGGCUGGGCCCCUUCGGUCCUCGGGGCCGGCCUGGAGGCGGCCUCGCUAGUUGGCUCCUCCACACGGGCAUGUGCGGAGGAGUCCUAUCUAGCCUUUGCACGCUUCUCCGCCGGCCUCUCAACCCGGCUGGGGCGAGGCUGACCCACGGCGGUCUUCCCUACAACCUUGUCCCACCGGCGCUUAGAUUCUAUCUCGAGCUCCCUCUCAGCAACGUCAGCUGCUGCCCAGCCGGCCCGCUCGGUUGCGGAGGCGGUGUCUUCAUCCACAUCCUCCGCCCCCUGUCAAGCCAAGCUUCUCAGGAACAAAGCUCAUCUCAAGAUGAGGAAGGGCGAAGAGGAGGAAACCAUACCCUGCAACUACCGGGACCUGCCUCCGGCCACCGCCACGGCGCCUCUUGGCGCCGUUUGCUCGCUGCCCGGCUGGGGGACCAGGCGUCGGUCGCUUAGAGGCCGGCCGGGAAGUUGUGGCACCCUUGCCCUUCUUCCCGGCUGCCUCGUCAGUAGCGGUCGCUCCGCCACCUUGAAGCCGGCCGCGCAACAGUAGUGGGCUGGUGACCUCCUCCACCUCGUCGGAGUCUUCCUCGAAGGCUGCAUCAGAACAGAAUGAGGCUUCCUCAUCGUCGUCCGUCCAGUCUGCUAUGGCGUGCAGCGGGUACUCACCACACGGCUCGGUCCCUUCCGACUCCAGGGGAUCCUUCGAGCCGGCGGAGGAGUCUGAGCGGGGCUCCAUCGCAUCCUCGUCCUCCAUCUCGGAGGCGUCGGACACCUCCACGUUAGGAGCAGGCUGACGAAGGGACCCCUGCAGGGUCUUGAACAUCUACAAGAAAGGAAUUCGCCCUANNNNNNNNNNNNNNNNNNNNNNNNNNNNNNNNNNNNNNNNNNNNNNNNNNNNNNNNNNNNNNNNNNNNNNNNNNNNNNNNNNNNNNNNNNNNNNNNNNNNGGUGAUGGAUGAUUAUGCCGGAUGUUAUUCAUCAUGCAACAACUAUAACAUGGAGAGAUAUGUAACUAGCUCCAGUUCGUCAAUGUAAUGUAGGCAUGUAUUCCGUAUGUAGUCAUACGUGCUAAGGGAAAAGAACUUGCAUGACAUCUAUUGUCCAUCCCUCCCGUGGCAGCGGCGUCCUAAUGGAAACUAUGGGAUAUUAAGGUUCUCCUUUUAAUAAAGAACCGGACCAAUGCAUUAACACUUAGUGAAUACAUGAACUCCUCAUACUAUGGUCAUCUCCGGGAGUGGUUUCGGCUAUUGUCACUCCGGGGUUGCCGGGUCAUAACACAUAGUAGGUGACUACAACUUGCAAGAUAGGAUCAAGAACACACAUAUAUUGACGAGAACAUAAUAGGUUUAGAUCUGAAAUCAUGGCACUCGGGCCCUAGUGACAAGCAUUAAGCAUGGCAAAGUAGUAGCAACAUCAAUCUCAGGAAAUAGUGGAUACUAGGGAUCAAUCCCCAUCAAAACUAACUCGAUUACAUGAUAGAUCUCAUCCAACCCAUCACCGUCGAGCAAGCCUAUGAUGAGAUUACUCACGAACAGUGAAGAGCAUCAUGGAAUUGGCGAUGAAGGAAGGUUGGUGAUGACGAUGGCGACGAUCUCCCCUCUGCGGAGCCCAGAACAGACUUCAGAUCUGCCCUCCAGAGGAAGAAUAGGAGGUGGCGGCGCCUCCGUAUCGUAAAACGCGAUGAACUCUUCUCCUUGAUUUUUUUCCGGACAAAAGGGACUAAAUAGAGCUGGAUUUGGAGGCGGUGGAGCUUCAUGGGCCCCACAAGCCUGCCAGGCGCGACUAGGGGGUCCCGCGCCUGGUGGGCUUGUGGGCUCUCAGCUCCACCCCUCCGGUUGAUUCUUGCGCCAGUAUUUUUUAUAUAUACAGAAAAAAUCCCCGUAAAUUUCCAGGUCAUUCCGAGAACUUUUAUUUCUGCGCAAAAACAACACCAUGGCAAUUCUGCUGAAAAUAGCGUUAGUUCGGGUUAGUUCCAUUCAAAUCAUGCAAAUUAGAGUCCAAAACUAGGGCAAAAGAGUUUGGAAAAGUAGAUAAGACGGAGACGUAUUAGUGACCCUGUUCUUGAGCUUUGCAUGCUAAUUUUAGCUGGUCCCAAGUAGUUUCGAUGUGUGAUAUGGCCUCUAUUCACUUGUCGGAGUAGUUGCUAUGAAUUUAGUUGAGCCUUGUUCACUUUUUCUUUGAGUCACUGAAAGUUUCAGAAAAGGAAGAUGUUUAGGAGAAACUAUCAUGGUGGUUCCUCAAGCAAGAGGGGUCCCCGUCUCGCGAUUCGGGAACCCGAUCCUUACCAAUAGAGGAACGCACAGGUACAACCAUGUGAAUGGCCUUCUGAUGAAUUAUUGUUUGAGGCAGGUUUCAAAGACGAGUUUGACACACUUGUUCACAACGUCGGACUCAAAGAAUUCAUUUCCGAUAAAUGUGAACAAUAUGUUACUCUCACUGCCUCUUUUGUUCGUAGAUUCAAAUUUUCAGUUGGUCGUGAUACAUCUGUACUGUUUGAUCUCUAUGACAAAUCGUAUACCAUGGAUUUAGAGGAUUUCAACAGAAUUUGCAAGAUACGUAGUUGGUGUAGUCUCAAUGAUCCUCCUAAAUCUUUGGUUAGGGAUUUUUUUCUCUAGUAUAACUGUUGGAGAAACUAGAGAUAUUACACAGGCUACCAUGGGGAGCAUUCAUUUUCCUGCCUUGCAUUACUUUGCCCUCUUCACAGGCAGAUGCAUUAACGGCAAGAUUGAGCAUUGUCACCUCUGCGCACCUGACCUUGGUAUUCUUAAGAGCGUAGUAACGGGUGAUAGAAGUUUCAACAUGGGAGCUAUAAUAGCAAGGAGGCUGAAUAAUAAUGGUAAUGAAGGGGAUUUCUUUGGAGGGAUCUAUGCCACUCGCAUAGCAAAUAUUCUUGGAGUACCCAUCCGCGAAGGAGAUCCCCCGCUCCAUACAGCUUUCCUUGAUCGCGCCGCUUUGACAUGCUAUCAGUUCCUUGAGAGGGAUGAUGAAUCCCUCCUAUACCGGUUAAUAUUUAACCGACAGCGUGUUUUCCAUAUUACCCUUCCUGCUCCUGCCUUCUUUGACUUUCAGGUAAAACGAAGAUAUUACAUAACCAGAGGAGAGGUAGAGGAGUAUGAGAGGGAGGCAAAGGCCGCUCACCUCCGUGAGGCAGCUAUUCAGGCAGUAGCUGCAGCGCUCCCGUACAACCCCCAUUAUGAUUUUGGGUAUCGCCCGGACCAUCCAUGGGAGUAGACCAACUUAGGCCAAAAGCCUAAGCUUGGGAGAGUACGUGUUUCUCACCGACUUUAUAUUCUUGCUUACACUUUCACUUUGUUAGUCGGUGUUCACACUUUUCCACUGUAUCAUCCAUGCUAGUUUAUUUUCUUUUUCUCACUUUCUUCUCGUGUGUUUGUCUAGUUUGAGAAAACCCAAAAAAGAUUUGUCGUUCUUCUUUUGCUUGUUGGGAUCUUUCCCGUGUAAAUAGUUUUCUUUUUCUUUGGGUCAAGGUAGAAGACCAUGCUUACAAUGUUUAGUGGCUCUCGCAUGCAUAUCUGUUUAUCUGUCAUAGAUCCAUAUUACUUUGUAUUUUCCUUCGUGUUUUCUUGCAGAUUCCAGCUUAGUCCAAUGGACCAGCACUCUUAUCAUCGUCCACAUCAUUCGGUCGUGCAAGUGAAAGGCAAUAAUGACGAUAUAUGACGAAGUGACUGAGCCUGGAAAAGCUGGUAAUAACUCGAUCUAUUUUGUUUUUGUAAAUAUGACUAGCUCAUCGUUCCUGAUUCAGCUUUGUUGUGAGAGAAACAUGUUUGCAUUGACAACUUAGAGAUCAUAGUUUUUGAUGCCAUGCUUAAUUAGCUAGGAGCUUAUAAUGGUUUGUCUUGGAUGGCAACGUGGAUCUUGAGAUGAUUAUGAUGUAGUAUGAUAGGAUGGUAUCCUCCUUUGAAUGUUUCAAGUGGCUUGACUUGGCGCAUGUUUACGCAUGUAGUUGAAACAAAAUGAACAUAGCCUCUAUGACAUUCAUGUUCAUGGUGAUUUAUGUCCUAGUCAUGCUUGCACUCAAUGUUGGUUAAUCUCAAUGCAUUUUGAUGACUGUUGUCGCUCUCUAGUUGGUCGCUUCCCAGUCUUUUGCUAGCCUUCACUUGUACUAAGCGGGAAUACUGCUUGUGCAUCCACUUCCAUAAAUACAAAGUUGUUUCAUAUGAGUCCACCAUACCUACCUAUAUGCGGUAUCUACCUGCCGUUCCAAGUAAAUAUGCAUGUGCUACUCUCUAAAUCGUCAAGAAAUAAUCUGUUUUGCAUGCCCGAACCGCUCAUGUGGUGACAAGGGGCGAUCAGUAUGUUCCAUGCUAGGCAUGUUAUCCUCGAUAUGUGUUUAUUCACUAUCACUCACGAGAAAGAGGCCGAUAAUUGGAAUGCCCAGUUCCAUGCUCAAAUCGAAAAGAUAAUUGCAAACAAAACUCCCCCUGGAUUGAUUUUGGUAUGGACGGCACCCGAGUAUUCGGCUAGUCGUGGAGUGUGAUUGAUCGGUGGUGGGGGAGUCAAAACUUUACUUUUCUGUUUGGGAAUCGCCUAUAGCAUGUGGAGCAUGGAAGAUGGUGAGAACUCUUGGUCAUUGCGUUGACAAUGAAAGCAUGCCACCCAAAAUUAUUUCACUGUUUUCAAAGCUUGAGCUAUGGCACCUCUUCAAAUCAAUGCUUCCCUCUGCGAAGGGCCUAUCUAUUUAUGUUCCUGUUGAGUCAUCCUCUUCUUAUAAAAGCACCAAUUAGAGAGCACCUCUGUCAUUGUUAUGCUUUGCUUUUGACUGAUAUUGAGUAUGACUGUGACUGGAUCUUCUUUGCCAUGAAUUACAAUGUUUAGUCAGCCUUUGGUCUUUGAAGGUGCUCUGCAUUUAUGUUUUGCGGUCUCAGAAAGAGCUAACGAGAUACCAUCUGUUCAUACUGCUUCAUGAUUGUUUUGAUUGAAGUAUCGACAUUUGAAACUUAUUAUUAUUUGCUCGCUAGUUGAUUAUGCCAUUGAUAUGAGUUUACCGUGAGACCUAGAUGUCAUUUGCUUAUGUGGUUAGCUUGUGAUGUUGCUGAAAUUCUGGAUAUGAGUUAGACAUAGUUGCAACAACAAGAUCAAAGAGAGUUCGUAAUUUCUUUUUCUUUUGUCUCUUUCAGUUUGUCAACUGAAUUGCUUGAGGACAAGCAAGGUUUUAAGCUUGGGGGAGUUGAUACGUCUUCGCCGUAUCUACUUUUCCUAACUCUUUUGCCCUUGUUUUGGACUCUAAUUUGCAUGAUUUGAAUGGAACUAACCCGGACUAACGAUGUUUUCAGCAGAAUUGCCAUGGUGUUGUUUUUGCGUAGAAAUAAAAGUUCUCGGAAUGACCUGGAAAUUUACGGGGAUUAUUUGUGGAAUAUAUAAAAAUACUGGCGCAAGAAUCAACCGGAGAGGUGGAGCAUGGAGCCCACAAGCCCACCAGGCACGGGACCUCCUGGCCGUGCCUGGCAGGCUUGUGGGGCCCACGAAGCUCCACCGCCUCCAAAUCCAGCUCUAUUGAGUCCCUUUCAUCCGGAAAAAAAUCGAGGAGAAGAGUUCAUCGCGUUUUACGAUACGGAGGCGCACGAAGACCUAUCAUGGUGAUGUCCAUCUACGAGAGGGGAUUUCCGAUCUACGUAUCCUUGUAGACCGCACAGCAGAAGCGUUAGUGAACGCGGUUGAUGUAGUGGAACGUCCUCACGUCCCUCGAUCCGCCCCGCGAACCGUCCCGCGAUCAGUCCCACGAUCUAGUGCCGAACGGACGGCACCUCCGCGUUCAGCACACGUACAGCUCGACGAUGAUCUCGGCCUUCUUGAUCCAGCAAGAGAGACGGAGAGGUAGAUGAGUUCUCCGGCAGCGUGACGGCGCUCCGGAGGUUGGUGGUGAUCUUAUCUCAGCAGGGCUCCGCCACAGCUCCGCAGAAACGCGAUCAAGAGGUAAAACCGUGGAGAUAUGUGGUCGGGCUGCCGUGGCAAAGUUGUCUCAAAUCAGCCCUAUAACCUCCGUAUAUAUAGGGGGGAGAGGGGGAGCCUUGCCUUGGGGUCCAAGGACCCCCAAGGGGUUCGUCCGAGCCAAGGGGGGGGGGAACCCUCCCCUUCCUAACCGAGUCCAACUAGGUNNNNNAGCACACGUACAGCUCGAGGAUGAUCUCGGCCUUCUUGAUCCAGCAAGAGAGACGGAGAGGUAGAUGAGUUCUCCGGCAGCGUGAUGGCGCUCCGGAGGUUGGUGAUGAUCUUAUCUCGGCACGGCUCCGCCCGAGCUCCGCAGAAACGCGAUCUAGAGGUAAAACCGUGGAGAUAUGUGGUCGGGCUGCCGUGGCAAAGUUGUGUCAAAUCAGCCCUAAAACCUCCGUAUAUAUAGGGGGGAGAGGGGGAGCCUUGCCUNNNNNNNNNNNNNNNNNNNNNNNNNNNNNNNNNNNNNNNNNNNNNNNNNNNNNNNNNNNNNNNNNNNNNNNNNNNNNNNNNNNNNNNNNNNNNNNNNNNNNNNNNNNNNNNNNNNNNNNNNNNNNNNNNCCCUUUUCCCACCUCCUCCUUUUUUUCUCUUUGAUUUUCUUCCUAUGGCGCAUAGGGCCUUCUUGGGCUGUCCCACCAGCCCUCUGGUGCGCCACCCCCAAGGCCUAUGGGCUUCCCCGGGGUGGGUCCCCCCCGGUGAACACCCGGAACCNNNNNNNNNNNNNNNNNNNNNNNNNNNNNNNNNNNNNNNNNNNNNNNNNNNNNNNNNNNNNNNNNNNNNNNNNNNNNNNNNNNNNNNNNNNNNNNNNNNNAAACCUUCCGGUAAUCAAAUGAGGUCAUCCUAUAUAUCAAUCUUCGUUUCCGGACCAUUCUGGAAACCCUCGUGACGUCCGUGAUCUCAUCCGGGACUCCGAAGAACAUUCAGUAACCAACCAUAUAACUCAAAUACGCAUAAAACAACGUCGAACAUUAAGUGUGCAGACCCUGCGGGUUCGAGAACUAUGUAGACAUGACCCGAGAGACUCCUCGGUCAAUAUCCAAUAGCGGGACCUGGAUGCCCAUAUUGGAUCCUACAUAUUCUAUGAAGAUCUUAUCGUUUGAACCUCAGUGCCAAGGAUUCAUAUAAUCCCGUAUGUCAUUCCCUUUGUCCUUCGGUAUGUUACUUGCCCGAGAUUCGAUCGUCAGUAUCUGCAUACCUAUUUCAAUCUCGUUUACCGGCAAGUCUCUUUACUCGUUCCGUAAUACAAGAUACCGCAACUUACACUAAGUNNNNNNNNNNNNNNNNNNNNNNNNNNNNNNNNNNNNNNNNNNNNNNNNNNNNNNNNNNNNNNNNNNNNNNNNNNNNNNNNNNNNNNNNNNNNNNNNNNNNNNNNNNNNNNNNNNNNNNNNNNNNNNNNNNNNNNNNNNNNNNNNNNNNNNNNNNNNNNNNNNNNNNNNNNNNNNNNNNNNNNNNNNNNNNNNNNNNNNNNNNNNNNNNNNNNNNNNNNNNNNNNNNNNNNNNNNNNNNNNNNNNNNNNNNNNNNNNNNNNNNNNNNNNNNNNNNNNNNNNNNNNNNNNNNNNNNNNNNNNNNNNNNNNNNNNNNNNNNNNNNNNNNNNNNNNNNNNNNNNNNNNNNNNNNNNNNNNNNNNNNNNNNNNNNNNNNNNNNNNNNNNNNNNNNNNNNNNNNNNNNNNNNNNNNNNNNNNNNNNNNNNNNNNNNNNNNNNNNNNNNNNNNNNNUCUUUAUAGUCACCCAGUAACGUUGCGACAUUUGAUACACACAAAGCAUUCCUCUGGUGUCAGUGAGUUAUAUGAUCUCACGGUCAUAGGAACAAAUACUUAACACGCAGAACAUGACACGAUCAACAUGCUACGUCUAUUAGUUUGGGUCUAGUCCAUCACAUGAUUCUCCUAAUNNNNNNNNNNNNNNNNNNNNNNNNNNNNNNNNNNNNNNNNNNNNNNNNNNNNNNNNNNNNNNNNNNNNNNNNNNNNNNNNNNNNNNNNNNNNNNNNNNNNNNNNNNNNNNNNNNNNNNNNNNNNNNNNNNNNNNNNNNNNNNNNNNNNNNNNNNNNNNNNNNNNNNNNNNNNNNNNNNNNNNNNNNNNNNNNNNNNNNNNNNNNNNNNNNNNNNNNNNNNNNNNNNNNNNNNNNNNNNNNNNNNNNNNNNNNNNNNNNNNNNNNNNNNNNNNNNNNNNNNNNNNNNNNNNNNNNNNNNNNNNNNNNNNNNNNNNNNNNNNNNNNNNNNNNNNNNNNNNNNNNNNNNNNNNNNNNNNNNNNNNNNNNNNNNNNNNNNNNNNNNNNNNNNNNNNNNNNNNNNNNNNNNNNNNNNNNNNNNUAGCAUGGAUAAUAAACGAUUAUCAUGAACUAAGAAAUAUAAUAAUAACUAAUUUAUUAUUGCCUCUAGGGCAUAUUUCCAACAAGAUCAUCGCCAUCGUCAUCACCAACCUUCGUUCAUCGCCAAUUCCAUGAUGCUCUUCACUGUUUGUGAGUAAUCUCAUCGUAGGCUUGCUGGACGGUGAUGGGUUGGAUGAGAUCUAUCAUGUAAUCGAGUUAGGUUUGACGGGGAUUGAUCCCUAGUANNNNNNNNNNNNNNNNNNNNNNNNNNNNNNNNNNNNNNNNNNNNNNNNNNNNNNNNNNNNNNNNNNNNNNNNNNNNNNNNNNNNNNNNNNNNNNNNNNNNGAUUCGAUCGUCAGUAUCUGCAUACCUAUUUCAAUCUCGUUUACCGGCAAGUCUCUUUACUCGUUCCGUAAUACAAGAUACCGCAACUUACACUAAGUCACAUUGCUUGCAAGGCUUGUGUGUGAUGUUGUAUUACCGAGUGGGCCCCGAGAUACCUCUCCGUCACACGGAGUGACAAAUCCCAGUCUCGAUCCAUACUAACUCAACGAACACCUUCGGAGAUACCUGUAGAGCAUCUUUAUAGUCACCCAGUNNNNNNNNNNNNNNNNNNNNNNNNNNNNNNNNNNNNNNNNNNNNNNNNNNNNNNNNNNNNNNNNNNNNNNNNNNNNNNNNNNNNNNNNNNNNNNNNNNNNNNNNNNNNNNNNNNNNNNNNNNNNNNNNNNNNNNNNNNNNNNNNNNNNNNNNNNNNNNNNNNNNNNNNNNNNNNNNNNNNNNNNNNNNNNNNNNNNNNNNNNNNNNNNNNNNNNNNNNNNNNNNNNNNNNNNNNNNNNNNNNNNNNNNNNNNNNNNNNNNNNNNNNNNNNNNNNNNNNNNNNNNNNNNNNNNNNNNNNNNNNNNNNNNNNNNNNNNNNNNNNNNNNNNNNNNNNNNNNNNNNNNNNNNNNNNNNNNNNNNNNNNNNNNNNNNNNNNUCACAUGAUUCUCCUAAUGAUGUGAUCCCGUUAUCAAGUGACAACACUUGCCUAUGGUCAGGAAACCUUGACCAUCUUUGAUCAACGAGCUAGUCAACUAGAGGCUUACUAGGGACAGUGUUUUGUCUAUGUAUCCACACGUGCACUGUGUUUCCAAUCAAUACAAUUAUAGCAUGGAUAAUAAACAAUUAUCAUGAACUAAGAAAUAUAAUAAUAACUAAUUUAUUAUUUCCUCUAGGGCAUAUUUCCAACAGUCUCCCACUUGCACUAGAGUCAAUAAUCUAGUUCACAUCACCAUGUGAUUUCAACGAAUCCAACACCCAUAUAGUUAUGGGGUCUGAUCACGUCUUGCUUGUGAGAGAGGUUUUAGUCAACGGUUCUGAAACUUUCAGAUCCGUGUGUUCUUUACAAAUCUUUAUGUCAUCUUAUAGAUGCUGCUACUAUGUGCUAUUCGGAAAUACUCCAAAUAUCUACUCUACUAUACGAAUCCGUUUCACUACUCAUAGUUAUUCGGAUUAGUGUCAAAGCUUGCAUCAACGUAACCCUUUACGACGAACUCUUUAACCACCUCCAUAAUCGAGAAAAAUUCCUUAGUCUAUUUAGUUACUAAGGAUAACUUUGACCGCUGAUCAGUGAUUCAAUCUUGGAUCACUCUGUAUACCUCUUAACAGACUUGCUGCAAGGCACACAUUAGGUGCGGUACUCAGCAUGGCAUACUUUAGAGUCUACGGCUAAGGCAUAGAAGACGACCUUCGUCUAUCCUCUUUAUUCUGUCGUGGUCGGGUUUUGAGUCUUACUCAAAUUCACACCUUACAACGCAACCAAGAACUCCUUCUUUGCUGAUCCAUUUUGAACUCCUUCAAAAACUUGUCAAGGCAUGCAUCUUAUUGAAACUUCCAUUAAGCGCUUUUGAUCUAUCUCCAUAGAUCUUUGAUGCUCAACGCUCAAGUAGCGCAAUCCAGGUAUUCCUUUGAAAACUCCUUUCAAACAACCUUGUAUGCUUUACAGAAAUUCUACAUUACUUCUGAUCCACAAUAUGUCAACCACAUAUACUUAUCAGAAAUUCUAUAGUGCUCCCACUCACUUCUUUGGAAAUACAAGUUUCUCAUAAACCUUGUACAAACCCAAAAUCUUUGAUCAUCUCAUUAAAGUGUAUAUUCCAACUCCGAGAUGCUUGCACCAGUCCAUUUAAGGAUCGCUGGAGCUUGCAUACUUGCUAGUAUCUUUAGGAUCGACAAAACCUCAUGGUUGUAUCUCAUACAAUGUUUGCUCAAGGAAACCGUCGAGGAAACAAUGUUUUGACAUCCUACAUGCAAUAUUUCAUAAAUAAUGCAGCAACUACUAACAUAAUUCUAACAGACUUUUAGCAUCGCUAUGAGUGAGAAAGUCUCAUCAUAGUCAACUGUUUGAUCUUGUCGGAAACAUCUUUGCGACAAGUUGAGCUUUUCUUAAUAGUGACUUAUCACUAUCAUCGUCUGUCUUCCUUUUAAAGAUCCAUCUUUACUCAGUAGUCCUAUGACCAUCAAGUAGUUCUUCCAAAGUCUACACUUUGUUUUCAUACAUGGAUCCUCUCUCGGAUUUCAUGGCUUCCAGCCAUUUGUCGGAAUCUGGGCCCACCAUUGCUUUCUCCAUAACUCGUAGGUUCACUGUUGCUCAACAACAUGACCUCCAAGACAGGGUUACCGUACCACUCUGUAGUAGUACGCGACCUUGUCAACCUACGAGGCUUGUAGUAACUUGAUCCGAUGCUCGAUGAUCACCAUCAUCAGCUUUCACUUCAAUUGGUGUAGGCGCCACAGGAACAACUUCCUGCGCGCUGCUACACACUGGUCGAAGUGAUGGUUCAGUAACCUCAUCAAGUUCUACUACCCUCCCACUCAAUUCUUUCGAGAGAAACCUUUCCUCGAGAAAGGAUCCGUUUCUAGAAACAAACACUUUGCUUUCGGAUCUGAGAUAGGAGAUGUACCCAACUGUUUUGGAUAUCCUAUGAAGAUGCAUUUAUCCGCUUUGGGUUCAAGCUUAUCAGACUGAAACUUUUUCACAUAAGUGUCUAAGCCCCAAACUUUCAAGAAACGGCAGUUUAGAUUUCUCUAAACCUCAGUCUAUACUGUGUCAUCUCAACGGAAAUACGUGGUGCCCUAUUUAAAGUGAAUGCGGUUGUCUCUAAUGCUUAACCCAUAAACGAUAGUAGUAAUUCGAUAAGAGACAUCAUAGCAUGCACCAUACCAAAUAGUGUGUGGCUAUGACAUUCAGACACAUCAUCACACUAUGAUGUUCUAGGUGGCAUGAACUGUGAAACAAUUUCCACAUUGUCUUAACUGCGUACCAAAACUCGUAACUCAGAUAUUCAUUUCUAUGAUCAUAUCGUAGAUAGUUUAUCCUCUUGUUACGACGAACUUCACUCCGAAACAGAAUUGAACUUUUCAAUAUUUCAGACUUGUAAUUCAUUAAGUAAAUACUCUAGUAUCUAAUCAAAUCGUCAUUGAAGUAAGAACAUAAUGAUAUCCACUGCGUGCCUCAGCACCCAUUGGACUGCAUACAUCAAAAUGUAUCACUUCCAACAAGUUACUAUCUUAUUUCAUCUCAAUGAAAACAAGGCCUUGCUCAUGUGGUAUGAUUAGCAUGUCACUAGUGAUUCAAAAUCAAGUGAAUAUAAAGAUCCAUCAGCAUGGAGCCUCUCCAUGCAAUUUAUACUAACAUGACUCAAGCGGCAGUGCCACAAGUAGUGGUACUAACAUCAUUACUUCGUAUCUUUUGGCACCAAUAUUAUGAACAUGUGUAACACUACGAUCGAGAUUCAAUAAACCAUUGAAGGUGAUUAUUCAAGCAAAUAGAGUAACCAUUAUUCUCUUUAAAUGAAUAAUCGUAUUUCAAUAAACACGAUCCAAUCAUGUUCAUGCUUAACGCAAGCACCAAAUAACAAUUAUUUCGGUUUAACACCAAUCCCGAUGGUAGAGGGAGCGUGCGACGUUUUGAUCAUAUCAAUCUUGGAAACACUUCCAACACGUAUCGUCACCUCGCCUUUAGCUAGUCUCCGUUUACGCCGUAGCUAUCAUUUCGUGUUACUAAUCACUUAGCAACCGAACCGGUAUCCAAUACCCUCAUGCUACUAGGAGUACUAGUAAAGUACACAUCAACAUCAUGUAUAUCAAAUAUACUUCUUUCGACUUUUGCCAGCCUUCUUAUCUACCAAGUAUCUAGAGUUGCUCCGCCUCAGUGACUGUUCCCCUCAUUCCAGAAGCACUUUGUCUCGGGUUUGGGUUUAAUCUUGGGUCUCUUCAUUAGUGCAGCAACUGUUUUGCCAUUUCACGAAGUAUCCCUUCUAGCCUUUGCCUUUCUCGAAACUUAGUGGUUUUACUAACCAUCAACUAUUGAUGCUCCUUCUUGAUUUCUACUUUCGCAGUGUCAAACAUCGCGAAUCACUCAAAGAUCAUUGUAUCUAUCCUUGAUAUGUUAUAGUUCAUCACGAAGCUCUCACAGCUUGGUGGCAGUGACUUUGGAGAACUAUCACUAUCUCAUCUGGAAGAUUAACUCCCACUUGAUUCAAGCGAUUGUCGUACUCAGACAAUCUGAGCACACGCUCAAUGAUUGAGCUUUUCUCCUUUACUUUGUGGACAGAGAAUCUUGUCGGAGGUCUCAUACCUCUUAACAAGGGCACAAGCAUGAAAUCACAAUUUCAUCUCUUUAGAACAUCACUUAUGUUCCGUGACGUUUCAAAACGUUUUCGGCGCCUUGCUUCUAAGCCAUUAAGUAUUUUGCACUGAACUAUCGUGUAGUCAUCAGAAACGUGUAUGUCGGAUGUUCACAGCAUCCACAGACGACGCUCGAGGUGCAGCACACCGAGUGGUGCAUUAAGGACAUAAGCCUUUGCGCAGCAACGAGGACAAUCCUCGGUUGUACAGACUUAGUCUGCAAAGUUUGCUACUAUCAACUUUCAACUAAAUUUUCUCUAGGAACAUAUAAAAACAGUAGAGCUAUAGCGCAAGCUACAUCGUAAUUCACAAAGACCAUUAGACUAUGUUCAUGACAAUUAGUUCAAUUAAUCAUAUUACUUAAGAACUCCCACUCAAAAAGUACAUCUCUCUAGUCAUUUGAGUGGUACAUGAUCCAAAUCCACUAUCUCAAGUCCGAUCAUCACGUGAGUCGAGAAUAGUUUCAGUGGUAAGCAUCUCUAUGCUAAUCAUAUCAACUAUAUGAUUCAUGCUCGACCUUUCGGUCUCAUGUGUUCCGAGGCCAUGUCUGCACAUGCUAGGCUUGUCAAGCUUAACCCGAGUGUUCCGCGUGUGCAACUGUUUUGCACCCGUUGUAUGUGAACGUUGAGUCUAUCACACCCGAUCAUCACGUGGUGUCUCGAAACGAAGAACUGUCGCAACGGUGCACAGUCGGGGAGAACACAAUUUCGUCUUGAAAUUUUAGUGAGAGAUCACCUCAUAAUGCUACCGUCGUUCUAAGCAAGAUAAGGUGCAUAAAGGAUUAACAUCACAUGCAAUUCAUAAGUGACAUGAUAUGGCCAUCAUCAUGUGCUUCUUGAUCUCCAUCACCAAAGCACCGGCAUGAUCUUCUUGUCACCGGCGUCACACCAUGAUCUCCAUCAACGUGUCGCCAUCGGGGUUGUCGUGCUACUCAUGCUAUUACUACUAAAGCUACGUCCUAGCAAUAUAGUAAACGCAUCUUUAAGCACAAACGUUAGUUUAAAGACAAUCCUAUGGUUCCUGCCGGUUGCCGUACCAUCGACGUGCAAGUCGAUAUUAACUAUUACAACAUGAUUAUCUCAUACAUCCAAUAUACCACAUCACAUCGUUGGCCAUAUCACAUCAUAAGCAUACCGUGCAAACCUCUAAUUGUUGUUGCAUGUUUUACGUGGUGACCAUGGGUAUCUAGUAGGAUCGCAUAUUACUUACACAAACACCACAACAGAGAUAUAUGAAUUGCUAUUUAACCUCAUCCAAUGACCUCCUCGGUCAAUUCCGAUUCAACUAAAGUUGGAGAAACUGACACCCGCCAGUCAUCUUUGAGCAACGGAGUUACUCGUAGCGAUGAAACCAGUCUCUCGUAAGCGUAUGAGUAAUGUCGGCCCGAGCCGCGUCGAUCCAACAAUACCGCGGAAUCAAGAAAAGACUAAGGAGGGCAGAAAAACGCACAUCACCGCCCACAAAAACUUUUGUGUUUUACUCGAGAAGACAUCUACGCAUGAACCUAGCUCAUGAUGCCACUAUUGGAGAACGUCGCAUGGGAAACAAAAAAUUUCCUACGCGCAUGAAGACCUAUCAAGGUGAUGUCCAUCUACGAGAGGGGAUUUCCGAUCUAUGUACCCUUGUAGACCGGACAUCACAAGCGUUAGUGAACACGGUUGAUGUAGUGGAACUUCCUCAUGUCCCACGAUCCGCCCCGCUAACCGUCCCGCGAUCAGUCCCACGAUCUAGUGCCGAACAGACGGCACCUCCGCGUUCAGCACACGUACAGCUCGACGAUGAUCUCGUCCUUCUUGAUCCAGCAAGAGAGACAGAGAGGUAGAUGAGUUCUUCGGCAGCGUGACGGCGCUCCGGAGGUUGGUUAUGAUCUUAUCUCGCCAAGGCUCCGCCCGAGCUCCGCAAAAACGCGAUCUAGAGGUAAAACCGUGGAGAUAUGUGGUCGGGCUGCCGUGGCAAAGUUGUGUCAAAUCAGCCCUAAAACCUCCGUAUAUAUAGGGGGAAGAGGGGGAGCCUUGCCUUGGGGUCCAAGGACCCCCAAGGACUUCGGCCGAGCCAAGGGGGGCAACCCUCCCCUUCCAAACCGAGUCCAACUAGGUUUGGAAGGAGGAGUCCUUCCCCCUUUUCCCACCUACUCUUUUUUUUUCUUUUCUCUUUGAUUUUCUUCCUAUGGCGCAUAGGGCCUUCUUGGGCUGUCCCACCAGCCCACUAAGNCUUUAUAGUCACCCAGUAACGUUGCGACAUUUGAUACACACAAAGCAUUCCUCUGGUGUCAGUGAGUUAUAUGAUCUCACGGUCAUAGGAACAAAUACUUAACACGCAGAACAUGACACGAUCAACAUGCUACGUCUAUUAGUUUGGGUCUAGUCCAUCACAUGAUUCUCCUAAUNNNNNNNNNNNNNNNNNNNNNNNNNNNNNNNNNNNNNNNNNNNNNNNNNNNNNNNNNNNNNNNNNNNNNNNNNNNNNNNNNNNNNNNNNNNNNNNNNNNNNNNNNNNNNNNNNNNNNNNNNNNNNNNNNNNNNNNNNNNNNNNNNNNNNNNNNNNNNNNNNNNNNNNNNNNNNNNNNNNNNNNNNNNNNNNNNNNNNNNNNNNNNNNNNNNNNNNNNNNNNNNNNNNNNNNNNNNNNNNNNNNNNNNNNNNNNNNNNNNNNNNNNNNNNNNNNNNNNNNNNNNNNNNNNNNNNNNNNNNNNNNNNNNNNNNNNNNNNNNNNNNNNNNNNNNNNNNNNNNNNNNNNNNNNNNNNNNNNNNNNNNNNNNNNNNNNNNNNNNNNNNNNNNNNNNNNNNNNNNNNNNNNAUAGCAUGGAUAAUAAACGAUUAUCAUGAACUAAGAAAUAUAAUAAUAACUAAUUUAUUAUUGCCUCUAGGGCAUAUUUCCAACAAGAUCAUCGCCAUCGUCAUCACCAACCUUCGUUCAUCGCCAAUUCCAUGAUGCUCUUCACUGUUUGUGAGUAAUCUCAUCGUAGGCUUGCUGGACGGUGAUGGGUUGGAUGAGAUCUAUCAUGUAAUCGAGUUAGGUUUGACGGGGAUUGAUCCCUAGUAUCCACUAUGUUCUGAGAUUGAUGUUGCUACUACUUUGCCAUGCUUAAUGCUUGUCACUAGGGCCCGAGUGCCAUGAUUUCAGAUCUGAACCUAUUAUGUUGUCACCAAUAUAUGUGUUUUCUUGAUACUAUCUUGCAAGUUGUAGUCACCUACUAUGUGUUAUGACCCGACAACCCCGGAGUGACAAUAGCCGGAACCACUUCCGGAGAUGACCAUAGUAUGAGGAGUUCAUGUAUUCACUAAGUGUUAAUGCAUUGGUCCGGUUCUUUAUUAAAAGGAGAACCUUAAUAUCCCAUAGUUUCCAUUAGGACGCCGCUGCCACGGGAGGGAUGGACAAUAGAUGUCAUGCAAGUUCUUUUCCCUUAGCAUGUAUGACUACAUACGGAAUACAUGCCUACAUUACAUUGACGAACUGGAGUUAGUUACAUAUCUCUCCGUGUUAUAACUUUUGCAUGAUGAAUUACAUCCGGCAUAAUCAUCCAUCACCGAUCCAAUGCCUACAAGUUUUUCCUAGUAGUCCUUGCUACGUUACUUUGCCGCUACUGCUGUUACUCUGUCACUACUGCUGUCACUUUGCUGCUACUGGUUACUAUUGCUAAUGUUGCUAUCAUACUACCUUGCUACUGAUACUUUGCUAUAGAUACUAAAUCUUUCAGGUGCGGUUGAAUUGACAAAUCAACUUAUAAUACUUGAGAAUAUUCUUUGGCUUCCCCUUGUGUCGAAUCAAUAAAUUUGGGUUCAAUACUCUACCCUCGAAAACUGUUGUGAUCCCCUAUACUUGUGGGUUAUCAACCAUCACCACUACAUCACCCUUCCAUGGCUUCCCCCAUCAUGUGUGAGUAAUUCCCCGCUGUAGGUGAAGGGGAUGGUAGGGAUUGGAUGAGUUAGAUCAUGUAAUAGCUCGUCGGAUUGUUGGGGCAUGUUGCCUAUCAUCUAAUAUGGUGUUUAUCAUCUUUGCUACUACUUGUUACUCUUAAUGCUUUGUCACGCCCAAGAUGCGACCCUAUCCUCAAUUUGGCAUGAGGGCCUCGUCAAGGAUAGAAGCGCAUCUCGUCGUGUCGCAAGAAUGGAUAUCGUUACAAGUACAUGUACUAAAAAGAAGAUAUAUAUAUAGAAUUGGCUUACACUCGCCACAAGCUACAACAGAGUCACAUCAGCACAUUACAUAAUCAUCAAGAGGAAGAGCAGGGUCCGACUACGGACGAAAACAAACGAGAAAAGAAGAAUGGCGUCCAUCCUUGCUAUCCCAAGCUGCCGGCCUGGAACCCAUAUGAAGAAGAAGAAGAAGCAACUCCAAAUGAACAAUCAACGCGCUCGCGUCAAGUAACCUUUACAUGUACCUGCAACUGGUGUUGUAGUAAUCUGUGAGCCACAGGGGACUCAGCAAUAUCAUUUCCAAAGGUAUCAAAACUAGCAAAGCUUAAUGGAUGAGGUAAGGUUAAGUGGUGAGGUUGCAGCAGCGCCUAAGCAUAUAUUUGGUGGCUAAACUUACGAGUACAAGAAAUAAGAGGGGGAAGAUCUAUGCAUAGCGGACGUGAACUACGGUUGAUCAAACGAAUGAUCCUGAACACCUACCUACGUCAGACAUAACCCCACCGUGUCCUCGAUCGGAUAAGGAACUCACGAAAGAGACAAUCACGGUUAUGCACACAGUUGGCAAGUUUUUAAUUAAGUUAACUUCAAGUUAUCUAGAACCAGUGUUAAACAAAGCUUCCACGUUGCCACAUAACCGCGGGCACGUCUUUCCAAAAAGAUUUAACCCUGCAGGGGUGCUCCAACUAGUCCAUCACAAAUUACCACAAGCCGCAUAGAAAUCCUCAAUCACGACACUCGCGAUCUCGUCGGAUUCCUUAGUGGAAAACCUCAACUCUGAGAUUACCCAAAGCAUCACCGGAAUCCCGAUGCACAAGAUAUCUCGUCAAAGGUAAAACUAAUCCAGCAAGGCCGCCCGACGUGUCGACGAUCCCGAUAGGAGCCGCGUAUCUCGUUCUCAGGACACGACGGAUAAGCACAGCAUACGGUGGCCUGAUAGAAAUCUCCCGAGUUGCCUCGGGUUGGCCCCGCAAACGGCUCUAGUGUUGGACCAGCACCAUCAGCACUGGCCCCCUGUAUUAUGUAAAAUUACUCCUCGGGUUCAUGACGCCCUAUGCUUUCAGUAUUAACAAAAUUAUUAUGUUGGGCAAAUAGUACCAAUGUUAGGCCUUGCCAGACCAGCCUUAAUCUAAAACGAAUUAUCAAGGGGGUCCCCAUAACAACCCCGAUCGUGUUAGGAGCGCUCAAUUAUGGAACAUAACACCGGUGGCCGAAACUAAGGGGGCAAAGGUGGAACAAAACACCAGGCUAGAAAGGCCAAGCCUUCCACCUUUUACCAAGUAUAUAGGUGCAUUAAAUUAAAUAGCAUUUAAAUAGGGUGAUAUAACAAGAAACCCAUGUUGUCACAUGGAAGCAACUACACCUGCAACUAGCAAUGCUAACACAAGGUUAAGCAAGCGGUAACAUAACCAAUCAGUGGUUUGCUAGGUUAAACAGGUUGAAGGUUUUCAUGGCGUUGUUGAGAGGAUGAUAUUUAACAUGUGGUAGGCAACGAGACAUAAUCAGUAGAAGCGAUAAAACUAGCAUGGCAAUGAUAGUAGUGGUAUCUGGGGAAAUGGUCAUCUUGCCUGAGAUCCCGCUUGGAAGAAGAACGACUCCGUGAAGUCGGCGAACCAACGUAGUCGAACGGGUCCUCACAUUCCGACACGCUUGCGGAACUCUAUCGAGACGGAGCCAACCAGAAACAAACAUCAACACAAAUAUUCACCACACGAUGCACAACAUAAUGCACAACCUAAUAUGAUGCAUGAGCAAAAUCAAUAAUGCAAGGCAUGGGCAUGUCAAUUCACCUCACACAAACACUACACAUUAAGUGAAGCUCGAUGUGCAACGAGUUGCAUAUCGACGAAAAUCCACGUUUAAUUCUUUAGUUCACUCCCAUUUACUUACUCGGCAGUAUUAAAAUGUUGUUAACAUGGCAAGGUUGAAGCGGAUGAUUCUACAAGUCAUCCUAGUCGGUUAACACGCGGAGCAUAGAUCGGGGCUACGGCACAAGAAACAUGCAACACAAGAUACAUAUGCCAUGAAUGUGACAUGCAUGCAAGUUCAUUAAAUCACGACAAGAAGGGAAAAGAAGCAUGAGUCGCCACGGCGAACGAAAGAGAACCAUGGCGGCAAAAACGGAAACGAUGCCACAUCAACAUUCCUAUCCCGAUACUCAACGAGAUGUCGGUGCCAACGAACUAGAAGCAUGUGCGAGAAUGCUAAAUAAAGAUGGGGUGAUCCCGGUUACCGGGUUCCCUUGUGUCGGGGUCGCAACAAAAGAGGAACACGUGCAACGGGCAACAUAAGGCACAAACAUACGGUACAUCUCAUACAACAUAUGCAUUCGUUUCACGACAACGUCCCAUCGGUAUACCUUCGAAGUGUGCAUAUCGGAUCAGAUCGGUUCGGUGAAGGAGAACUACGAUCGUCGUGGUCGUCGUGGAAGUCGUGGAAUCUCCGGUCUCGUUGACGGUAGUCGUUCGCUUGGCGUCGGUUCACGGGUCUUCGGCGACGGUAGUCGAACACGUUCCCGAGGGUCGUCGAGGACGGCAAAAUUGUCGACGAACCACGACAGGCGGGGAUGGUGCACACGGCCUUCGGCAACGGAAACCAGCGACACAACAGCAACACCGGCGGCAGCAACUAACAGCAAGCUACGAUGACACAACAGCAUGGCAAACUAGCACUAUCUAGCAAUAGCUAGCUUGCAGCCUAGCAGCUAACUAGCACAAGCAACAACAAACAUCUAAAGCAAGCAACAACUAAGCAGACUACGCCACCUAGCAACCAAAUAGUAGCAGCCGGCAGCAGCACAACUAGCAGCAAUAGCAAGCAAGCAGCAUAGGCAGGCAGCAGCAAGGCAAUAGCAAGGCAGCGCAGCAACAAAUCGGCAAGCAGCGGGAGCCAAGCAGCAAGGCAACACACGGCAAGCAGGAGGCAGGGGAAUGGCGGCUGGGCUCCUGCAGCAGCAACAACAUCAGCCGGCGGGCGAGCACGGCGGCAGCAUGGGGGCAGAGCCUCGGGAUGGCCGGAAACGGCGGCAGGACGGCGGUGAGCUCGCGAGGGCGAGGGGCUGGAGAGGGGCGAGGCUGAGGCGUCGGCGGGCACAGCGCGGGGCACGACCUGGGAACCGAGAGGCAGCGACCUGGCAGGACGGCGGCGCGGCCAUGGCGAGGCGGACGAGCAUGGCCGCGCGCGGGAGGAGCGGGAGACGGCACAGCGGGCGCGGCGCGGGAGGCCAGGGGCGAACGCCAUGGCGGCGGUCGCGCGGGGACGGUGCAGGCGGGGCUGGCGGCAACCACGGGUUGCACGCGCCGGGGGGGAGCUGCUGGCGGCGGGGAGGCGAGCACGGCUCCGGCGACCUAGGGCGAGCAGGGGGCGCGACACUACGGGACGAGAGCAGAGGUAGGAUCGGACAGGAGAGGGAGAAGACGCUGGGGAAGAAGGGGAUCGGGAGAGGAGCACACAGACGAAGGGCUGAGGAGGUUGCGCUAGGGCAGGGGGGGAACUUGGGCCUGGGCCUGGCUCCCUCUCCCUCUCACUUGUUAGUCUUCUUUUUUUUAAACAGGAAAACUCCAACAAAAGAAAAGGGUUUAAACAACAAUAAAAGAAAUAAUUUUUUACUCCUUUAAAACAAACCCCAACUAUAAAAUAGAUUGGGCCUCUUUUAACAAAUAAAAUAAAACCUUUUGAAGAAUAACAUAAAACCCUUUUUUAAAUAAUAAAAUAAACCCCUUUUAUAAAUAAAAGGGUCUCUAGUUUUAAAAAUAACAAAAGGGAAAAAAUAAAGCAAACCCAAGGGGUUGCCCCCACAUUUAAUAAAAGGAUUUAAAAGAAGACGAACCUUUUUUAAAUAGGGGUUAAAACGGAAACUUUAAAAACCACAAAAAUGAAAUAAGAUGGGAGAGAAGGGGAGUUACUAUCGCACUUGAGGCACACACACUCAAAACACCACACGCAACACAUGAUGCAAGAUGCCAUGAUGCAAACUACAUGAUGAUGCAACAAAUAAAACUAAUCACACGACGGAAACGGAAAUAACAGGGGAACCUUCUGGAACGUCGGCAUCGGGCUGUCACAUGCUUGUCACUUUGGGCCCGAGUGCCAUGAUUUCAUAUCUGAACACCUUAUGUUUUCAUGGAUAUAUUUGUGUUCUUGAUCCUAUCUAUGAGCAGUAUGCACCUAUUAUAGUCCGGAACCGACGAUCCUAAUUGUGACAGCUUGGGACACCAAAGGGGAUAGACUAUAGUUUGAGGAUUCCAUGUGUCCAUUGAUUGUUAAUGCUUUGUUCCGGUGCUCUUUGACAGGAGCACCUUAAUAUCCGUAAGUUCCUUUUGGCCCCAUUGGUCGCGGGAUGGUUGGACAAAAGAUGUUGUGCAAGUUCUUAUUGCAAGCACACGCAACUACCUUAGGAUAGAUGCCUAAUGUUUGAUAUUUGCCUAGAUGAUCAUUACUUUUCUAUGUUCCUUGCCCCAAGUUAAAUACAUGAUAUCUCUCAUCCAUGACCAACCAUCCAUAUCCCUAGCCUACAGUGUUUUAAUCCUGCUAGUCACCAGUUGCUCUACUCUAUGUGUUUUACUUUCGUUGCUUUGCCACCAUUAUUUCCGUUGCCAUAAUCACUUUCAUAUCACCGUUGCUACUAAUAUUUCGUUGUCAACCAAGUAUCUUUAGGUGCGGUUGAAUUGACAACUCAAUUGUUAAAGCUUACUAGCACAAUGCCCGUGCGUUGCUACGGAACCAUAAGAGAUCAUCGAAAGAUGAUGGCGUCGUACGACUAUUGCAUGGUUUAUUAUUAAAAAGAGAGCAUAAUUAUAAUAAAAGGUCUUGUUGUAGGCAUAGGUGAUAUUUCAGCGACCAUUAUAGGUCUUUGCGAGAAUUACAGUGAGAUGACAUUUUAAAUUUUAAAACAUAGGUGAAUGGUCGUAAGUAAUUUGAAUGCAAGAUCGUGGAUUUGGUAGGACAACGUCUACAACCAUGUUGAAGUUACAAUGUGUUCGCUCUCUCCUCCACAAAAAUAAAUAAAUGUGUUCACUCUCUUCUCUUAUGUUAUAGAUCUGGAAGAAUUGGUUGGGCAGAGAAAUUAAUAUAAAGGCCAUGGUUUUGAACUGGAGUCGUAUGCAUUUAUAAGAGUGUUAUUCUCGUAUUAGACUACUAGUAUAUUUGUUUAUUUGGGAUAGGUCUCACAAAAGUGACAUUUGUUUAUUCUAUCUUUUUGAAAAGUUGCUAGUCUCACAUGUGGAUAUAAGUGCAUUUGUUUAUUUGUGUGGUCCCACAUGUGAACUCACCACCAACUCUAACCUUUAUAAGUAGGAAAGAUAAAUAUUCUUUGGCUUCCCUUGUGUCGAAUCAAUAAAUUGGGUUAUCUUUCCCGCGAAGACUGUUGCGACCCCCUACACUUGUGGGUUAUCAAGACUGUUUUCUCGCGCCGUUGCCGGGGAGCAUAGCUUUAUUUACAAGUCUACCUGGAGUUAUUUUGCUUGCUGCGAUUUAUCCACUAUCGGUAAGAAAGGAGACCCCAAGGUUCCAAUUUUACCAUCCACUACAUGAAAGGGUACUGUUCUUAGCACUAGCGCUACGCUUGAUUCACCUUCCGUUAUGAGUAAGUUUGCUUCUCCACCACCACAUGCUGCUUCUACCGAGUCUGACGUUGUGUGAUACUUUUGAUGGUGCUUCUACUAUUAUUGAUGAGACUGGUUUACUUGGUUAUUUUAUUGAGUCUUGAUACGUCCAUUUUGCAUCAUGCUUUCAUGUUGAUAUUUAUCGCUUUAUGGGCUGUUAUUACACUUCACGGUACAAUACUUAUGCCUUUUCUCUCUUAUUUUGCAAGGUUUACAUGAAGGGGGAGAAUGCCGGCAGCUGAAAUUCUAGCCUGAAAAAGGAGCAAGUUUGAGAUACCUAUUCUGCGCAACUCCAAAAGUCGUGAAAAUCAACGUGGGUUUUUUUGGGAUUUAUAAAAAAUAUUGGGCCGAAGAAGUACUAGAGGGGCGCUAGCAGGAAGCCACAAGCCUGCUAGGCGCGACCUCCCCCCUGGUCGUGCCUAGGGGGCUUGUGGGCUCCCACUUGGCCCUCUAGCUCCCCCCUUUUGCUACAAGAAGGGUUUUGUUCCAGAAAAAAUCAGGAGAGGCUUUUCGGAGGAUUCGCCGCCACCACGAGGAAGAACUUGAGCAGAACCAAUCUAGAGCUCUGGAGGACGAUCCUGUCGGGGAAACUUCCCUCCUGAAGGGGGAAAUCGUCGCCAUCGUCAUCACGAACUCUCCUCUCAUCNACUUGUGGGUCAUCAAGACUCUUUUCUGGCGCCGUUGCCGGGGAGUGAAGCGCCUUUGGUAAGUGGAAUUUGGUAAGGAAACAUUUAUAUAGUGUGCUGAAAUCUAUUGUCACUUGUCACUAUGGAAACUAAUCCUUUGAGGGGCUUGUUCGGGGUAUCUUCACCUCGAACGGAAGCACAAAGAGUUGCUCCUCAACCUGCUGCACCUACUGAAAAUAUUUGCUAUGAAUUUCCUUCGGGUAUGCUUGAGAAACUGCUCGCUAAUCCUUUUACAGGAGAUGGAACAUUGAUACGUCUCAAACGUAUCUAUAAUUUUUUAUGGUUUCACGCUGUUAUCUUAUCAAGUUUGGAUGUUUUGUUUACCUUUUAUAUCUUUUUUGGGACUAACUUAUUAAUUCAGUGCCAAGUGCCAGUUCCUGUUUUUUCUGUGUUUUUGACUCCUUUCAGAUCUGAUUUUGGAACGAAGGCCAAACGGAAUAAAAUCCCCGAAAUAAAAUUUUCCAGAAUGGAAGAAGAUUGGGAGGCUUGAAGGCCAAGGCAGUGGGCCCACAGGGGGCCCACAAGCCCUGUUGCCGCGGCUAGGGGGGAGGUCGCGGCAACCAAGCUUGUGCCCCCCCUGGCGCUCCCCUGCCCUAGGUCUUUGGCCUAUAUAUUCCCUAAAAAUCCAGAAAAAAUCAAGGCAUCCACGAAAACACGUUUCCGCGAGAUCUCAUCUGGAGACCCUUCCCGGUGCCCUGUCGGAGGGGACUUUGGAGUUGGAGGGCUUCUACAGCAACAUCAUCGCCUCUCCAAUGACUCGUGAGUAGUCCACUUCAGACCUACGGGUCCGUAGUUAGUAGCUAGAUGGCUUCUUCUCUCUAUUGGAUCUUCAAUACAAAGUUCUCCAUGAUCUUCAUGGAGAUAUAUCCGAUGUAAUCCUCUUUGGCGGUGUGUUUCUCGAGAUCCUAUGAAAUGUGGAUUUGUGAUCAGAUUAUCUAUGAAUUAUAUUUCAGUCUUUGCUGAUUUCUUAUAUGCAUGAUUUGAUAUCCUUGUAAGUCUCUCCGAGUCUUGGGUUUUGUUUGGCCAACUAGAUCUAUGAUUCUUGCAAUGGGAGAAGUGCUUGUUUUUGGGUUCAUACCGUGUGGUGAGCUUUCCAAGUGAUAGAAGGGGCAGCAAGGCCCGCAUCGUGUUGUUGCCAUCAAGGGUAACAAGAUGGGCUUUUAUCGUAGAUAUGAGAUUGUCCAUCUACAUCAUGUCAUCUUGCUUAUGGCGUUACUUUGUUCUUUUGGACUUAAUACACUAGAUGCAUGCUGGAUAGCGGUCGACGUGUGGAGUAAUAGUAGUAGAUGCAGAAAGUAUCGGUCUACUUGUUUUGGACGUGAUGCAUAUAGAUAUAAUCAUUGCCUUAGAUAAUGUCACGACUUUGCGCGGUUCUAUCAAUUGCUCGACAGUAAUUCGUUCACCCACCGUCUACUUACUUUCAUGAGAGAAGCCACUAGUGAACACUACAGCCCCCGGGUCUAUUCACAACUAUCGUUUCCACUUUCACUUUUGCUUUGCUUGUUUACUUUGUUGCUUUCAUUUCUCACUUUGCAAACAAUCUAUAAGGGAUUGACAACCCCUUCAUAGCGUUGGGUGCAAUCUCUUUGUGUUUGUGCAGGUACUUGAGACUUGACGAGAUCUUCAAUUGGUUCGAUGCCUUGGUUCUCAAAACUGAGGGAAAUACUUACCGCCGCUGUGCUACAUCACCCUUUCCUCUUCAAGGGAACACCAACGCAAGGCUCCAAGGCCGCGGGGAUAUCCUUUGCAUAUUUGCCAAGGAAGUCCCUAAAGGCGUAGACGUAGGAGCAGGAUUCCUUGCGCCAUGCGAGGGAAAGUCUGUUGUCGCAGUAGCAAACAUCACAUCCCGACUUGCAUCUAAUCUAUGUAGAUGAAGUUUGUGGUUUAUUUAAGCUUGCAGGUUUGCCCGAGGAUGAGGUCAAGAAUAAGGUCUUUCCCUUAUCUUUGAGGGAUAAGGCGUUGACAUGGGAUAAGGCGUUCAUCAAAAGUUUUAUCCUAUGCAUCUAGUACAUUGUGAUCGGAAUUAUAUUUAUAAUUUUUGGCCUCGUGACAGAGAAAGCAUCGCUCAAGCUUGGGGGAGGCUUAAAUCAAUGUUAUAUUCAUGCCCCAACCAUGAGCUCUCGAGAGAAAUUAUCAUUCAAAACUUCUAUGCUCGGCUUUCUCAUGAUGAUCGCACCAUGCUUGACACUUCUUGUACCGGUUCUUUUAUGAAGAGAGAUAUUGACUUUAGAUGGAAUUUAUUGGAAAGAAUUAAACGCAACUCUGAAGAUUGGGAGCUUGAUGAAGGUAAGGAGUCAGGUAUGAAUUUCAAGUUUGCUUGCGUUAAAUCCUUUGUUGAAACAAAUAAUUUUUGUGAUUUUAGCGCUAAGUAUGGACUUGACUCUGAGAUAGUAGCUUCAUUAUGUGAAUCAUUUGCUGCUCAUAUUGAUCUCCCCAAAGAGAAGUGGUUUAAAUAACAUCCUCCCUUAGAAGUCAAUGUAGUUAAACCCAAUCCAGUUGAAGAGAGAGUCAUUGCCUAUAAUGAUCCUGUUGUUCCCAGUGCUUACAUUGAGAAACCACCUUUCCCUGUUAGGAUACAGGAUCAUUCUAAAGCUUCAACCGUGAUACAUAGGGGCUACAUUAGAACACCUACACCCCCUGAGAAAAUUAGAGGUGAACCUAGCAUUGCUAUUAUCAAAGAUCUCCUGCCCGACAAUGUUGAUGGCCAUGAUAUUCACUUCUGUGAAGAUGCUACUAGAAUUGCUAAACCACAUGCUAGAGACAAACAUAGGCCUGUUGGUGGCACGCCUGUUGUUUCUGUUAAGAUAGGAGAUCAUUGUUAUCAUGGUUUUGUGAUGUGGGUGCUAGUGUUAGUGCAAUACCUCAAUCCUUAUAUGAUGAAAUUAAAGACUAGAUUGCACCUGUCGAGAUAGAACCCAUUGACGUCACUAUUCAGCUGGCAAAUAGAGAUACUAUCUGCCCUGUGGGAAUUGUUAGGGAUGUUGAAGUCUUGUGUGGUAAAACGAAGUAUCCUGCUGAUUUCCUCGUUCUUGCUACCACACAAGAUAGCUUUUGUCCCAUCAUAUUUGGUAGACCUUUUCUCAAUAUUGUCAAUGCUCAUAUUGACUAUGAGAAGCAAACUGUCACUGUUGGCUUUGAAGGUGUGUCACACGAGUUCAAUUUCUCCAAGUUUGGUAGACAACCUCAUGAAAAAGAGUUGCCUAGUAAGGAUGAAACUAUUGCCUUAGAUUCUAUUGUCGUACCUCCUACUGAUCCCUUAGAGCAAUACUUGCUUGAGCAUGAAAAUGAUAUGCAUAUGGAUGAAAGGGAUGAGAUAGAUAGAGUUGUCUUAGAACACUAUCCUAUCCUUAAGAAUAAUUUGCCUGUUGAACUGCUUGGGGAUCCACCCCCACCAAAGGGUGAUCCUAUAUUCGAGCUUAAAUAGUUGCCUGAUACUCUUAAGUAUGCUUAUCUUGAUGAAAAAGAGAUAUAUCCUGUUAUUAUUAGUGCUAGCCUCUCAGAGCAUGAAGAAAAGAAGUUACUAAAAACUCUAAGAAAGCACCGUGCUGCUAUUGGAUAUACUCUUGAUGAUAUUAAGGGCAUUAGUCCCACUCAAUGCCAGCACAAGAUUAAAACCAAUCCUGAUUCCAAAGUCCAAACCAGUUGCUAAUCAUCAAAGGAGAUUAAAUCCUAAGAUGAAAGAGGUAGUAAGAAAAGAAAUACUAAAGCUCCUGGAAGCAGGUAAUAUCUAUCCUGUUCCUCAUAGUGAUUGGGUGAGUCUGGUGCAUUGCGUCCCUAAGAAGGGAGGCAUUACCGUUGUCACUAAUGAUAAGGAUGACUUGAUCCCACAGAGGAUUAUUACUGGCUAUAGGAUGGUGAUCGAUUUUAGGAAAUUGAAUAAAGCCACUAGGAAAGAUCAUUACCCUUUGCCUUUUAUCGACUAAAUGCUAGAAAGACUGUCUAAACACACACACUUCUGCUUUCUACACUAUUAUUCUGGUUUCUCCCAAAUACCAGUUGCACAAGCUGAUCAAGAGAAAACCACUUUCACCUGCCCUUUCGGUACCUUUGCUUAUAGACGUAUGCCUUUUGGCUUAUGUAAUGCACCUGCCACCUUUCAAAGAUGUAUGUUGGCUAUAUUCUCCGACUUUUGUGAAAAGAUUGUUGAGGUUUUCAUGGAUGACUUCUCCGUUUACGGGUCUUCUUUUGAUGAUUGCCUCAACAACCUUGAUCGAGUCUUGCAGAGAUGUAAAGACACCAAACUUGUCUUGAAUUGGGAGAAGUGCCACUUUAUGGUUAAUGAAGGCAUUGUCUUAGGACAUAAAAUUUCUGAAAGAGGUAUUGAAGUCGAUAGGGCUAAGGUUGAUGCAAUCGAGAAAAUGCCAUACCCCACAGAUAUCAAAGGUAUAAGAAGUUUCCUUGGUCAUGCUGGUUUCUAUAGGAGGUUCAUUAAAGACUUCUCUAAGAUUUCUAGGCCUCUUACCAAUCUCUUCCAAAAGGAUAUUCCUUUUGUCUUUGACGAUGAUUGUGAGGAAGCCUUCGAAAUACUUAAGAAGGCUUUGAUAACUGCACCUAUUGUUCAACCACCUGAUUGGAACUUACCUUUUGAAAUCAUGUGUGAUGCUAGUGAUUAUGUUGUUGGUGCUGUCCUAGGGAAAAGAGUUGAUAAGAAGUUGAAUGUUAUUCACUAUGCUAGUAAAACUCUAGACAGUGCCCAAAGAAACUAUGCUACUACGGAAAAGGAAUUUUUAGCAGUCGUGUUUGCAUGUGAAAAGUUCAGGUCUUACAUAGUUGAUUCCAAAGUCACUAUUCACACUGAUCACGCUGCUAUUAAGUACCUCAUGGAGAAGAAAUACGCUAAACCUAGACUUAUGAGAUGGGUUCUCUUGCUACAAGAAUUUGAUUUGCAUGUUGUCGACAGAAAGGGUGCUGAUAACCCAGUAGCAGAUAACUUGUCUAGGUUGGAGAAUGUUCUUGAUGACCCACAACCUAUUGAUGAUAGCUUUCCUGAUGAGCAAUUGAAUGUCAUCAAUACUUCACGUAGUACACCGUGGUAUGCUGAUUAUGCAAAUUAUAUCGUUGCCAAAUAUAUACCACCUAGUUUCACAUACCAGCAAAAGAAGAAAUUCUUCUUUGACUUGAGACAUUACUUUUGGGAUGAUCCUCACCUUUAUAAGGAAGGAGUAGAUGGUGUUAUUAGACGCUGUGUACCUGAACAUGAACAGGGACAGAUCUUACAGAAGUGUCACUCCGAGGCCUACGGAGGACACCAUGCAGGAGAUAGAACUACACAAAAGGUAUUGCAAUCAGGUUUCUAUUGGACCACUCUCUUCAAGGAUGCCCGUAAGUUUGUCUUGUCUUGUGACGAAUGUCAAAGAAUAGGUAAUAUCGGUAAACGUCAGGAAAUGCCUAUGAACUAUUCACUUGUCAUUGAACCAUUUGAUGUUUGGGGCUUUGAUUAUAUGGGACCUUUUCCAAAAUCCAACGGGUAUACUCAUAUCCUAGUUGUUGUUGAUUACGUCACUAAGUGGGUAGAAGCUAUCCCAACCAGUAGUGCUGAUCACAACACUUCUAUCAGGAUGCUUAAAGAAGUUAUUUUCCCUACAUUUGGAGUCCCUAGAUAUCUAAUGACCGACGAUGGUUCACAUUUCAUUCAUGGUGCUUUCCGUAAAACGCUUGCUAAGUACGAUAAUUGCGUCUCCCUAUCACCCUCAGUCCAGUGGUCAAGUGGAGCUAAGAAAUAGAGAGAUUAAACUAAUUUUGCAAAAGACUGUCAACAGGUCUAGAAAGAAUUGGUCUAAGAAGCUCGAUGAUGCACUGUGGGCUUAUAGAACUGCCUAUAAGAAUCCCAUGGGCAUGUCUCCGUACAAAAUGGUGUACGGUAAAGCAUGUCAUUUACCUCUUGAGCUAGAGCAUAAAGCUUAUUGGGCAAUCAAAGAGCUCAACUUUGAUUUUAAACUUGCUGGUGAGAAGAGGCUAUUUGAUAUUAGCUCGCUUGAUGAGUGGAGAACUCAGGCAUAUGAGAAUGCCAAGUUGUUCAAAGAAAAGGUUAAGAGGUGGCAUGAUAAAAGGAUACAAAACCGUGAGUUCAAUGUAGGUGAUUAUGUCUUGCUAUAUAAUUCUCGUUUAAGAUUUUUUGCAAGCAAGCUUCUCUCUAAGUGGGAAGGUCCUUACAUUGUUGAGGAACUAUAUCGUUCCGGUGCUAUCAAGAUCAACAACACGGAAGGUAAUUGUCCGAGAGUGGUAAAUGGGCAGAGAAUCAAGCAUUAUAUCUCAGGUACUCCCAUAAAUGUUGAAAGCAAUAUUAUCAAUACCAUAACUCCGGAGGAGUACCUAAGGGAUAUUUAUCGGCCUGUUUCAGACUCCGAAAAUGAAGAGGUAUGUGAUUCGGUAAGUAAACAGACUCCAAAACUUUUCCAGUAGGAUUUUUUCUCUGUUUUGGAAAUUUUUGAAAAAAUAGAAAAAUUUGAAGUAGUCCGGAAAGCGCACGAGGAGGCGACAAGCCUGCGAGGUGCGGACCACCCCCUGGCCGCGCCUGGGGGGCUUGUGGCCACCUCGUGUGCCUCUGGGACUCCGUUUUCUUGCGGACUACUCCUUAUGGUCUGAAAAAAAUCAUUAUAUAUUCUCCCGUAAGGUCUGACCCUCGUAUCACGCGAAUUUCCUCUGUUUUCGUUUCGAGCCCGUUUUCUGCCGCAAAUUUAGAGCAAGGAUGCCAUCUCAGGAAUCUGUCGGGGAGAACAAUUUCCCUCAAGUCUAUGAAGAAGUAGAUGUUGAUCUGAAAAGAGUGGAAGUCACGGAAGCCAAGGGCAAAACUAAGGAGUAGAAUUAGGCGUGGGACGAAGUACAAUCUGUGUUCAACAAGGAAUAAGUUGAAGAAGUGGAUUUCCUCCAACCCUACCUCCACCUACAAUCUCCAUCCUUGAGUGAACUUUUGAGGUUUUGUGAAACAACUCGUGCUCGCAAUACUUAUCUCACUCGUGAAGUUGUUUUGCUGGAAAACAUAUCACAUAUCUCCAAGGUAUAAAUCAAAGAUUGAUGUCCCUCUUGGAAUCAAAGGACAAAACAACUCCACCACCAUCACCGCCAAAGGAAGACAACUGAGCAUGGGUAUGGGCAGUCCCCUUGGCUUGUGCCAAGCCUGGGGGAGUUGCCCCGGUAUCGUAUCACCAUCACAUCUUUUGCCUUUACCUUUGUUUUAGUUUGUUCCUUUUCAGUUUUCUCUUUCUCUAGUAGAAUAAAGGUCUUAGUGUUUUAGGCUUGAGUUUUGCUUUGUGUCACCCCCGAUGUAUUCGAGCUCGUGAGCCAUAUACUAAAGAGUGUCUUAAUUAAGGGCCUUGCCUCAUGCCAUGAUCAAAAGAAUGAGAAAAGAACAAAAGCAUGAAAAGAUCAUGCAAUGAUCUUAUGGGAAGUUAUGGCUUCACAUAUAAAAAGAAUGAUGAUUGAAACUUGUUGAGGGUAGACAAACAUAGACCUUGGUCAUUGUUGCAAUUAAUAGGAAGUGAUAAAUAAGGAGAGGUUCAGAUAUAAAUAUAUCAUCUUUGACACCAUCUAUGAUUGUGAACACUCACUANNNNNNNNNNNNNNNNNNNNNNNNNNNNNNNNNNNNNNNNNNNNNNNNNNNNNNNNNNNNNNNNNNNNNNNNNNNNNNNNNNNNNNNNNNNNNNNNNNNNNNNNNNNNNNNNNNNNNNNNNNNNNNNNNNNNNNNNNNNNNNNNNNNNNNNNNNNNNNNNNNNNNNNNNNNNNNNNNNNNNNNNNNNNNNNNNNNNNNNNNNNNNNNNNNNNNNNNNNNNNNNNNNNNNNNNNNNNNNNNNNNNNNNNNNNNNNNNNNNNNNNNNNNNNNNNNNNNNNNNNNNNNNNNNNNNNNNNNNNNNNNNNNNNNNNNNNNNNNNNNNNNNNNNNNNNNNNNNNNNNNNNNNNNNNNNNNNNNNNNNNNNNNNNNNNNNNUGAAUUGUGUUUGCUUGGUUCCGAACAAUGUUAUAUGACUAGAGAUCCCUUAGCAUGUGACGAUUGCUUCCACCUCAUAUUAGCCAAACCUCCCGCACCAAGUAGAGAUACUACUUGUGCAUCCAUAAACCUUCAACCCAGUUUUGCCAUGAGAGUCCAUCGUACCUACCUAUGGAUUGAAUAAGAUCCCUCAAGUAAGUUGUCAUCGGUGCAAGCAAUAAAAAUUGCUCCCUAAUAUGUAUGAUCUAUUAGUGUGUGGAAAAUAAGCUUUGUACGAACCUGUGAUGAGGAAGACAUAAAAGCGACAGAAAGCAUAAUAAAGUUCUUUAUCACAGGAGGUAAUAUAAAGUGACGUUCCUCCACACUAAGAGGACACACAUCCAAACCUCAAAAGCGCUUGACAACCUCUGCUUCCCUCUGCGAAGGGCCUAUCCUGUACCUUUACUUUUUGCCCUUGGAAGAGUCAUGGUGAUCUUCACCAAUUCCUUAUUUCGCCUUUAUCUUGGCUAAUGUCAUAUGCUAGGGAAAGAUCUAUAUUCAUAUGUCAACUUGGAAGUAAGUAUUCAUGAAUUAUUAUUGUUGACAUUACCCUUGAGGUAAAUGGUUGGGAGGCGAAACUAUAAGACCCUAUCUUUCUCUGUGUCCAACUGAAACUUUGAUCUCAUGAGUACCACGUGAGUUGUAGCAAUUGUAGAGAACAAAAAGAUGAUUGAGUAUGUGGAUUUGCUUUACAAGCUCCUAUUUGACUCUUUCCGAUGUUAUGAUAAAUUGCAAUUGCUUCAAUGACUAAAGGGCAUCGGUUGUUAAUUCUCGGUAAGGUUCUUGAUCCAUACCUUACUUUGUGAAGGAAUUGUCACUUUAGCAUGAGAGAUUAUAUGUUGGUAUUGCUGUUCUGAUCAUGAUCAUGAUGCCAGCAUGUUCGUAUCUUGUUUUGUCGACACCUCUCUCUCUAAACAUGUGGGCAUAUUUAUUGGUCUCGGCUUUCGCUUGAGGACAAGCGAGGUCUAAGCUUGGGGGAGUUGAUACGUCCAUUUUGCAUCAUGCUUUCAUGUUGAUAUUUAUCGCUUUAUGGGCUGUUAUUACACUUCAUGGUACAAUACUUAUGCCUUUUCUCUCUUAUUUUGCUAGGUUUACAUGAAGAGGGAGAAUGCCGACAGCUGGAAUUCUGGCCUGAAAAAGGAGCAAGUUUGAGAUACCUAUUCUGCGCAACUCCAAAAGCCGUGAAAAUCAACGUGGACUUUUUUGGGAUUUGUAAAAAAUACUGGGCCGAAGAAGUACCAGAGGGGUGCCAGCAGGAGGCCACAAGCCUGCUAGGCGCGACCUCCCCCUGGCCGCACCUAGGGGGCUUGUGGACUCCCACUUGGCCCUCUGGCUCCCCCCUUUUGCUACAAGAAGGGUUUCGUUCCAGAAAAAAUCAGGAGGAGGCUUUUCGAAGGAUUCGCCGCCACCACGAGGCGGAACUUGAGCAGAACCAAUCUAGAGCUCUGGAGGACGAUCCUGUCGGGGAAACUUUCCUCCUGAAGGGGGAAAUCGUCGCCAUCGUCAUUACGAACUCUCCUCUCAUCNUACUUGUGGGUCAUCAAGUCUCAUAUUUCUAAAGCUGCGAAGCAGUCUGGGAUUGAAAUUCCCGUUACACGCUACCCCAUUGGUAUAUCCUUUGGUCACCCAGACUUGAGUGGUCUCAGGGAAAGAAUUCUUGAUGAUGAUUAUAUUGAACUUGAUGAUGAUUUAUCCAGGGAGCUUACAGAGUGUGCUCACUCUGACCCUGCUUCUGUUAAGAAGCUGCUUGAAAAGCAUUCUAUGAAGAACAAAUUUACUCAUGAUCCUAAAUUUGCUUCAUCUCCUAUUUGCAUUGAAGAUGCUGAUUUUGAUUUCACUGGUGAUCUUUCACUUAUAUCCACAGUUGAAGCUGACCCCUUUUAUGGCAGAGAAAAUGACGACGCUAUUGCACACCUUACCAAACUCACUGAGUUGGGUGGCUUAUUCACUACAAAGGACAAGAAGAGAAAUUAUUAUGUUACUAAGCUACUUCCUUUCUCUUUGAAGGAAGAUGCUAAAGCAUGGUAUGAUGCACUACCAUGUGGUUCCAUUAAUAGUCCUCAAGAUUUAGCUCAAUCUUUUGUUGCUAAAUAUUUUCCUGCUCAUAAGCAACAUGCUGCUUUACAAAGAAUAUAUAACUUUAAACAGUUGCAGGAUGAGCACCUCCCUAAAGCUUGGGGGAGGUAUUGCACUUUACUCAAGGAUAGACCAGGACAUGGAGUCCCUAAGAAUGAAUUGCUUGAUACAUUUUAUGCUGGUCUAACCGAUGAAUCUAGAACCUAUCGGGAUAGUUGUGUUGGUUGUGUUUUCAGGGAAAGAACACCAGACGAUGCUGAAGAACUACUGGGCAAGAUAGCUAAGAAUCAUGAUGACUGGUCUGUUCCUAAACCACCUCCACCACGAAAGAAGAGGGGUAUGCUUUUCCUGAGCCCCGGAGCUAUGCAAGAAGCUAAGUGGUCUAUUAAAGAGAAAUGUAUUAAAGCUGAAGAUGUGAAGAAUCUACCUCCUAUUGAGAAAUUAUGUGAGCCUACCGCUCACCCACCUAUGGUAGAGGUACACUCUCUUUUAGAAUUCAAUGCAAGUGACAUCCCUCAUGGUAAGCCCCCUGAUCAAUGCUUAGAUGAGCUUGAUAAUUUCAUUGUCAAGCAAAAUCACUUUAAUGAGAGGAUUCAAAGACAUUGCAUGAUAAUUUCCUUGCUAUCAAGAGUUUGCUUAAUAUUUUAAGUAGAACUGUUAAUGAUGUUAAAGGUCUUGUUAAGCAUUUUCAUAGGUUUCAAACUCAGCUUGAACAAAUUUCUAAUGUGCAAAAAGAUUUGCUUGCUAACAAUACCAAACAAGUUGAUACAGAGGCAUAUGGUAUAAAGACCUGAGGUGGUACACACACCUAGGACCCCCCUAUCCGGAGGGGCAUCCAAAGAGGAUUGAGCAAGAUUCUCAAUUCCAGGAAGAAGACAUUGUCAACUCCCGGAAGAAGGAGAAGAAACACAAGGAAGCUGACAACUCCAAUGAUCCCAUAAUUGAUGAAGAACCGAUUGUUGAUCCUAAUAGUAUAUCUAUUUCCGAUGUUGAAACUAAAGAUGGUGUUGAACCUGAUAAAGAUAAUGAGAAGAAUGAUCCUCCUAAAGUACAAGAAGAAGAAGCACCCGACAAGUGCAAGAGAUAUACUAGAGAAGACUUUGUUGCAAGAAGACAUGGGAAGGAAAGAGAACCAUGGGUACAGAAAUCAAUGCCCUUCCCACGCAAGUCUUUCAAAACCAAAGAAGAAGAGCAUUACAAUAAAUUUUGUGAAUGGAUGAAACCCCUUUUUCUUCAAAUUCCUUUGACUGAUGCUAUUAAGUUGCCUCCGUAUUUGAGGUAUAUGAAAGAUAUUGUUACUAAUAAAAGAAAAGUUCCUAAUGAGGCAAUAUCUACUAUGCUUGCUAAUUACUCUUUCAGUGGUAAGAUUCCUGAGAAGCUUGGUUAUCCAGGUAUACCCACCAUUCCUUGCUCCAUAAAAAAUAAUUAUGUCAGAACUGCUUUAUGUGAUCUUGGUGCAGGAGUGAGUGUUAUGCCUUUCUCUCUUUACAAAAGGCUUUGUUUAAAUAAACUAAUCCCUAUAGUCAUCUCUCUUCAAAUGGCUGAUAAGUCAACGGCCGUUCCUAUUGGUAUUUGUGAGGAUGUUCCUGUUGAAGUUGCUAAUUGCUUGAUCCUUACUGACUUUGUUGUGCUUGACACGCCCGAGGAUGGGAGCAUGUCUAUCAUUCUUGGUAGACCUUUUCUUAACACCACAGGUGCUAUUAUUGAUUGCAAUAAAGGAAAGGUGACUUUCAAUGUUAAUGAGAAGGAGCACACGGUAUAUUUUCCGAAGAAGAUUGAUAAAAGGCAUGGCCUUAAUUCUAUUGAGAAUACUGAGACCGUGAAGGUUGGAGAGUGGGAUUGUCCUCUACAUGUGCACCACAAAUAUAAAACCAUUAUGGUGGGGACAAUAUCCAUUAAAAUAAAGGUACCAUGAUUGCUUUAUAAGAAGUGAAACUUUUUGCUCGAUAUAACACCUGUUUGGUAGUAAGACUUGAUCAACCUUGCUAACAAAUAUGUUUUAUAUGAGUAAAAAGAGAAGCUUGUUAUGUUUUCAUUUAUUUUAUCUUUCAUCCUCCUUGCUUAACCAAAGUUUUAUGUUUUUUGAAGCUUCAUAUGUUUAACCAUUGCUUCGAGCUUUCCGGAAGUUUUGGAGAUUACGGUACUUUGAAUUCUUUUUCAAAAUAAAAAUUCCAGAAAAAAUAUAAUAAAAAUUUCCAUCAAAAAAGAGACGCAGGGGCACCUGGGGCCAACUAGGGGGCCCACCCCUGGUCCAGGCGCCCAGGCGGCACGACCUGGCCCCUAGCCGCGCCCACAGGUCGCCUGGGCCCACCUGGUCCCCUUUCCAUGUACUUCUUCUUCCCUUCUAUCUCUCUCACUCCAAAAAUCCCGAUUUUUCUCCUGGAGCUCGAGUUCUUGCUGUUCUUGGUGGAAAAAUUCGAUCUCUCUCUACAUCCCAUCAUUUGCAUUGAGAAUUUGAGCAUUUGCUCCUUGGUAUGUGACUCCUCCACUCCUCCAAUUAGAAUUUUGAUUGAUAGUCUUAUUUGUGAGUAUUUAUGAGUUCUUGGUAUUGUUCAUAUGAGCUUGCAUGCAUGUUUAGAAAUUUAUUUAUGAAGUUUUUACGCAAGCUUAUGCAUCGGGGAAGUGAGUAGAAUAGUUUGCUCCAACUCAUUUUUGAUUAAACCUUCGUUUUUGUGAUGCACCAAAAAUUUCAGAAAUGAGUUUGUUUGGAAAAGCAAAAGGAUGGCUUGGGAAGAAGAGACCCGAGCCUACCGAUAGAUUAACUAGAGCUGCAACUUCACCUUCUACUGUGAGGACAAGUUACAAUGAUGAUAUUGUGCCACCAGAGUUGCUUCACGAGACGGACACGACACGUGCCAUGGCAUACCCGUGUUCAGAUUUCCUUACGGCAGCAGGUAUUAAGGAUGAGUUUGAUAACCUCUAUGCAGCUGCAGGUUUGACACAUCUCAUAACACGACGUGUGCCACAAUAUCCAAAACUCACCUAUUAUUUUGUCAACUAGUUUAGAUAUAAUAAUAAAACUUCCAUGAUUGAAUUCAGAUUAUAUGAGGAUGUCUUUACCAUGUCUAUGGCAGAAUUUUGUGACGUUAUAGGUGUGCAGAAUGUCGGGAAGACGACCAAAAUGAAAGUUCAGCCCUACGAGCUGAAAUCCCUAUUCGCUUCUCUUUGCAACAAGGAUCCGCGAGACAUUCAUCGAGGGAAGAUCUCUAGCACCUUGUUUCCCCACAUCAGGUAUUUCGCAUACUAUAUUGCUCGAGGGGUGUUAGCUCGUGACAACACGAGCAACAUUUCGGCUCCGGAUCUCGCUAUCUUGGCAGCGGCCCUCUUAGGAGAUAACACGUAUAAUAUUGGUGCUUUGAUUGCUCGUCGCCUCGUUGCUAACAGCGGCAAAGGGCCUCACUUCGGUGGCAUUUAUACCACGCUUAUCCUCGAGCACCUCGGGCGCACUGUACGCACGGAUGAUACACCUUUUUCAUUCAUAAGCUUUGAUCUUACCGCUAUGAAGAGGCAUGAGUUUGUUACUAGGACUUUUGAUUUUGGUAACCUUGUUUAUAUUAUGAGGUUUGGCGAGCUUGCUACUCGGGAGAUCCGUCUACCUGCACCACUUUUAUUUGAUUACACUACCAGGAACGGAUGGUCCUUCACCUCGAUUGAGCUGGACGAGUUCGUGAUCUAGCAGCAGUUCCACAACCCCAUGGAGGAGGAUGAAGAGCCUUCUUCUUGGGAGGACAGUCGGGCAUCAGUCUACGUGCCCGAGGCCCCGUACGGUUCUUGGAGCUACCCGUACCACCCCGGAGCCGGAGGGAGCUCCUGGAGCCCGCAGUAGCCAAGCCCAACUUAGGCCAAAAGCCUAUGCUUGGGGGACUACGUACCCUUCUCCCCUUUCAUUGUAUCAUCCGUGGUUUCCUUUUUAAUCUUUUCAGAGUUUUUGCCUAUUCUUCCUUGUUCUUUCUUUGCAAAAACAACAAAAAGAUUUAUUUUUUCUUUUGCUUUCGUUUAACCUUUGGAAAACCCAAGAAGAUUUCUUUUCUCUCUUUAGAUUGCUUUAUUUGCAGAGUUCAGCUCACGUCCAUGGUUGCAAUUGCACUUGAUUAUAUCUUUCUACGUUCAUCAUGCAAGUGACGAUGACGAAGAUCGACGGAAGGGAUGCAACAAGGAAAUCCGGUAUGAACUCUAUUUGUUUCUACUUUUGUACAUAUGCCUGUACUUAUGAUCUAGAGACCAGCUUGUAGCGACAUAGUGCUAUGUUUACAAUGCUUUCCCAGUAGUUCAUGCUUUCUUUGUGACUAGUCUCAAAUAGCUGGAGUGCAUAAUGUGUUAUCAAAAUGAUUUGCAUGCAUUGCAUUGUUCAUGGUUUGGCGUAUUGAAGUGGUAUUUCCCUUCAGAGAGUUUUUGGAUUAACUUGGCACAUGCUUAUACAUGUUUAUGACUAGAAGUCUAUCAAGCCUUGAUGAUCUUUUUAUUUCAGAAUAGUUAUAUCGAUUUCAUGCCCGAUUCAAUGUUGCUUUGUCGCUCUGCAUGAUUAUGACCGUUAUUGCUCUCUACUUGGUCGCUUCCCCAUCUUUUGCUAUCCUUCGCCUGUACUAAGCGGACUGACUGCUUGUGCAUCCAAAAUCCUUGAAACCAGUUGCGCCAUAUGAGUCCACCAUACCUACCUAUAUGUGGUAUUUAUGUUCCGUCCUAAGUAAAUUUGCAUGUGUCGUAUUCUAAAUUUUCAAAUAAAUAUUUUCUUUUGUAUGCCCGAAUCGCUCAUGUAGUGAGUAGGGACUAUCAGUAUCUUCCAUGCUAAGUGGGUUAUUCUCAAGAUAUGUGUUGAUUCACUAUCAUUCACGUGAAAGUGGCUGGUAACCGGGAUGCCUAGUUCCAUGCUCAAAAGUCAAGUCAAAUUUAAUGAAACAAAACUCCCCCAGGAUUGUUGUUUGUAUGGACGGUACCAGUGGCUUCGACCCGCCGUGGAGUGUGAUCGAUUGGUGGAGGGGGAGUAAAAACUUUACAAUUCUGUUUGGGAACCACCUAUAAUGUAUUUAGCAUGGAAGAUAUUGAGAUCUCUUAGUUGUUACGUUUACAAUGAAAGCAUACCACCCAAAAUUUUGAUUUAUCUCUGUUUUAAAAGCUCAAGUUCUGGCACCUCUGCAAAUCAAUGUUUCCCUCUGCGAAGGGCAUAUCUAUUUUACUUUACUGUUGAGUCAUCCUCUUCUUAUAAAAAUGCACCAACUAUAGAGAGCAUAAUUGUCAUUCUGAGUGUAAUGUGCAUUGUCCCAAAGUACCACAUUGUCUUCUGCAUGGUUGUGAUAUUACUUAUUCUGAAACAUUUAUUUCUAGUCUCCUUUAAGACUCCGAAGGAGCAUCUACAUUUAUGUUUUGCUUCACUCUUGGGGGCUAGCGAGAUACCACUCUAGUAUGUCUGAGUCAUGUGCAUUGUGAUCUCGUCAUGAUUUUCGGUUGCAUAUUAUUCAUUCUUAGUUGUUUGAAACUCUUCACAUGAUCGAAGGAUUGCUUCGUGCAUUGCCUUUGUAGCAUUACUUCAAUACUUGUUGGACUUGUUCGUAGUGCAAGCUUAUAUACAUAUGAUGAAGCAAAAGAGUUUGUCAAAGUUUUCUUUGUCACGUCCAGUUCGUUGAACUGAAUUGCUUGAGGACAAGCAAUAUGCUAAGCUUGGGGGAGUAGAUGCGUCUCAAACGUAUCAACUUUUCCAAACACUUUUGCUAUUGUUUUGUCCUCAUUCUUGCAUGAUUUGAAUGAAACUAACCCGGUCUGACGUUGUUUUCAGCAGAGCUGCCUGUAUGGUUUUCUUGCGUGCAGGAAAAUGGAUUUUUAGGCGUCCGAAAAAUUCCAAUAAAAAAUAGAGAAAAUCCAUGCACCGGGAGGAACCCUGGGCCAGAAGAUGGGCCAGAGGGGGGCCACCAGGCCUCGAGGUGACGUGUGGGCGCGGCCUGCUCCCUGGCCGCGCCGAGAGGCCGCCUGGGUGGGGCCCACCUCCUCUGGUGCCCUACCUUGGCUCCUAUUUUUACCCGUGACGGAGAAAUCCCAGAAGAGAAGUCGUUUUGCAAGUUCUCGACGCGGAGCCGCCGCCACCCUCGGUUCUUCUCCGGGAGAGCUAAUCUGGAGGGUGCCUUGGCCUCCGGAGAGGUGAAAUCGUCGCCAUCGUCAUCACCAUCAGCACUCCAUCACCCUUCCAUGGCUUCCCCCAUCAUGUGUGAGUAAUUCCCUACUGUAUGUGAAGGGGAUGGUAGUGAUUGGAUGAGUUAGAUCAUGCAAUAGUUCGUCGGUUGUUGGGGGCAUGUUGCCUAUCAUCUACUAUGGUGUUUAUCAUCUUUGCUACUACUUGUUACUCUUAAUGCUUGUCACUUUGGGUCCGAGUUCCAUGAGUUCAGAUCUGAACACCUUAUGUUUUCAUGGAUAUAUUUGUGUUCUUGAUCCUAUCUAUGUGUAGUAUGCACCUAAUAUAGUCCGGAACCGGCGAUCCUAAUGGUGACAGCUUGGGACAUCAAAGGGGAUAGACUAUAGUUUGAGGAUUCCAUGUAUCCAUUGAUUGUUAAUGCUUUGUUCCGGUGCUCUUUGACAGGAGCACCUUAAUCUCCAUAAGUUCCUUUUGGCCCCGUUGGUAGCGGGAUGGUAGGACAAAAGAUGUUGUGUAAGUUCUUAUUGCAAGCACGCACGACUACCUUGGGAUAGAUGCCUAAUGUUUGAUAUUUGCCUAGAUGAUCAUUACUUUUCUAUGUGCCUUGCCCCAAGUUAAAUACAUGAUAUCUCUCAUCCAUGACCAACCAUCCAUCUCCCUAGCCUACAAUGUUUUAAUCCUGCUAGUCACCGGUUGCUCUACUCUAGCUGUUUUACUUUCGUUGCUUUGCCACCAUUAUUUCCGUUACCACAAUCACUUUCAUAUCACCAUUUCUACCAAUAUUUCGUUGUCAAGUAAGUAUCUUUCUGGUGCGGUUGAAUUAACAACUCAACUUAAAGCUUAUAAUAUUCUUUGGCUCCCCUUGUGUCGAAUCAAUAAAUUGGGUUAUCUUACCCGCGAAGACUGUUGCGAUCCCCUACACUUGUGGGUUAUCAGCCACACACAGUCGGAUCCGAUCCAUCGAGUGCCACAGACGUGAGCUAGGGUUGAUGGGCAUGUAGGUGGUGCCGAAACGGAGCCACGAUGGCGAUGCAAGAGAUUAGAGAAGGGAAGGAGGGAGCCGAAGGGAAGAAAAGGUGCACAGAGGAGGGGCACGAUGCUGGUGUUGACUGUNNNNNNNNNNNNNNNNNNNNNNNNNNNNNNNNNNNNNNNNNNNNNNNNNNNNNNNNNNNNNNNNNNNNNNNNNNNNNNNNNNNNNNNNNNNNNNNNNNNNNNNNNNNNNNNNNNNNNNNNNNNNNNNNNNNNNNNNNNNNNNNNNNNNNNNNNNNNNNNNNNNNNNNNGAGCCUUGCUUGUAGUUCCACAGCCGCAUCAUCUUGGCCACCGGCGCGGUGGUGCGCGCGAGGCUGCCCGGCAUCUUGGACGGGUACGACGAGUCGUCGUCGCCCUCGUCGAGCAGCGCUGCGUUGAAGCUGCGCUUCAGUAGCGCCAUGCCGCCCGCCGUUGCCAGGCGAUCGAGAUCGAGGACCAAACAGGGAACGUCGCUGCUUGGAAUCGGUCGGCUUGCUGUUCGUCUCGUUCUGCUGAUCGAUGCGUAUGAGAGUUAGUACAUAUCAUACGUACUACAUACGCAUCACUAUAUAUAACUAGUAGGCAGUUCGACUCCGUCUUGGAGACGAGCCUUUGAACGCGUUUCCGAGUUCAAGGGUACUUGGCAUAAUAACCAUGCAAAAAAAAAGAGUACUUCGCAUAAUAUAUCCAUGCAAAAAAAAAAUACUUCGCUUAAUACACAGACAUUUCGGUACAUAUGCACGAGCCCUUUUCAUAGAGGACGGUGGAACGGCAGCCCACAACGCAAUUAACUAACCUGUGGUUGGAUAGUUAGAGGGACACUCUACCUCCAGUCCAUCAGAAUUAAGUCGUGGUGCUUUUCUUCGAUUUAUUUUAGAAUUUUCGACGAUAUGCUUUCAGUGAUAUAUAGUGAUCGUGUUGCGAAACACAUAUAUAAUUAUUUUUGCAAUAGAGUUUAUAAUAAAAUAUUUUCUGCAACAAAGAUUGUGUUGUGGAAACACCUGUAGAUUUUUUUACAAUAGAGUUUGUUAUAGAAUAUUCUUUUGUAACAAAGAGCGUGUUGCGGAAACACCUAUAGAAUGUCAUGGCUGGGUUGAGAAAGAAGAAAAAAUAAAGAGCAGUGGAGGAUACACGUCGGCCGACGAAUCCCAUCGAGCGGCCUAACAUGUCGUUCCCUGUUGCAAGAGAGCCAGUGUUGCAGAAACAUUUUUACAACAAUGAUCAUGUUGUAGAAACCUCACAACAGAGUUAAUGUUGUAAAAAACUUUUUACAACAUGAUCCUUGUUGCAAAAAUAUUUUGCAAAAACCAAGCAUAUGCGGCUAGCAGCUGUGUCCGUCGCUAUUGCAACGGAAUCCUUGUUGCAAAAAAAGGGCAUACUCUUCGAUUAUCGCGAGUAUCGCCAACAAUCAAUGGCGCGUAGCAUGCUCACAAGGUGGCGUCCGUACACUCCUUCCGAUUAACUCACCACCCACAUGAGCACGUGGCAAGCAAAGGAGGCGGCGGAUGUGAGAGCAUGAUCAACUGUCCGGAAGGUAAUGUUUCCCAAAAAAAACACUAGUUUUAGCAUAUAAUCCCUCUGUUUCUAAAUAUAAGCCUUUUUAAAGAUUAUACUAUGAACUGUAUCAAAAUGUGUGAAUCUAUACUGUAAAGUAUGUUUAUAUACAUUUAUAUGUAGUUCGUAAUGAAAUCCGCAAAAAGACUUAUGUUAGGAACGAAGCACUAGUAUAAAACAAGGCUUUCGUCCUAUCCCCAAUCGAGCAUUAGUCCCGGUCACCUUACGACUGGGAGCGGACUCGCGGCAUUACCAUCUGUAGUCCCGGUUGGUGUUGGACCUUUAGUCUCGGUUGGUGUCACCAACCGAGACCAAAGGGGUUCGGCAGGAGUGACACCCUUUCGUUCUGGUUGGUGUCUCCAACCGGGACUAAAUGUCCGUCUUCAAUCCUGGUUUUAGAUACUAANNNNNNNNNNNNNNNNNNNNNNNNNNNNNNNNNNNNNNNNNNNNNNNNNNNNNNNNNNNNNNNNNNNNNNNNNNNNNNNNNNNNNNNNNNNNNNNNNNNNNNNNNNNNNNNNNNNNNNNNNNNNNNNNNNNNNNNNNNNNNNNNNNNNNNNNNNNNNNNNNNNNNNNNNNNNNNNNNNNNNNNNNNNNNNNNNNNNNNNNNNNNNNNNNNNNNNNNNNNNNNNNNNNNNNNNNNNNNNNNNNNNNNAAGGUGGGAAGUGUGUGCUAAUUGGUUUUCCUUUCCUAUGCACAAGAGGUGUUCGAUGAAAUGCCUCAGAGCAUGAUGCCACUUGAGUUCACGAGCCACAUUCAAGAUUUCUCCUCUUUUUUGGCAUAAGUGUAGGUGUGGUUUAACUUAGGGUGCCAUUCCGUCCCCGUCCCCAUCCUCACCGCUGUCGAUCUCGUCGCCGGCACUACCGUGGUGAGCCUCUUGUUCUUAUCUUUUAUAAAACUUACUUGUAAUAUUUUUUGUUACUUGUCUAUUUUUCUUACUUGUAUAUUAUUAUUUGUUAUUAUAUAGUUACAUGGUUUUGAUAUCCGCCCCCGCCGGCUCUCGUCCGGUCUAUGAUUCGGGUGUGAUAUAUUAUCUUUUAUAACUAUUUGUUUCAUUUCGUGUUUAUGAUAAUUAUGUCGACCAACUUGACAUAGAUAUUUUUAUCUAGGAGGUAUGUGAACCAAAAAUUGCAACCGACCCUCUUGUCGAGAGCUUAAAUUUAGUUGAAAAAACAUUUUUUAAAAGAAAAAUUGAAAAGAAUUGAAGAAGAGAAGAUAGAAUUGGAGUUGUAUGUUGCCGAUGUUGUCGAUGAUCACAAGAUCAAUAUGGAUGCAAUGCGUUUGAAGAUUAGAAAGAUUUAAAAAUAUGCCAUUAAUGAAGAGGCUUGGUAUCAUUAUGUUGUUGAAUCAAUUAUUACCUUAGUUGCGAUUCUGAUCGCAUUUGUUGUUGCAUUUAAAUGUUUUACAUAGUUGUAUGUUAGUUUCAAUGUAUGUUAGUUUGAUCAACGGAUGUAUGAACUUUAUGUAUUUAUUUUUGCACUACUAACAUUUGAUCACUACUGUACUUUGGUUAUAAUGUGAUGAUGAACUUGUAUUAAUUUGAUCAUUUCUCUAUUCAUGAUGUUUUGUAAUGGUUUUUUAUAUACUUAAUUACACAAUGCAGAUAAACCGACAAUGGAUGUAUGGUGACCGACAUACUUCUGAGUACAUUAUGGGCCUGCAUAAUUUUAUCGAUGUGGCUAGGGCAAACAAACAUAAUGGUUUUAUGUAUUGUCCAUGUGUUGUCUUUGAGAAUACGAAGGAUUACUCUUCCUCGAAAACCCUUCACUUCCACCUGCUUAAGUCCGGUUUCAUGCCCCACUAUAAUUGUUAGACCAAGCACGGAGAAAGAGGGGUUAUGAUGGAAGACAAUGAAGAAGAAGAGGAUGAUGACAACUAUCCUAUAUCCCCUGAAUACAAUGAUACUACAACGGGGGAAGUUGAAGAUCAAGAGGCACCAGGUGUGCCCGCUGAUGAUGAUCUUUGCCGGGUCAUUGUUCAUGCACAGAGAGAAUGCAAAAGUGAAAGGGAGAGGUUGAAGUCCGAUCGCAUGUUAGAGGAUCACAAAAAAGGUUAUACCUAAAUUACGAAGAUGGCAACACAAAGCUUGGUACCACACUAGAAUUGAUGCAAUGGAAGACAGAUAAUGGUGUAUCGGAUAAGGGAUUUCAGAAGCCACUGCAAUAAUGAAGAAGAAUCCUCCAAAGGAUAACGAAUUGUGUGACAGUGCGUACGAAGCAAACAAGGUUCUCUACCCUCUAGGAUAAGAGGUGCAGAAGAUACAUGCAUGCCCUAAUGACUACAUCCUUUAUCGCGGUGAGGAGUACGAGAAUUUGAAUGCAUGCCCGGUAUGCGGUACAUUGCGGUACAAUAUCAAAUGAGAUGACCCUCGUGAUGUUGAGAGCCAGCGCCCCAGGAAGAGGGUUCCUGCCAAGAUGAUGUGGUACGCUCCUAUAAUACCACAGUUGAAACAUUUGUGCAGAAACAAAGAGCAUGCUAAGUUAUUGCGCUGGCACAAAGAAGAUUGUAAGAAAGACGGGAUGUUAAGAGUACCUGAUGAUGGGUCGCAGUGGAGAAAAAUCAAGAGAAAGUGUAUGGAGUUUGCAGAUGACACAAGGAACUUAUGGUUUGGUUUAAGUGCAGAUGUCAUUAAUCCUUUUAGGGAGGAGAGCAACAAUCAUAUCACCUGGCAUGUAACUCUAUGUAUCCAUAACCUUCCUCCUUGGUUGUGCAUGAAGCGGAAGUUCAUUAUGAUGCCACUACUCAUCCAAGGCCCUAAGCAACCCGACAACGACAUUGAUGCGUACCUAAGGCCAUUAGUUGAAGAACUUAUACAACUAUGGGACAUCAAAGGUGUACGUGUGUGGGAUGAGUACAAACAAGAGGAAUUUGACCUACGAGCGUUGCUCUUUGUAACCAUCAAUGAUUGGCCCGCUCUUAGUAACCUUUCAGGACAGACAAACAAGGGAUACAAUGCAUGCACACACUAUUUAGAUGAGACCGAAAGUAUAUAUUUGGCCAAAUGUAAGAAGAAUGUGUACCUGGGACAUCGUCGAUUUCUUCCGAGCAGGCAUCCCUUAAGAAAGAAAGGUAAGCAUUUCAAAGGUGAGGCAGAUCACCGGAAGAAGCUUGUCCUCCAUACAGGUGAUGCUAUAUUUGAUAUGGUCAAGGUUUUAAAAGCAAUCUUUGGAAAUGGUCCUGGCGGACAAUCUGUUUCGAAUGACGCUGACGGACACACACCCACGUGGAAGAAGAAAUCUAUAUUUUGGACCUAUCCUAUUGGAAAGACCUAGAGGUCCACUCUGCAAUCGACGUGAUGCACGUGACACAAAAUGUUUGCGUGAACCUUCUAGGCUUCUUGGGCGUGUAUGGGAAGACAAAAGAUACAUAGAGGGCACGGGAGUGCCAGCAACGUAUGAAUGAAAAAGAUGGCCCGCAUCCAAAGCAUUAUCAAGGUCCUGCCUGCUACACUCUUGCCAAAGGAGAGAAGGAAAUAUUUUUUGAAUGCCUGCUCAGUAUCAAGGCCCUGUCUGUCUUCUCAUGGAAUAUAAAGGGAAUAAUAAAUAUGUCAGAGAAAAAGAAUUCCAGAACCUAAAGUCUCAUGACUGCCACGUGAUUAUGACGCAGCUACUUCUGGUUGCAUUGAGGCGACUUCUACCAGAAAAUGUUCGAUUAGCCAUUGUGAAGCUAUGUGCAUUCCUCAAUGCAAUUUCUCAUAAGGUAAUCGAUCCAGAAAUCCUACCAACGUUACAGAAUGAUUGGGUCCAAUGUCUUGUGUGUUUCGAGUUGGUGUUCCUACCAUACUUUUCAACAUUAUGACGCACGUCCUAGUUCACCUAGUCGACGAGAUUGUCAUUCUGGGUCCUGUAUUUCUACACAAUAUGUUCCUCUAUGAGAGGUUCAUCGGAGUCUUAAACAAGUAUGCCCGUAACCAUGCUAGGCCAGAAGGAAGCAUCUCCAAGGGCCAUGAAACAGAGGAGGUCAUUGAGUUUUGUGUUCAUGGGAGUAAAGAAGUCAACUACGUAGAACUUUUUAGCUUGAAAGUGAUCCUCAUUUCAUAGACAUCCAAAAUUUGAAGUCUUCAAAUAGAUAUCAUGUGAUUUGGGAACAUGUCACUUAGCCAACAUUAGGUCAUCUCCAACGUUCAUUCAUAAAAUUUGCUUCUGCAUCUGUCCGCGGACAGGUGAAAAGCAGUUCACGGACAAGGAUGUGGGAGCCGGUAUCCAAUGCUACCCGUAUACAUUUCAAACAUGGCUUAACAAACGAGGAAAAAUUCAUACAAACACUAUGGAUUUCAUUAAAGUUGGGAUAUAAGUUACAUAAAACGAAUGGUAUUUCGUCCAUUUAACUAAAUCUAUAAAAAAAUCUUGAACCUAUACGGGACAACCACCUCAUAUGUGUUGCCGCCAUGUCCCGCCGCACCGUCGUCACUAUUCGUGCCACCGUUGUCGUUGUCGCUGCCAUCGCUAUCCUCCAACGAAAAAGGGCGCUGGAGGGCCAUGACACCCUUGUCCGACUAGUGAGUGGCACUUGAGGAGGAGUUGCUUCGCCUCCUCCUACGUGGUGCGGAGGACCGUCGUGACCGGACCACAUGCAACAGAUGGAGAUGUGAUGACAACCUUUUCUGGGUUGGCGCACGAGUCGCUGAGCGACCACUCCUCCCAAAUCUUGGCGAUCGAGCUUGUCGUCAAGGUAGCGGCGGCGUGAUGUCGUCUCCACGGUUGUGAUGGGGUGAUCGACGACCCACACGACGAUUAUGUAUUGGUCACUGUGGCCCUAUUCCGGCGCCGCGUCAAUCUAUGCGAAUGCGGAGCGGCAAGCGAUAUUGCGCUGGACGAACCAUGCCUUGUGCCUCGCCGCAUGCUCUUCCUCGGAUACAAUGGUCCUCGAGUCUGAGGCACCACCGCAAUAGCCUCCUCUAAGGUAGUGCAGGAUGCAGCCACAUGCCUUCGUGUUCGCGGCGACAUUGAUACGUCUCCGUCGUAUCUACUUUUCCGAACUCUUUUGCCCUUGUUUUGGACUCUAAUUUGCAUGAUUUGAUUGAAACUAACCCGGACUAACGCUGUUUUCAACAGAAUUGCCAUGGUGUUGUUUUUGUGCAGAAAUAAAAGUUCUCAUAAUGACCUGAAAAUUUGCGGAGAAUUUUUCUAGAAUUAAUGACAAAUACCUCCGCAAAGAUCCAUCGGAGGGGGUGAGCCAGUGGGCCACAAGCCCAGGCGGCGCGGCCACCCCCCAGGCCGCACCAACCAGGCUUGUGGAGCCCACGUGGCACCACCGCCUCCACACCCAGCUCUAUAUAUUCCGUUUCGCCCGGAAAAAAUCAGAGAGAAGGAUUCAUCGCGUUUUACGAUACGGGGGCGCCGCCACCUCCCGUUCUUCAUCUGGAGGGCAGAUCUGGAGUCCGUUUUGGGCUCCGGAGAGGGCAGAUCGUCGCCAUCGUCAUCAUCAACCUUCCUCCAUCGCCAAUUCCAUGAUGCUCUUCAUCGUUCGUGAGUAAUCUCAUCGUAGGCUUGCUGGACGGUUAUGAGUUGAAUGAGAUCUAUCAUGUAAUCGAGUUAGUUUUGACGGGGAUUGAUCCCUAGUAUCCACUAUGUUCUAGAUUGAUGUUGCUACUACCUAGCUAUGCUUAAUGCUUGUCACUAGGGCCGAGUGCCAUGAUUUCAGAUCUGAACCUAUUAUGUUGUCGCCAAUAUAUGUGUGUUUUAGAUCCUAUCUUGCAAGUUGUAGUCACCUACUAUGUGUUAUGACCCGGCAACCCCGGAGUGACAAUAGCCGGAACCACUCCCGGAGAUGACCAUAGUAUGAGAGUUCAUGUAUUCAUCGCGUGUUAAUGCGUUGGUCCGGUUCUUUAUUAAAAGGGGAACCUUAAUAUCCCGUAGUUUCCAUUAGGACCCCGCUGCCACGGGAGGGAUGGACAAUAGAUGUCAUGCAAGUUCUUUUCCCUAAGCACGUAUGACUACAUACGGAAUACAUGCCUACAUUAGAUUGACGAACGGGAGCUAGUUACAUACCUCUCAGUGUUAUAACUGUUACAUGAUGAAUCACAUCUGGCAUAAUCAUCCAUCACCGAUCCAAUGCCUACGAGUCUUUUACUACUGGUCCUUGCUAUGUUACUUUGUCGCUACUACUGUCGCUACUGCUGUUACUGUGCUGCUACUUGUUACUGCUGUUCCUUGCUACUGCUGUCACUAUUGUUGUUACUUGCUACCGCUGUGAGUACUACUGUUACUGGUUACUUUGCUCCUACCUGCUGCAAGACUUUUCUGGCACCAUUGAUACAACAAGUUAGGAAUAGUCUGCCGUCAACAGACCCUUUUCUGGCACCAUUGCUAUCAUACUACUUUGCUACUGAUACUUUCCUUGCAGAUACUAAUCUUUCAGGUGUGGUUGAAUUGACAACUCAGCUGCUAAUACUUGAGAAUAUUCUUUCGCUUCCCCUUGAGUCGAAUCAAUAAAUUUGGGUUGAAUACUCUACCCUCGAAAACUGUUGCGAUCCCUACACUUGUGGGUUAUCAAGACUAUUUUCUGGCGCCGUUGCCGGGGAAGCACAACUAUAUUCUCUAAGUCACUUGGGAUUUACGUCUGCUGGUCACUAUGAGGAAUCUAAGAGAUCCAAGAACUAAAGUCUUGCCCUCAACUACGAGGACAGGUAAGGAACUGUCAUCGAGCUCUGCACUUGAUUCACCUUCAGUUAUGAGUAAGUUUGCGACAUCACCUCCUACUAGAAAUCUUGAUAUGUCGCCUGUGCUUGAUGAUGCUACUUUUGCUGCCCAUGAUGCUUAUGAUGAUGCUAUGCUUGAUACUAUGCCUGAUGAUGCUAUGCUUGAUACUGCUUUGCCACUAGGUGCAUUCCUUGAUGCACAAAUUGCUAGAGUUGCUGCUAGAUGUGAUGAUACUUCUGAAACUGUUGAUACUAUUGAAGUAGAACAUGCUAUUUUGCAUGCUAGAACUAGCUCUCCUGAUAUGCCUGAAUUGCCUGAACGUUAUGUUAUGGAGGGAGAGAUAGCUGAGGAUUUUCUUGUGUGUAAGGAUAGAUAUGAUGUUAAGAAAUUACUGCGCAAGUGGAAAGAAAAAUCUCUGAACGCUAGGAUGAAAUACGACCCGAAGUUUGCUACUUCGCCUAUCUUUGUGACCGAUAAGGAUUAUGAAUUCUCUGUCGACCCUGAGUUAAUCACUCCAGUCGAAUUUGAUCCUUUUCACGAUUAUGAGUUUGAAACGGUUGUAGCCCAUCUUACCAAACUGCACGAUAUAGCCACCCUAUUCACUAGUGAGGAAAAGAUCUGCCACUACUAUAUCCUCAAGCUGUUUCCUUUCUCGCUAAAGGAUGAUGCUAAGACCUGGUUCAUUUCUCUUGCUCCUGGUUGUCUGCGUAGCCCCCAGGAUAUGGUCUACNNNNNNNNNNNNNNNNNNNNNNNNNNNNNNNNNNNNNNNNNNNNNNNNNNNNNNNNNNNNNNNNNNNNNNNNNNNNNNNNNNNNNNNNNNNNNNNNNNNNNNNNNNNNNNNNNNNNNNNNNNNNNNNNNNNNNNNNNNNNNNNNNNNNNNNNNNNNNNNNNNNNNNNNNNNNNNNNNNNNNNNNNNNNNNNNNNNNNNNNNNNNNNNNNNNNNNNNNNNNNNNNNNNNNNNNNNNNNNNNNNNNNNNNNNNNNNNNNNNNNNNNNNNNNNNNNNNNNNNNNNNNNNNNNNNNNNNNNNNNNNNNNNNNNNNNNNNNNNNNNNNNNNNNNNNNNNNNNNNNNNNNNUCUCCCACAAGCUUGGGGGAGGCUCAUCCAGCUACUAAAUGCUUUGCAUGAUCACCCUCUUGAGAAGAAUAAAGUACUUGAUAUCUUCUAUAAUGGACUUACCGAUGCUUCUAAAUACCACCUAGAUAGUUGUGCCGGUAGUGUGUUUUAGGGAACGAACUGUAGAACAAGCUGAGAUUCUAUUGAAUAGCAUCUUGUGCAAUGAGAAUGCUUGAACUAUUCCCGAACCACCUCCUAAGUCAACUCUAAAUAAAAUAUGUAUUCUAUUCCUCAGUCCUCAAGAUAUGCAAGAAGCCAAGAAAUCUAUGCGAGUGAAAGGCAUUAAAUCUGAAGAUGUCAAAAAUCUACCACCUAUCGAAGAGAUCCAUGGUCUUGAUAACCCGAUACAGGUAGUAGAAGUAAAUUCUUUGUGUAGGUUUGAUGAGAGUGAUAUUUCUUUUGAUAAACCUGCUAGCUUAUGCCUGGAUGAAUUUGAUAACCUUGUUGCCAAACAACAGAGUUUCAAUGAUUAUGUUAGCACACAAUUGGAACAGAAUGCUCGUAUGCUUAGUCAUUUAAGUGCUUGUGUGGACAGAAACAUCAACGAUCUUAAGCUUAUGAGUAAACAUGCCUCUAUGGUCACUACUCAGGUAGAAAAGGUACUUCAAGCUCAGAGUGACUUGCUCAAUGAGUUGAAUGACAAUUCUGUCAAAGUCGUCACUAGAGGCGGUAGAAUGACCGAGGAACCUCUAUAUCCUGAGGGUCAUCCGAAGAGAAUUGAACAAGAUUCUCAAGGAGUUAGCACUGAUGCACCUAAUCAUCCUAGAAAGAAGAAGAAAGAUGAUAGGAACCUGCACGCUAGCAACCCUGUUGCUGCUACACCUGAGAGUCCAAACGAUGUCUCUGUCUCUGAUGCUGAAACACAAUCUGGUGAUGAACAUUAGCCUAAUGAUAAUAUCGAUAGUGAUGUUCAUGAUGAUGCUCAACCUAGCAAUGAUAAGGAUCUGGAGAUUGAACCUAGUAUUGAUCUUGAUAACCCACAACCUAAGACUAAGAGAUACAAUAAGAAUGACUUUGCUGCUAGGAAGCAUGGUAAAGAAAGGGAACCAUGGGUUCAGAAACCCAUGCCCUUUCCUCCCAAACCAUCCAAGAAAAAGGAUGAUGAGGAUUUUGAGCGCUUCGUUGAGAUGAUCAGACCCGUCUUUCUGCAAAUGUGUUUGACGGAUAUGCUCAAGAUGUCUCCGUAUGCUGAGUACGUGAAAGAUAUUGUGACUAAUAAGAGGAGGAUACCUGAGGUUGAGAUUUCCACCAUGCUCGCUAAUUAUACCUUCAAGGGUGGAACUCCGAAGAAACUAGGUGAUCCCGGUGUGCCCACUAUACCUUGCUCCAUUAAAGGCAACUACGUUAGAACCGCGUUAUGCGACCUUGGAGCCGGUGUUAGUGUUAUGACUCUCUCUCUUUAUCGUAGACUUGAACUGGAUAAGUUGACAACCACUGAAAUCUCUCUGCAAAUGGCUGACAAAUCAACUGCUUUCCCUAUCGGCAUUUGCGAGGAUGUGCCUGUUGCGGUUGCCAAUGUCACUAUCUUAACAUACUUUGUUAUCUUGGAUAUUCCUGAGGACGAUGCCAUCGCGGUCAUCCUUGGAAGACCCUUUUUAAACACUGCAGGUGCUGUUAUAGAUUGCAACAAAGGCAAUGUCACUUUCCAUGUCAAUGGUAAUGAGCAUACGGUGCACUUUUCGAAGAAAUAUUAUCGAGUAGAUUGCAUCAAUGCUAUCGAAAAAACUUCAUCGAUUCUUAUUGGGAGCUUUGAAUGACCUAUUCCUCGUGUCAAGAUGUAGUAUGAUUUGCUUGUUGGGGAAAUACACAUCCCCAUUGAGGUGACCUAGUGAUUGUUCAAAAAUUCUCCGUCUUCUUUUGCGAUUCGAAAAAGUUUUGUCGAGGGGAUUUGAUCAACCCCAUUGAUGGAUUUCUUUCGAUGACCAUGAGAUGGAUGAAUCAAGGAGUCACAAACCUCUCUUCCAAGCUUUCACUUUAGGUUGCUUAGAAGAAAAAUGAUAGAUUUAGUUUAGUUUUCCCUAUUUUCCGUUUUAGCGUCUCGUAGAAAAGCACCCCAAAAAUAAAAGUUCUCAGAACGUCCUGAAAAUCAAGUAUGAUUUUUUCUGGAUUUUUUGAAAAAUACUGAGACGAAGAGCUUGUCUAGAGGCUGCACCAGUGGGCCACAAGCCCAGGGGGCGCGGUCCCCCCCAUGGCCGUGGCACCCAGGCUUGUGAGGCCCACAGGCACCCCCUCCACUCACUCUUGCUCUCAUCUGGUUCUCCUACCUUCAGAAAAAAUCGUUUCGCAGCUCAAACCCGUGUUCUUGCUCCUCUUGCUGGGAUUUUCGAUCUCUUUGCUCAAAGCACCAUUCUCCGAAGUGUUUUGGGGAAAUUACUCCUUGGUAAGUGACUCCUCCAUUGGUCCAAUUAGUUUUUGAUCUAGUGCCUUAUACUUCGCGUAUUUUUGCUUCCUUGGUGACCAUGUUCUUGAGCUUUGCAUGCUAAUUUUAGCUGGUCCCAAGUAGUUUUGACGCGUAAUAUGGCCUCUAGGCACUAGUUGGAGUAGUUGCUACGAGUUUAGUUAAGCCUUGUUCACUUCUCCUUAGAAUCACUAAAAAAUUCAGAAAUUUUCAGAGAUAGAAAAGGGAAAAGAUGAGGAGGUUCUUAAGAGGCUCGUCAAGCCGUGACCCCAAGGAUGAUGGGUGUGAGAAGAAGUGCAAGUAUCUGGUCCCUCGAGUCACAGAAGUUCGAGCGUGCGAGUGGCCAAGCGACGUGUUCUUAUGCGCCGCUGGAAUUUAUGAGGACUUUUAUCACUUGGUGGAGAACGCAGGCCUUACCGCCUUCCUUGAAGAUAAGUGUCCGCAAGACCUCCUCCUCACUAAUAUCUUCAUACAAAGCUUUAACUUCUAUCCGAGGAAGAAUCCUCCUAUGAUUGAGUUUAAAUUUUAUGAUAUCCCCCAGCGCAUGUCACUCCAGGAUUUUUGCAAUGUUUGAAAAUUACCUUACGUUGAGGAUAUUCAUGAACCUCGUCCACGGGACUUAUAAGCUUUCAUCCAACCGUUAUGCUUCACAGCCCGCACAGAGCGGUACUACCGCUCGGUAGGUUCACCAACCAUGCUGAUGCCAAAAAGGAUGCAAAAAACAGUCCGACGGAGCGGUAGUAAAAAUUACUACCGCUCCAGGGGCGGUACUACCGCUCCGGGGGCGGUACUGCCGCUACAGGAGCGGUACUACCGGUGGCACCAGGAGCGGUACUAUCGUGGAUAUUGAAACUGCUCUAACUUUCACAUACGGACUCCAAAUUCAACGAACAAAUUUGUUGGAAAGCUAAGAACAUGGGCUAACACAAUCUUGAUAGAAAUAUCAAUAAGAAGCAAGUGAGAAAAGUCCCAUAAGAAAACGGUGAGAACCCCUCUUCGAAUAAGACCCGUAAAAACUCCCAACAUCGAAAACAUCAUAGAAGAUGCAUAUGGACUCCGUUUUCGAUGAACUCGAGCUUGUCAUGAAUAUGACCAUAAUCUAUAAAACUCACAAAGAAAAACACCAAACAAGAACCAAGAAGUAUGAUGCAAGGAUGCAAAUGGUUUGAGCUCUCAACGAACGAUACGAUCAAGCUACUCACUUGAGAGCCCCCCUUGACAGUACGACAAUCUAUCCUAAAACAGAAAACCUAUCAAGGGCAAACCUAUACCUUGCACCUCGUCCUCUUGAGCUAGAUGACGAUGAUCUUGGCUUCCUCAAGAUGGUCCACCUUUCUUGAUUGUGUUGGCUUGAUGAAGACUAGUUGAUUGCUCCCACAUACACACUCUCUUCAGCAUAUCUUCACAAGUCCAUUGCCACCAUCCUCCACCACUUUACGUCAUCCUCCAUGGGUUGUAUGAGAUCUUCCUCUUGACGCAAGCCCAUGGAAACACACCUAACCCCACAUAGAACACUCAGGAAGACCAUGGGUUAGUACACAAAUACGUAAUGGACAAUGCUUACCAUACCAUGGGAUCACUUGAUCCCUCUCGGUACAUCUUGUAUGCUUUGUGUGUUGAUCAUCUUGAUUUACUCUUUAUCUGACGAUCUUGAUCAACCUUGUGUCUCUAUGACCAUUCUUUGGAUAAUAUCUUGAAUACCACCUUGGUCAUCAUAUAAACUCCUUGAACCCGACAGAUGGACUUCAAGAAGUGCCUAUGGACAAAUCCUAUAAAUAUAACUUAAGGCAACCAUUAGUCCAUGGGAAUUGUCAUCAAUUACCAAAACCACAUAUGGAGAGAUAUGCUCUAUCACGGGUGAUGAUGAAGCAGUCUCGGUCGGAGAAGGAUGGCGACAACCGGUGGAGGACGACAACGGGAAGAUGCGCGGUCGACGACCAGAAGGGGCCGCCGCGUCGCGUGAGGCCGACGGGUCGGUUUAGAGGCCGGAUCACGCCGAUGUCGAAGUAGCGACGCGGUGGGCGACGGCGGCGGUGGGCGACGCAAACUGAUCUUAGAUCGGAAAACCAAAAAGAAAGAAUGUGGAUCAAGAGAUUGGCAAAAGAGAGAAAAUCUGGAUCGAGGGAUCGGGAAAAAGACUCUCUAGGAUAGCCGGUUAACUAGACUAGCAGACGAACCCUAGGUACGGACGACACGACCCCUGGAGGCGGUCAUGGAGGCCGAUCGCCACGGGGGCGUUGCGCGGUGCGGAAGCGACGGGCGGCGGCUAGGUCUAGAAACUUGCGGCAGAUACCAUGUUGAAUGGGAGAAUAGAAGGACUGGUGGAAUAGUUGUUGUAUUGUUUGAGCCUCAUGCCAUAUAUAUAGGAGUACAGUUAUCAACUUAGAGUACAAGGCAAGGUAGAACAAAUCCUAGUCUAUCUCAUAUUUCCUAAUAAUCAACAUACUCAACAUUAUCCAAAAUAUAUUGAAGAAAUUCAUUAUGGACAAACCUUAUCCAUCCAUAACUCUCAUUAUAGUUCAUUCUCUAGACGUAGAGAAAGAUCUAUUCAGACCAAGAGAUGAUGGAAAUGAUAUUUUGGGACUUAAAGUUCCAUAAUUUCAUUGAAUCCAUCAAACACAAUUGGUUGGGGCUCAAGAAUAUCUAUCGAUAUCUCUAAAGGCAUCAAACACCUUGUCCUGGUUUUUCAAGUUUCAGAGAAAUCUGAACAUCAAUACCAUUGGAUACAUUGAUCACAUCCCCACUAUGUCAGAUCAUAGACAAGCUUAGUCUUCCUACUAAGUGGUAGUCAUUCCAUAACAGUCUUUGAAAUAGACCUCGUGGCUACAUCCACCAACCAUUAUCUCAAAGAUAAUGUUGCUUGUGUUGCCCAGAUGCAAACAUGUUACUAAUAAGCAAUAUCUUUAUAUUGCAUAUCUUGCAAGUCGAUUUGUUUCACCAAGUCUCUACCAACUUUUACAUUUCAGAAAUAUGUUCGUGGAAUUGAUAUAUGACGGCUUCGAAAUUUGCAAGAAUCAGGGGGAGUAUCUUCCUGAAUUGUUCCUCUUCAAUGCAUCAUAUUAUACUUUUUUCUUUCCCUAAUAAUAAAGCAACUACUGCUUUUGUUGUCCGUCAUGAAAGUUUUAUAGAAAACCCCCUGUAGUUUCUUGAAAUCAACCCGUAGUCUGGGUUUAAGUGAGAAAACGAAUCGUUUUUUGUAGUUUUACAAAAAACCAUUGUGCUUUUCCGAAAUUAACCCGCCUUCGCUGCUCGCCCACAGCCUCCGCUUCUAAAGUCGUUGUCGGAUUUGUCUUAUAGGAUUGAAGGAAAAGUUUCAGAGGCAGCAAGAUAGCGUAGUGGCUUGAGCCUUAUGUCUCUACUCCUGAGACCUAGGUUCGAAUCCCGCUACUUCUCUUUUCAUCUACAUUUUAGAUCGCGUGAGAUAGAAUUAGUCACAACUGAUGGGCUGCACAAAUGUUACAGUUUCGGUCCACCUACUAUAGUUUUAAUCUUUCUUUUUCUUUUCACAGAUUCCAAUCCUAAAAAAAUCAUAUCUUUCAAACUAUAACUCAAGAUUAGUCAUGUUAUAUAUAUAAAUUCUUCAAAAAAUAGGUAGAUUCUAAAUAUGCUAUUACCCCGCAUGUUAAUUGUUUUUAAAAUUAUGUUUAAGAUACACUAUUAUAUUUUGAAAAAGGACAAUUACGUUUGAUGUCUAAUAAAUUGCACACACACUUAAUACAUUUAAUAGAAUUAUAAAUUAUCCAACCUUUAUGUCUUCGCACAACAUCACUUAUCAUGUUGUUUCACGUAUGACAUUGUGAAAUAUUUCAAGGGAUUUGUCGAUGCGUCGGGUGUGUAUGAGGUUAUUUUUCUAGGAUACAUGAGCGGUGUUUUCUCUUUUCUCGUUGCAACGCACGGGCAUGUUUGCUAGUUUUCCUUGAUGAAUUUACUAUACAUAUUCUCAUAAAGGUUUCUAAUGAGGUAAUACCAACAUGAGAUUAUAUGUCAUACUUUCAGUUUUCCCCACCAAGGUUUUUAGGAAAGUAUAUAUGACAUAUUUAUUGACCUAUUAAUUAUAUGAGUUUUCUCGUAUUGAGUUAAAAGAGGCAAUAACCAUUAUGUGUUGCAUCAUUUUUUCUCCUUAUUUUUUCCAUUGGGUUUGAAGUAGUUUUAGCAACAUACCAAACACGUAUCUCCUUAUAUUUUCCCACAUGUUUUUUCAAGGAGAAUCUUUAUAAAGAUGAAGUCUCUUCACAAGAUCAAGCAUGGAUUAGGGGAAGUGUUAGGAUUAAUUAAGUAAUGUUAAUUAAGAGAUAAUCCCUGCUUUACUAACCACACCCAGUUACACCCGUCGCAUCGGUUCCUUGCCGAACAUGCAUCUCCUCGAACAGACACCUUUUAUUGGUGUCUCUUCCCUUUGUAUAAAUAGCAAAUUUCAGUGCGAAUUGGUUUAACAACUAGCGUGGCAGUGCUACUUAUUAUAUAGUCCCUUGCUUAGAUUUUUCAAUUAUUUGAAAAUAUUAAUGUAUUACGUGAAUGUAUGGAAAAAAUAUGAACACAUUUUGCAAAUUGACCAACGUGCAUAAAAAAGUUGGCCAAUGUAAAAAAGGUUCAUGUAUUAAAAUAAGUUAAUGAAUUCAAAAACAAAAGUUCAUGAAAUGGGAAAAAAGUGCACUAAUUUUUGAAAAAAGAUCACGACAACGAAAAACGGCCAUGAGUUUGAAAAAAGUUCAUCGCUUUUGGAAAAAAGUUCAUUGAAUUUGGAAAACUUCAUCAAAUUUUAGAAAAAUUUCAUUGGAUUCAAAAAAGAGUUCAUCGAAUUUGAAAAUUCUUCAUCAAAUUUUUAAAAAAUUCUUAAAUUUUGCAAAAAGUUCAUCGUUUUUGAAAAAGCGUUCAUCGAAUUUGAAAAGAAUUCUUCGAAUUUGGAAUUUUUUUUUAUCAAAUUUGAAAAAAGUUCAUCAAAUUUGAAAACAUGUUUAUUAAUUUAUAAAAAGGUUGAUGAAUAUGAAAAAAGUGCACAUUAAAAAUAUAUAAAAAAUAAACAAAAAAGUAUAAGAAAAAAAUUAAAAGAAAAAAGAAAAAACAAACAGAACUAAAGAACAAGAGAAAAAAAGUCAACCAAUCAACCAGGGACAUGGGCCGUCCGAGAUGGGGCGCUGCACGCGUCCGGUUGUAGAAUACACAUUAACGGGUGCGUGCAUGAAAUCACUUGUUAGCGAAUACAACUUUCAACGAUUACUUUCACCUUCACAGAUUAUGACAAGUGGUGUAUUGCAUGCGUACCACUUGUCGCAACCCGAGAGUUUUCCCCUUUUUUCGUAGAUCCGUAUUUUCAAAACAUUUUAUUUCAUAAACCGUGCGUUCAAAUCUCGAACUGUUUUCAUCGUUGGCUUUCUCGCGUCGAGAUCUUCAAAACUAGAUACCAUGUUGAUAGGUUUUGGCGAACUUUUUUUUCAUGAAAAAAACCGGAAGAAAAACCGUGCCUCACGCGAUAGAAAAAAACAGAAAAUGCGGUCUUUUUUUCCUUUCCGAGAGGCAUCCUUUCCGAGAGGUACGGGUCGUGCCUCUGACCCGUACCUCUCGCGAAGGCAAAACCAUGUCUAUCGCAGAAGCAAAACCGUGCCUCUUGCGGAAAAAAAGAGAGCAGAAAACACGUUUUUUCCCUUUUCAGUAGAGGCACGGGCGUGCCUUUCGCAAAGGCAAAAUUGUGCCUUUCGCGGAAGCAAAACCGUGUCUUUGGUAAAAAGACAGAAAACGUAUUUUUUCCCUUUUGGGAGAGGCACGGACGUGCCUCUCGCGAAAGCAAAACCGUACCUCUUGUAAAAAAAACAGAAAACACGUUUUUUCCUUUCCUAAAGGCACGGGCGUGCCUCUCGCGAAGGCAAAAAACCGUAUUUUUCGUCAAAGCAAAACCACGUCUCUCGCAAAAAAAAUGAAAACACGUUUUUUCCUUUCCUAAAGGCACGGGCGUGCCUCUCGCGAAGGCAAAAAACCGUAUCUUUCGUCAAAGCAAAACCACGUCUCUCGCAAAAAAAAUGAAAACACGUUUUUUCCUUUCCGUGAGGCACGUCCGUGUCUCUCGCGAAGGCAAAACCGUGCCUCUUACUGAAGCAAAACCGUGCCUCCCGCAAAAAAACCAGAAAACGAGUCUUUUCGCGUAAAAAAAAGAGAACGCGUUUUUUUAAGAAAAUAAAUUGAUUUGUUUGUCCAAAAGUUACGAAAGACUGGUAAAAACCAUUACACCAAAAAUUUUCGAAAAAACCCACUCAAAAUAGGCUAAAACGUGUGCGAAAAAAUAAAAUCCAAAGAAAACGCUCAAAAUGCGACACGUGACGGUGGCUAAAAACACGCCAAGUGACGGCACGCAGGAGCGCUCGCUGGAAGGCUCGCGAGGGAGGGCUCGCUAACUUUUUUUUAGGGGAAAGCUAAGCUUUAUUGAUUAUAAUCCACAUAGGGUGGGAUACAAAUCGGAUAAUGGGGGUUUGCCAACCAUACAUGGCGUCCCGGUCCGAGAGAAAGAGAGAGUACUUAGCUAAGUCAUGUGCUUCGUCAUUAACAUUGCGGCUUUCAAAAAUAAAAUUACAAUGAAAAAUAGAUGUUCGUCGUUUGAUCUCUGUGAUGAUUGCCCCGUAAUGGCCCUAGUUUGCUUGAGCAAUAUCUUCCACAACUUGUUUGGAGUCCGAUGAGAUAAUAAAAUGUUGUAGGAGCAGAUCCUCUGCAAGACACAGAGCUUCCCUGCAUGCUAAAGCUUCUGGUGUAGCAGGAUCCGUGACUCCCGCAACCACCAAAGAAGAGUUGCCAAGGAAGUUCCCCCAUUCGUCCCUACAAACUGCAGCUGCUGAUCCACCCCUUGAUCGUAGUACUCCUCCAUCGACAUGUAUUUUUGCAUGCCCUGCUGGUGGCGUUGUGCAUCUCUUCUGCAAUACAGGUACCCCAACAUGUCUCUGUGUAGUAAGCCGAUGGGUAGGGUUGAGUAGGUCUAGCUCGAGAAUGAAUCUAGAGAUGAAAGCAUUGGUCGCAUGCGGGCUCUGAAACAACCCCUCGUGUAUGGCUUUCCUUCUCGAAUACCAGACAACCCAUAACGUCACUGCCAGCCGGAUGAAUUCCACAUGUGAUAAUGAGUCCAUCACUGUGAAAAUCCAUUGCUUUGGGUUUGGCUCCGUGUUUGCUAUCAUUUUGUCCACCAGCUCGCCUUGAUCAAGGGCCCAUACACAUCUGGACAUCGAGCACUCAAUAAGUGAAUGCCGCCAUGAAUCCUGUGCUCCACAGAGACUGCAAGUAGAGGAAGUCGACAUGUUGCGAUGAGCUCUGACGUCUUCAGUGGGAAGCGAGACCUUUGACAGCCGCCACAAGAACAUACGGAUUUUAGCAGGUACCUUUGUGUUCCACAGGGUCUUCCAGGACUGUGCUUCGUUACUUGAUGGGCUUGGGUCCCCAUACAGCCAUGCCUCUCUGCGUUGACGGGUGGCUACGAUCAUUCUGUAAGCUGAUCGGACAGUAAAGAUGCCUUUCCUCUCGAAAUUCCAUGCCCAGUAGUCGUCGAUGCUUUGGGUGCACAGAGGGAUUGACAAGAUCGCUGGGAUAUCGAUCGGGAGGAACACUUCCGCUAUCUUCUGUCUAUCCCAUGUGGCAGAAGUGGCAUCAAUUAAAUCAGAUGCUCUAAAUGGAGGGUUUUGCACUCUACUCCCGUAUGAACGCAUCAUCUCAUCCCUAGGGAUCCAAUUAUCUAUCCAGACAUCCGUAGACCCCCCGUUCCCAAUGCGCCUGAUUAAGCCUUGUUUAAGCACCUCCAAUCCCUCCAUAACAGCCCUCCAUAUUUGGCUUGGAUGGCUACCCAAUCUUGCUUGCAGAAAUGGAGUAGUUGGGAAGUAAACACUUUUAAAAUUCUGACGCUUAGGGAAUUAGGUUGUUGCAGGAUCCGCCAUCCUUGCUUAGCUAGCAUAGCCAAGUUGAAAAGCUCAAUGUCCUUAAACCCUAGUCCCCCCAUUAAUUUGGGUUGUGUCAUCUCCUGCCGCGAAACCCAACUUGGCUUUCGUCUUCCCUCUUUAUUGCCUCACCAGAAUUUCCUAAUCAACAUGUUCAGGUGCUCACAUAAACCUCUAGGUAACUUGAAGCAAGACAUGGAGAAGACAGGGAUAGCUUGUGCCACCUCUUUGACAAGAACUUCCUUUCCUGCUGUAGAUAGGGUUUUUUCAAUCCAUCCUUGGAUCUUACUCCACAAUCUAUCUUUCAGGAAUUUGAAAGCCCCAUUUUUUAAAGAUCCCAUAUCAGAUGGCUCGCUAAUUAGUUGCUCCCGCGCGUGCAGCAUCAAAUUAGGAUUCGCAGCGAAUGGAUGUCCACUAUGUAGUUAAUGGGCCUAGGCCUGGCGCGCGCCUAAAAGGGCCCAAGUUGUGAUAACUUGGUCCUUUUUCUCUUUCUCCCCGACUCGUCCAUUGAUUCAUCUUCUCCAUUUAGAGAAAAAAAGAAGACUCUUGGAUCGAUCAAACCCUAGAGAAAGAGAGAGACUCCUCUUCCAUGGCCGGCGGCGAUUCUUCUCCCGUGGCGGCCGCGGCGCGAAAGUUUGAGUGGGCCCAAGAAGAUUAUCGGUUCGAGCUGCCGGAGGAAUCCUUGGAUCCGCGGUACAGCGAGUACGACCCCAAGCAGGGUUGUUUCAUAUGCGUCCGCUACUGCUUCGACCGCAAACUCGACCUCGACGAGGAGUGUACGUUCCAAUCCAAUCAAUCCCCUUUGUUCUAGUUCAUGAUUAUGUUCGGUUAAACCUCUUUUGGAGGGGAUUGAGGUGUAUUUUGAUUUAUAGCGGAUCUAACCCUCCCCAAUCCACUCAAAUCCCCUUCAAGUCCCUUGCAACAGAACAAGCCUAUCGAUCCUUGUUGCCUUCGUUAUGAAUGUCUAGUUCAUGUUUUUUUUUGGUAUUUCAGUUCAAACACCAGUCAGGCAGUAUCACUUCAUUCCUCAAAAUCAAUCUGAAGGAUUACUUCCACUUCCUACUAGAUUUGUUUGGAAGCAAAGGCUGCCACUUCCAAAUUCAUUCCUCAAUUAGCCUCGGUUUACAUCUACAUACACUAGUUAACGCCAUGGAACACCAAACUACUAGUACCAUAAACUGUCAUUUAGAACUGUCGCCACAUUAAUUGUUAUAGUGCAUAAGAUUUCAGGUCAUACCCUAAGAAUAAAAAACCUAGGGUACAAAUCGAAACAUACUCUCGCCACUUAAACCUCAGAGCUCAAAAGGAGAACUAUGAAGUUUAUACAUUUUCUGAAAAGACAAUCUCAGGAAAUUGCGAAUCAGUGUGACUUAACUGGAAGCACUAAGAUGGCCAAACAUAUGAACCAGGUACAAUUUUCUCAGAACAACAUAAGUAGAGCCAAAUUAUUGAUAUCUUGACAGCUAACUACCAUUACCAUCCAAAACAGAAGGCGUACACAUAGUGUCACAUGACAAUAUCACAAGUGUAAAUAACGUAGAUGUCAAUAGAACCUGGAUCGUAGAUCUCCAAACAAAUUCCCCCAGCAUCUCUUGAAACAAACUACACUCAAUCGCCUUGCCUUGCCUUGCACCUCCCCUCCUCCGGGCAGUCAACCAAUGGUGCCAUGACAAUGGAGUACAAACAUUAGGCAUUGUCUACUUCCUCAUAUAAAAAAAUGGUUGAUUUACCAAUGGGGGCAUCUAAAAGAGAUCAUAUGAACGAACCUAUGAUUAGAACCAUGCAGUCGAUGAAAAUUGCAAAAACCAAUGUAUUUAUAGUUUGGUUGCCACAAAUUAGCUAUAAAACUGAAAGGCUGUGGAACCAAAAUCCUCUCACAAACUUUAGGUAAGAAAAAUUCAGCAAUAAUUAGAGAUGAUAAUUAACCUAUGUGGAACUCUGUAGUGAAGCUUUGCCUGCUGUAGCGUACCAAUUCUGUUGUCGCACCAGCAGCUUGCAGUGCUGCUGAAUAUGCAGAGUCUUUCUCCAAACAGUAUUUACUUCAACCAGACUUAAGAGUUCCGUAGAAAAAAGGCUCCUGAACACAUAAGUUUGCAUCAUUAGAACUAUAAAUCUAUAAGAAGCAUUGUAAUGGAGUAAUCACUUCAUCAAAUUAACAACCAUCCUAAUUUUGCAUUUUUUUCCUGAUGAUACAUCAUCCACGUAUUUCUCUUACAAUAGACAGUAUGUUGGUAGAAACUAGGGUUCUACCGGCCCUCUGCCUUAGGUUAUAAGGGUAGGAGGGAGGUUGGAGGAGACGAGGACGCUGCGGCCGCAGUGAGGAGGCGGCGGCCAGUAGAGGAGGCGGUGGCUAGAGUUAGGGUUCCGGCUCCUUUGGGAGCCGGGCAAUAGAAUUGUAGAGGAGCCGGGCAAUAGAAUUGUCUUAUUGCUUGAUUCCAAAAGGUGUCUUACAACUUGUUUAUAUAAGCUCUAAGGUAAUAGAAAUAAGGAAACUUGGGCUAANNNNNNNNNNNNNNNNNNNNNNNNNNNNNNNNNNNNNNNNNNNNNNNNNNNNNNNNNNNNNNNNNNNNNNNNNNNNNNNNNNNNNNNNNNNNNNNNNNNNNNNNNNNNNNNNNNNNNNNNNNNNNNNNNNNNNNNNNNNNNNNNNNNNNNNNNNNNNNNNNNNNNNNNNNNNNNNNNNNNNNNNNNNNNNNNNNNNNNNNNNNNNNNNNNNNNNNNNNNNNNNNNNNNNNNNNNNNNNNUAAGGAAACUUGGGCUAAGCCCCUAACUUAACUAAGAUAACUUGGGCUAAGCCCUUAACUAAACGGGCCCAUUGGACCUCCUCCGGCUAUAAGUCACGCCGGUCAUAACAUCUCUCCCCGCCUGCGCAAACAACUCGUCCUCGAGCUGGAAGUCUGGUAAAUGUUGGUGGAACUCGUCAAGCUGCUCCCAAGUGGCAUCCUCCUCCGGAAGACCUUGCCACUGGAUCAACAAGUGCCACACUCCGUGACGUAGCUGGAUCUGCAACACCUUUGCCAGUCCUGGAAGGAGUCGUCCGUCGGAGGUAGGAGGUAGCACCGGUGUUGCUGCCGGCGGUUCUCCAUGGAAGGGCUUCAGCAACCCCACAUGGAACACGUCAUGGAUGCGGGCCCUGGCCGGAAGCUGCAGGCAGUAGGCCACCUUGCCUAUGCGCUCCACCACAGAAAAUGUCCCUGCGUAGUGAGGGCCCAGCUUGCGCUUAGCGCGCGGGUCCAGGGACUGAGUGGAGCGGUGAAGGAGGCGUAGCCACACCCAGUCGCCCAUCGCAAACUCUGGGUCGCGGUGAUGAUCGUCGUAGUAGCGCUUGGACAGUUGCUGAGCCUGGAGAAGGCGUUGGCACACCUCUGCAAGCAUCUCGUCCCGGCUGCGAAGCAGGUCGCCCGCCGCCUCAGUCCGAGCUGUCUCAGGGUCAACCGGCAGGAUAGGCGGGGGCGGUGGGCCAUAGACCACCUCGAACGGCGUGGCGCGCAUGGCGGAGUGAUAAGAGGUGUUUUAGCAGUACUCCGCCCAUGCCAGCCAAUCCACCCAUGCACGGGGACGGUCACCUGUAACACAACACAAAUACAUGGUGAUCACCUUGUUCACCACCUCAGACUGGCCGUCCGUCUGAGGGUCGAAGGCCGUACUCAGGCGGAGCUUCACGCCCGUCAGGCGGAAGAGAUCACCCUAGACAUGCCCCGUGAACACCGGGUCUUGGUCGCUGACGAUCGAAGCCGGAAACCCGUGGAGACGGACAAUUCCGUUGAAGAAGGCACGAGCCACGGAUGCGGCCGUGUAGGAUGGCCGAGCGCGAUGAAGUGGGCGUACUUGGAGAAGCAGUCGACCACCGUGAGGAUAACGGACUUGCCGCCCACCUUUGGGAGGCCCUUGAUGAAGUCCAUGGAGAUAUCGGCCCAGACUUGAGAGGGCACCUCCAAGGGCUGCAGUAGCCCAGCCGGACGCAGUGUCUUCGUCUUGUUACGCUGGCACGUAACACAAGACCGCACUCAGUCCCGGACCAACGCCCGAUCACCGGGGAUGUAGAAAUCAGCGCGGAGACGGUGGAGGGUCUUCUGCACACCCUUGUGUCCGGCCGAGUGGGCCAGCAGCAGGACCUGGUGACGCAGAUCACCGUGAUCCGGCACAAAGAGGCGACACCCAUGUAGGAGCAACCCAUCCGCCCAGCGCCACGGCUCGGCCAGGUCGCCGGCUGCGAGGCGCUGCCGAAGAAGCUGAGCGUCCGGUGCGUCGGAGGUGGCCCGGCGGAUGUCGCGAAGGAGGGCCCCGAGCGGAUGCAGAGAGCCGCCCCGUCGGAGUCGCCGGUGUCCGAGUCGUGGUCGGCGUUGCGGCGGGGCAGGGCGUCGGCCACGGUGUUAAGGCGACCCGGACGAUACUCCACGGUGAAGUCGAAGCCAAAAAGCUUGCUGAUCCACUGGUGCUGGGGAAUGGUGGACAACCUUUGAUCCAAUAAGAAUUUGAGGCUGUAGUGAUCCAUGUGAAUCCGGAACGACCUCCCCCAAAGAUACGGGCGCCAGUGGCGUAUGGCCUGCACCAAGCCAAUGAGCUCCCUCUCAUAGGCCGCGAUCUUAUGAUGGCGUGCGGCAAAUGGUCUACUGAAGAACGCAAGCGGUCCGUCGCCCUGAUGAAGGACGACGCCGAACCCCACCCCGGAGGCGUCGCAGUCCACCAUGAAUGGCUGGUCGAAAUCGGGCAUCUGAAGGACGGGACCUGUCGUGAGGGCCUGCUUGAGGGCCUCGAACGCCUCCAUGGCCUCCGCAUCCCAGGUGAGGCGUCGCGUCGCAACAGGCGUGUGAGUGGGGACGCGAUGAGGCCGAACUCCUGGAUAAAUUUCCGAUAGUACCCCGCGAGGCCCAGGAAGCCGCGGAGAGCCCGUGGCAAGUGCGGUGUCGGCCAGGCCGCGAUCGCCUCCACCUUGUCGGCGUCCAUAGCCACACCCUCGACCGAGAUGACAUGGCCGAGGUAGGCGACUGAAGGCGUGCCGAACGAGCACUUCGAGCGCUUAAGAUGAAGAUGAUGCGCUCGAAGCUCGUUGAAGACGAUGGCGGCGUGCUGAAGGUGCUCUGCCCAAGAAGCGCUGUAGAUAAGAAUGUCAUCAAAGAAAACGAGCACAAACCGACGCAAGUAGGGUCGGAGGACGUCGUUCAUCAAGGCCUGGAAGGUUGCCGGAGCGCUGGAGAGGCCAAAAGGCAUCACCAAGAACUCAAAGUGGCCGUGAUGAGUCCGAAAUGCCGUCUUCGCGAUAUCGUCCGGAUGCAUCCGCACCUGGUGGUAGUCCGAACGGAGGUCGAGCUUGGUGAAGAAGCGCGCCCCAUGUAGCUCGUCCAAAAGUUCGUCAACGAUUCGGAUAGGAAAUUUGUCCUUGAGCGUUAGGGCGUUCAGGGCACGGUAAUCGAUGCAGAAACGCCACGUGCCGUCCGACUUGUGGACGAGGAGGACCGGCGCCGAAAACGGCGAUGUGGAAAUCCGGAUAAUGCCCAAAGCGAGCAUGAGUGCGUACUGCCGCUCCAGCUCGUCCUUCUGCAACUGGGGGUAGCGGUAGGGGCGCACCGCAACCGGCGCCGUUCCCGGCAGGGAUGAAUGCGGUGGUCAUACGCCCGGGCUGGCGGAAGGCCCUGAGGCUCGUCGAAGAGGUUGCGAUGCUGCUGCAAGAGAUGAUCCAACAGGGGGUGCUCAGGCCCUGUGUUAGUCGCUGCCAGCUGAAGCUGCGGCGACGUUGGGGAGGCGCCACCCACGCCCGCCCACUGGAUGCUGCGACCCAGGCGCCAGAAAGUCAUCGUCAUGGUGUCGAAGUCCCAGAGAAUGGGGCCGAGGGUCCGCAAGAAGUCGACGCCGAGGAUGAAGUCGAAGCAGCCCAGAUCAAUGCCGGCGCACGUGAUGGUGAAGUGCUCGUCGCCGAUGGUGACAGGCACGUCCCGGGCGAUCCCAUGGCACCGGAGGUGGUCACCGUUAGCCACGGUGACCCGGAGUUGCUCCCCGCCCGUCGGCUGCAGCGCUAAGCGGCGCAUCGUCGACUCGGGCAGGAAGUUAUGUGUGGAGCCCGUAUCCAGGAGGGCCACCAGGCGCUCGCCGUUGAUCAUCACCGGCAAGAGCAUAGUCCGCUCGUCUCGGAUGCCCGCGAGCGCGUGGAGGGAUACCACGAGAGCUGUCGCCGAAGCGGGCGCCGGGGCGGCGUCAACCGUAACUGGGCCGGGCAUGUCGCCGGGCCCGUCGGUGGCGGUGUCCUCCUCGACGUGGCCGACUCCAAGUAGAAGAGGCGCGGGCAUACAUGGCCUGGGACGUAUGGCUGGUUGCAGUUAUAGCAAAGCCCCUAGCGACGACGCUUGAGCUGCUCAGUCGGGGUGAGUCGGCGGAAGGCUCGUGGCGCGGCCGGAGCGGGGGCCGCCAUCGGUCCGGGGGCGGCCGCCCUAGGGAUGGUGCUGUCUGGGCCGGCCGGCCUGGCUUCCGUGCGUCGCGAGCCGGAGCCGCCUGCUGAAGGGCCUGCGUGCGGCGCUCGAAGGCUCGGGCGUAAUACAUGGCCGUCUGGAGGUCCUGUGGUCCGCGGAGCUCGAUGUCCACGCGGAUGUGAUCCGGCAGUCCGUCCACAAAGAGCUCGGCCCGCUGACGAGCCGACACGCCGGGCGCGUGACACGCCAGGGCCUGGAAGCGGUCCGUGAAGUCCUGCACCGUGGAGGUGAAGGGAAGGCGGCCGAGCUCCGCCAGUCGGCUCCCUUGGAUCGGGGCCCCGAAGCGCAGGAGGCAGAGCUCGCGGAAACGCUCCCAAGGGGGCAUGCCGCCCUCGUCAUGUUCCAUUGCGUAGUACCACGUCUGUGCGGCGCCUCGGAGGUGAUACGAAGCGAGCCAGGUCCGUUCACCUUGGUUGAGCCAGUUCAGGGGGUCCUCGGUGCCGUCGUAGGUGGCGAAGUCCAGUUUGGCGAAGCGCGGCGGCGUGUGGUUAGGGCCGCCCUGGUGGUAUGGCUCGUCGGGGCGGAGCAGUGGAGGGGUAUGCGCCGGGUACCCGUCGGGAACGGCGAAGCUGGAGGGCCCUCCGUACUGGGUGUGUGGCGGCGCCGAGGCCGUUGUGUAGACUGGUUGUGAUGAGUCGGUCACCCAGGCCGGUAGCGGCGACGGGUAGGGGGGGAACCGAAGCUGGUUGAGCGGCCAACCCCCGGCGCGGCGGUCGGGCCCGGCCCGGAGGUGGUGGGAGUCGGCUGCAACAACUGUAGGGUCGGCUGCUGUGGCCCCACAACCGAGGGUGGCGGAGGCCGCUGCAGUGGUGGCUGCAUCGGCCAGGCCAGCGCGGCGGUUGCCGCCAGCGGCGGCUGCGGCCAGGGUGGCCAGGACGGGCCGGCGUUGGCUGGUGGUGGCGCGUUCGGCCGCGGCCCGUAGGGCGCGGCCAGGUAUAGCCGGAUGCCCUGGACGGUGGUAGCCAGGUCACGGAUCGCGCCGGUCAGCUCUUUCGGGGUGAGGACGGCAGGAGGCGACGCGGCAGAGGAGGCCGGCGUUGGCAGGUGCGGGCCGCCGGCCGUGGUGAUCAUCAGAGUGGUGGUGGGGGACGACGACACAACGAUGGAGGCGGGCGGCUGUGAUGACAUGAUCGAACCAGAGUCUUGUGAUAUCAAACUGGUAGAAACUAGGGUUGUACCGGCCCUCUGCCUUAGGUUAUAAGGGUAGGAGGGAGGUUGGAGGAGACGAGGACGCCGCGGCCGCAGGGAGGAGGCGGCGACGAGUAGAGGAGGCGGUGGCUAGGGUUAGGGUUCCGGCUCCUCUGGGAGCCGGGCAAUAGAAUUGUCUUAUUGCUUGAUUCCAAAAGGUGUCUUACAACUUGUUUAUAUAAGCUUUAAGGUAAUAGAACUAAGGAAACUUGGGCUAAGCCCCUAACUUAACUAAGAUAACUUGGGCUAAGCCCUUAACUAAACGGGCCCAUUGGACCUCCUCCGGCUAUAAGUCACGCCGGUCAUAACAUAUGUCAACACCUACAAUUAUUAGUCCAGGACCUACAUACCAUCUAAGAACUAAGAAAAUGCAACAUGUUUAAUUGACUCUUUUUUCUGUGGGUAGCAAGUUCAGCUGACUCUGCUCAAAGUAUAUAUCUGUUGAAGUUUGACUAUAUUUAGAAAAUAAUGUCUACCAAACAAACCUCUGUUUAAAAAUUAAAAUUGACAAAACAAUGUGUACAUUAAGAUAUUUUUCUAAAAAGUAGCGACACUAAAGCUAUUGUGUUGCAAUAAUAGCAAUAAAAGAUGAAGAUAUCUUAAUGUGUAAAGAAAUCUGAUUGAUCUCCUUGGCAUCCUCGUAUAGCAGGAACAUGUAUUAAAAUUAGAAAUCUCUAUUACCCAUCAUUCAGAAAAAAGCACAAUUACCUUUGCAAAAAGCAUAUCCCUAUGCGGAACUCUGUAGUGAGGCUUUGCCUGUUGUACGGUGCAAAUUCUGUUUUCGCACCAGCAGCUUGGAUUCUGCUGCUGAAUCUGUGAAGUCUUUCUCCGUAGUCAAUACAAUGUUUACUUCAACCAUGUGCUUCAGAGUUCCGUAGCAAAAAAGGCUCCUGAAUGCAUAGGUUUGCAUCAUGUACAUAUAUAGAACUAUAAAGCUAUUAGAAGCAUUGCAGUGGCAUACUCGCUUCCAGCAAAUUAAAAUCCACCCUAAUUCUUUCACUUUUUUCUCUAAUAAUAUAUCAUCCAUGUCGUUCUCUUACAUUGUACAUAGUACGUCAACACCUACAAUCGUUAGUUCGGACCUAUAUACCAUCUAAGGAAAUGCAAGCUUGUUCAAUUGACCCUUUUCAAAGUGUAUAUAUGUUGAAGUUUGAUUGUAUUAGAAAAUAAUGUCUACAAAGCAAACCUAUAUUUGAAAAUUAAAAUUGACAAUAGUUUUGUUUGGAGAGUCUUUUGCUAGAUGUGGGCAAAAGCUACAUGCUAUACAUGCAAAAAAUGUUACUGAACAAAUGUGACUACCGUGAGUUCUUUUCAAGGGCCUGGGUCACUUCCACUUAGAUAUAGCUUGUAAAAUGUGCAAACCAAAAGUACAGAUAACUUCCACUGUGUAAUAAUGGGUAUAUUUUUCUCUGAACAGUAGAAUGUUAAUACCAAUGCUAACAACAUUGAACCUGAAGCAAAAUUGGAGUGAAUUGGGUCAUGCCGAUAGGCUUAGGGAGUGACUACAACGUCGUAUUUCCCCAGAACCUCAUCUUGCUCUCCCCUUCUUCCUUACACCCAUGCAGCUACUUAGUUUCCUCCCACUUCUCUAUCAUUCUUUCUGCGCCACCACCACUACGCCUCUUCCUUCUCUGCUGCUAGUAGGUGGCAUGACCAUCACCGCCGCUUUUGAAACACCACUUAAUUGUUAAGUAUACCAUGAGUAAUGCAUUAUCUCAGAUAUUUUGGUGCAACAAUAGCAAUAGAAUUCUGAUUGAUCUCCUUGCCAUCCUCAUAUGAUUUGCCUCGUCCGACCAUGAUGACACCAUGAGGCUGCUAAUUAUAAGCUAGCUCUUCCCGAUGGUGCUCACCUUGUGAGAGUUUCACUGUCUUCCUAAGCCUGAUCGGUGAGGGGGUGGUAUUUGGCGGUCAGCACCUUUCGGCAAUUUUAUCAUAUUCUUAAUAUGCCAAUUGAACCACACACGGAUGAAAAAUCCCAUAAUAACAAAUUCUCUGUCCAGAAAUGAGGGCUGAUGGGAUCCCUCGUGAUCACUAACAAGAAUGGAAUGUUCCAAACGGAAACUGCUGGGAUCAAGGUAAAAGAGAACACCAACCCUGAUAAUGUAGCUUGUAGCGGGUGGAGACUUCUGACACACCUCCGCCGCUGGUCAACCACGGGUCAGCCGUGCCGGUGCGUGUCAAGCGAAGGAAUUAAGAGACCGAUGAGAGAGUUUACACGUGCGAAGAAGCUCUGGCGGAGGGAGCCGCAGAUAACUGCUAGGCGGAGGAUUGGCUUCGCACAGCCGGUCGUCAUGGCCUCCUUCCGUACGUGACGGCGGAGGGUAAGAUGGGAUUUGCAUCGUCGCUCGCCGCUGCCUCCUUCUAUCCAUGAUAGUAGAGUGUCUCGGGCCGUCGGGCGGUCGUCGCCCAGGGGCUCGGGCUAUGGCCAACCUAGAGAGGGAGGGCGUCGCGUGGUCGUUGGGAGAGGAGAGAGCCGGGUGGUUCGGGUUGGUGCGAAAGAGAUCUGGAGGUGGAGAUGGACAGGCUGGGUCGGGGAGAAGGUGGAGAGUGUGUGGGUUAUCUCGGGUUUUUCGCUACCAGUCUACCGUAGAACGUGGGGUUCUAUUUCAUUCAAAAAAUAAUUCGAGCGAGGCGGGGUAGUGAACAUGGUCCAACAAAAUCGACGGCAGGUUCUGCUUUAAUAGUAGAGAUACUCUUUUGGUACUCUCUUUGAUUGAUUGAGACGAGUUUUCCUCUCGUUUGACAGCACCUGUUGGCCCCAUGCGACAUACUGGUAAAAUCUUCAAAGAGGGGUUCCCGAUCUCAAACUCGGUCAAUGUUGUCUCCAUCAAGAUUGUUUCCUCCGACUAUGGCUACCCACUCAAUGUCUAUGGUACCAUCAUAGCCAGGGACAGUCUGGAUCGAAAACGUGUCUAUGUAUUCCGGCGCGACCAGGAUGAUUGCCAGCUCAUCAGCUCAAAGGUAUUACUGCCAUUUGCCUCAUAAAUACAGACACAUACAAUAUAUCAGUGUAUUUUCUUGCACUGGUACUUCCUCAUAUCAGUCCUCUGAUUUAGUAAAUAAAAAAAUUGGUGUUUUCCUGACGGAGAAAUUUUGAGUUGAGUUGUGCACAACUUCUACAAAUGAUUAUUUCUGAAUGUUGUAUGUUAGUAAUCCAUAUUUGGGUUUUGUAUGUUAUAUUUAAAUGACGCAUCUGGUUUUGUAUCUGUUCCAUAUGAUGUUGAUUUUGAUGAUACUUCAGUUAGUUGCCUUAUAGCGAAUAGUGUUAGGAGCCAGGGGUUUAUCACAGUUCAGAAAUCUGCACAAUAAGAAAGGGAGUACAACAAAUACAUCAGCACAGAUGUAGCAUAAUUUUUCGUGAAUCAAAACAUAGCUAAAAAUGAACCCCAAAGCAAGGGUAUUCAAUCUGUUGUAACCGUCUCCUCUGAGACUGACUUUCUACCUUUUCAAUACAAAGAAACGCACUCUCUGCGUUUUCUCGAAAAAAAAAGGGUAAUUCAAUCAAUCCCAGAAACAAGCAUCUGGAAUUUAUCUAUUUAAAUUGGUCUUGCAGGAUGAUUCAUUGAUUUUGACUGGCCCCAAGAGAGGAUUCAUGGUAUACGAUGAUAUAUUCUUCGAAACCAAUCUGAAGGUGAAGGAUGUGCAUGGGAGGACUGUUGGUGAUGAUAGACUCAGUAAAGGCCUGAUGGAGGUGGAUGCUAUCCGCAGGCUGGAAUAUAGUCCCAGAUAUGUGGUUGAUACGGAAACACUUGUCAGUAUGCACAGCACAUUGGAUUUAAACUAUACAUUCGUAAGGAGGUCGGUGGAGGGCACUGUUGAGAUCAAGAUCCUUGAUGGACCUGAUGAAUUCCGUGGGAAGAUUGUUGCUUCCACUACCAGCAUUCCGUGUGACAUUGUGCUACAUGAUAGCAAAGUGAGUGGUGCCCUAACUGCAGGUGACAAUGGAGUCCUACAAAUGGCGCGGCGCAUAGUAGGAGUCUCUGUGGAUGAGAUGCUGGUGUUGACUGUNNNNNNNNNNNNNNNNNNNNNNNNNNNNNNNNNNNNNNNNNNNNNNNNNNNNNNNNNNNNNNNNNNNNNNNNNNNNNNNNNNNNNNNNNNNNNNNNNNNNNNNNNNNNNNNNNNNNNNNNNNNNNNNNNNNNNNNNNNNNNNNNNNNNNNNNNNNNNNNNNNNNNNNNNNNNNNNNNNNNNNNNNNNNNNNNNNNNNNNNNNNNNNNNNNNNNNNNNNNNNNNNNNNNNNNNNNNNNNNNNNNNNNNNNNNNNNNNNNNNNNNNNNNNNNNNNNNNNNNNNNNNNNNNNNNNGAUGCUGGUGUUGACUGUUGCGGCUGCUGUCGGUGAUGAUGCUUUAUCUGCCUGCACUGUUCAGUUUACUCCAAGGCGCAAUGGUUACGAUGAUGAGAAUAUCACCUGCGGGGACUACAAGAUGCUUCUGAAGGUCACUUGGUCGAUUAUGUAUUUCGGAUGUAACUCUUAGUUAUUCA
rnacentral:lncRNA from 1 species